UUGGAUUUAGAUAAUGAUUUAUCAGUCUUGUUCCUACUCAAAAACUAAAAUCACUGUUAAAUUUGUCUGAAAGAAAUAAACAAUCAGCAAAUAGCUCAAAAUUGCAUAUAAAUUCAAGAGCUUCCUCGUCCAACUUAACAUGCAGGCUGCGCUUGUGCGGGUUCGAGAAGCUGGCCGACUAGCUUGUAGGUCCGCCCUUGAAGGGCCUUAGUGUGGUCGAUUAGCUGCUCGUAACUGCAGAAAUCCAGUAUCGAAAUUGGAAGUCAUUAAGAGAAGAGGAACAAACAAAUGUAGUUAUGGAAAGAACAUAGUAUGAAAGAUGCACAAUACAAAGAACAAGGAAAUCUUACACAUUAGGUUGAUUAGGCUCCAUAAUAACAGUUCCAGUCUCUGAAUCAAUCUUUGCCUCAAGUUUCGAGUUUCGGAUGAGAUUCACAAUCCACCUCUCACCCUCCUCGUAAUUUAAGUUCAGUUUCUCAAAAAGCACCCUUGAAACACAUACAAAAUCCAUUUAAUGUAGGAUCAAAAUCUAAGACAAGCAAUUAAAACAACAUAAUCUCAUAAGUAAAAGCAUAUCUUGAAAGAGUUAAGAAGACAAAUGGGAAGUAAUCACUAUAAUAAGAGAUACUCGAGUCCAUGUUACUCAGAUUUGGGUGAGUUUCAGAUACCGGUAUGUUUAAUUGUUUUCUAAGUUUUUCCAUGUAUUGAAGGAUCAUAUCUUCAUAACCGCAAGACAAAUACUUCAAGAAAAAUGAACAGUCAGGAAAUGCAUAGAUAAUAGCAAACCAAAGGUUUAUGUUGUGAUGUUUUGUGAUCUGUGCACGUGCCUGCUCUGCAGACGAAAACAUGCAUUACAUCUGUUUUGAUUUAAUAUUUUGUACAAAAUUUCAUCAAUCCUUAACAUGCAAUUAGCCAAAAAGAAUUCAUAACUCAGUGCAAUGUUAUGGGAAACCCAGCAUGCAAAGCAGACUGUGAGCCUAUCGACAAUUAAACAUUCAAAUGGAAGUCAUUCCGUGUCAUUUACUCAUAAGAAGAAGUCAAUUAUACACAUAAGAAGCUAAUUAUAUAAGUUUGACAAAGCAGGAGCUUACCCCAUAUCAAUGCGCUGAUGAAUUCUGCAGUAUGUCUCGAAGAUAAAUAAACGAGCAUUCUCAAGAAACUCAUCUUUUAAUGGGACAGUAGAAAAGUUGCCCUCUUCAACUCUUUUUCCAAGGAAGGGAUCAUUCAGUAUCACCUACAACAAAGACGGGAAAACUAAGGGUGUAAUAGAUAGAUCCUACAAUUCCAAUAUCAAACAAAAGCUAAAGGCAACCAAAACAGAUGACAAAACUUCAAGCUAAAACAUUGGACAAAUUUAUGGUAUAAGAUAGUACAAUCUAACUUACUUCUUCGCACUCCUUCAUCUUCUUCUGUGCUCCGUCAAAUUCAUAGUUGACAUAAACACAUGCCAAAAACUCCGUGAUGGGAUCUUUGUAAGAGCACUGAUCUUGCUGGAUAACCCUGAUAAAUUCUUUGAAUUGAGGUCUUCUCCUUUUGUUGACAAUAAAAGCAGUGGCUAAGUACCUUAGAAGAUGGGGAGCACUGGUUUGAAUGGCGUUUAGAUACCUGGAAAGAAGUGAAAUCACCUCGUAAGAUGAGACAAAUACACAAAGUUGGUUAAUAUAAACCCAGAGAAAAUAAUGCGUUAACCAAUGGAAAAAAGCAGUAAAAACAUCUAAAUUCAAACACAAUUUUAUGUUUAGUUCUAACAACAAUCCCCCUUAUGAAACAAAAUUCCAAACUAAGCAGUAUGGCGAACAUAUCACCUACUUUAGCCUCAAAUCUUUGAACAAACAUUUUGCAAAUUACAUGGCAGGCUGUGCGUUAACUUUUCAUAUUAGAAAAACCAUGCAAACGAUAGAAGAAAUCCACAAAGUUUCUAAACAUGUUCCAUUCCAACACAAUCAAAACCGAAGCAUGUGAACACAGCAGGAUCUUGAAACAGAAGUAAGUAAUGGCAUAAAAAGACAGGAAAAUGCACAAAGAACAAAUAAGCACAGAUGUGACUACCACACAAAUGAUGCAACUAACAACAUCAGUAACAAGACAUGGAAACCUUAAGUUUAGUUGUUAAAGUGACAUACUUGUCUUGAUUAAAUAGGUCGAUGAUCUGUGUUCUUCCAUUGUCAUGGUUGAAAAAGAUGAAGAGGCUCCAAUGCAUAAGCCAUAUUCUACUCUGAACUUGGUUCAAAGGUGAUGAGAAGCUCUGCAGCAAAAAGACCAAUAAAUGAGUCAACGAAUAAUCGGAAAGCAAAUUGUCAAAAUAAAAACCGAAUAAUCAAUGGGGAUAUAACCAAAACCUUGGAAUCGAUUAUUUCUUUCAAACGAUUAAGUUCUUCAAGAGCAAUAUCCCAGUUUUGCAUCAGUAUCUCGGCAGCAAGCUUCCCCCACAAUGCACUCAAGCUCCUUUCGCUGUUAGUACAUAAAGCCCGAUACUGAUACAGAUAGUCAGCAGCACCAGAGUAGUUGCCACACUCAAAUUGGAAUUUUGCAUACUGAUAUAAUGCCUCUAUUUGAUCUGGACCAAUCUGUUAAAAAAAUAAUUUUAUCCACCAUUAAAUUAAAAAAAAACUUUAAUUAAUUCAAACCCAGGCAAAAUCAAAACUUUAACAACAAAGAGCAUGCUAGAAUUUUAGCACAAGAAAGCCUAUGCAUCUAUUUGGUUAUUCUUUAUAUUUUCCUUAAAAAUCACAGAAUGUUAUGACUAAUACAAAUUCACACUUGAAUGGGUUACUCACUAAAAAUCAAGAAGGGGUUAAAAUAACAUAAAAAUAACCUUAAAUUCAUCAAAAGGGGAGGGGGAACAGACCUGGUAGCGGUCAUUAAGCAUCUGGAGAUUAUACUGUUUAUCAGCACGCAGUUCCUGAACAGCGUUAGGGUUUUGCAAGAAAGUGACAAGAGGAGCGGCGGCAUCUUCCAAAGCUUUGAGACGAGCGACAACCUCGACUCUCCUAUCGACCAUGUCCUGAGGAACAUCAUCGGUGCGGUAAAGGCUCUUAUGGAUAUCCAUAGCGUAAUCGACCAUAUUUGUCUUGUUCAAAAGCUCGAUCUUUGCUUUCAAGAUCUGUUCAUCUGGGUAUAGUUGUCGCUCUUGCAAGAACUCCAGCAAUGGAAACACUAAGUGCCUGUCUAGGUUCGGGCCGAUACGCGGGGUUAGAUCGUAAGUUGCCAUUGCCGCCGACAGUGUUCUUAGGGUUUGUUCUGGUUUGUGACUUUUUUGUUUGAUAUACCACUCUCUUAAUUCAAAUAGAGUUCAGAGUUAAAAUGUACUUUUAAAAUUAUUUUUUAUUUUCGAAUAUAAAUUUAAUAAGUUAUCUUUACAAAAAUAAAAAAGCUCGAUUUUUUUAUAAAAAAUUAAUUUCUCAAUAAUGAUAUUAAUAUAUUUUAUAUUUAUACAAGUCGAUUUAAAUUAUAUGGCUACAAUUUUGUUUAAUUUUACUCAUAUUUAUAAUUAAAGUAUUCAAGCUCAGUUUAAGCUCGUUUAUAUUAUUAUUUUUAACACUUUAUAUUAUUUUUAAUAGAGAAGAAAUAUACUUAUACAAUUUAAAAAUCAAAGUAAUGUAUACUUUCGUAAUUAUUUAUAUAAUUAAUAUUUUAACAAUCUAGUCGUUAUAUUUAAUAAUUUUAUAUUCAACAUUUGAAUCAUUAAAAUAUUAAUUAUAUAAAUAAUUACAAAAAUAUAUAAAAUUACAUUAAUUUUUAUCUUUUGUAAGUGGAUCCCUCUCCUUUUUAAUAUAAUAUUUAAUAAUUUUUUUUAUUUUUUAUUUAUUAAAAUUUUAUGUAUAAGCAAGUUAAUUUUUUUUAAUGGCAUUGUAAUGUUAUAUGUUACUAUAGAUUUAAUAUUUAUAUGUUCUAAACUACAUAAUAUAUAAAAAUAACAUAAUAUAAUAUAUUACAAAUUUUUAAAAAUAAGCUAGGCCUUGAAUGCUUGAGCCUAAAUCCAAUCCAUAUUUUAAACAAACUUAAUUUUUCGUGUAAGCUCAUUUUUUAAGCAGGCCUCUAAGCUUGGAUAGAUAUUCCGACCCUUAAAUAAAUCUACAGCACACCCAUGAUCCAGCAAAGUAAGCUUUAGUAAAACUAGCAGAUUAAUACUUCAACAACAAUAGGUUCAAAAUCAUGGUAUGUAGUUUUAAUUUGAUUUUGGUAUAAUAAUAACUGUAGUCGACAAUGUUUAUAUUUUCUGUCAAUUUGGAUAUUAUUAUUAUUUUUAGUUAAAUUUAUUUUAAACUUUUAAAAAGAAUUGAAUUUGACUAUUAACCUUUUAAAAAUAUUCGAUUUGCUUUUUUUUAAUGAAAAUUUUGAUUAAAGAGUUGAAAAUUUUAAUAUUGCAGCAUUCGUGACAAUUUACGUGUAGUUCAUGUUAAUUUUUUUUUUGAUUUUUUAUGAACUAUGUAUAUAUUUAAAGUUUUGAAUUUUAUUUAUAAUUAUUAAAUUAUUUAUUGAUAUAUCAUGUAAGAUUAAGAAUGUCAUAUCAAUACGAAGUGCACUUAGAUUAUUAAAUAAUGAAAUUAAAAAGUUUUAUAAUUUGAUGAUAAAAAAAUGCUAAUAAAUUAAUAAUUAAUAACACAAUUUACCUUAAACUUUAACUAUAGUAAUUUGUAGUAUCAUUAUUUAUGACAAAAUUUUUAGUACAAGAAAUUGGAAAAAUAUAAAAUUAGACAAUUAAAUAAUGUUUGCUCAUAAAUCACCAUUGAUAUAAUCACAUUUUCAAGAUCACAAAUACCAUCAAACUUCGACCCAAUUGGAAUCAAAAUGUUUCACAUCAAUCCCUAAUGACCAAAUUUUGGUAAAAAAAUUAAUAUUUUUAAUGAUAAAUAUAUUUUAAUAUUUUAUUAAUUUAAUAUAUUUUAAUCUACGGAUAACCUUGUUAGUUUGGGUAUUUCAUUUUCUUGUUUCUUUUCAGUUUUCAUAAAAUAAUUUUUUCUCCUCACAAAAGAAUGUCGGCCGAAGCACACUAUAGCAAAUAAUGAUUUCACGAAACGUUUUCAUUAUCAUUUCUCUUUAUGAUGUGUUUUUGGCUUUCAACCAAAUAAUAUUUUUUAUUAUUCUUGUAUCAUAAAUUAUUUUAAGUGUGAGCUCGAACUAAUUAAAUUGAAAUACAAAAUUAGAAAAAAAAAAUUUCCUUUCAGGGUAAAAAUGAAAAUUCUCUAUUUUUAAUAGAAACUGAUAGAAUUAUUAUUUCAAAAAAAUAUAUGUAAUAGUUGAGAAUAAAAUUUUCUUAUUUUUCAGUAGAAUAACAAUAUCUUAAAACUGUGUUAAUAGUUAUACUGGUGCCAUAUAUUUAUAGGAAGAAAAUGUAAAACCAUUGUUAAAUUGUAGUAAUUUAUUUCAAAUAGAAAAAAAAAAUUCUACUUAAAGUAGGAGAGGGAUGGACAAGACUCUAGUAUUCCUACUAGGGUUGCUGCCCCUUUCAUAUUAUAUGAAGAAUUUUGGGUCUCUUUCAUAUCGGGUCCAAUUUGAAUAUUUUUUGAAUUUUUUUGAUCCAACACUUUGUAAUGUGAUCCACCCAGUUGGAAUCAAAAUGUUUCUGAUCAAUACGUACUGAUCCAUAUUGGAAUUUUGAUAAUAAAAUUAAUAUUUUUAAUGAUAAAAUGCAUAAAUAUAAAUAUAUUUUAAUAUAUGAAUAAAAUUAUUCGCUUGAGUCUUUAGUUGUCUCUUUUUUUCCUUUUUUCUUUUUAUAAAACAAGUUUUUUUCUUAAAAAAAAUAUACGGGUAGGUCGAAAUACACACUUCUUAGCAACUAAUGGUUCCACGAAACGUUUUCAUUAGCAUUUCCCUUCCAUAAGUGUAAUUUCAUAAGUAGAGUUAAAAAUUUGUUAUGUGUUAUAUAAUAUUUUACUAUACUCUAUAAGACAUUUGUCAUUAUCAUGAUUUUAUCUGUGGAUUCUAAAAACUUCAUUAAUAAUAUAUCAAAUAUUUUCUCUCGCUUUUUUGAGAUAAUUUCUAUAAAAUGUACAUAUGUCAUAAUUAGGGGCGUUUUUAUUUGAAAAACACCACAAAAUUUGUAGAGUAAACUACACUCUAUGUCACUAAAUUAUAUUUUAAUAAUUUAAUUUAGUAUUCAAUUAUGUUAUUUAAAAAUUAAAAUUCAAUUAAUAAUAUAUAUUCAAAUUUAACAAAAGUAACUAAUUUUAAAUUUUAAACUAAAUAAAUAGGAGAAUUAAAUAUUUUAUUCAAAAAUUUGAAGAGUAUAGGAAUUUGGGACAUGAUUAAACCUUGGAGUAGAUAUAGGAAGGACAAUUAAACACUGUAUUUGUUUUAUAACGAAAUAUUAUUAGCUUCAAAUUAGAAUAGGAAAAGUGGAAAACCCGAUUUCAAAAGCAGUGCUUGCACUUUAUAUAAUAAGCAGUUACCUAAUGGAAGUGUUUUAUCAGUAUAGUACACCAUCCGAAUAUACAGAGCCACAAACUAAUCAGUCAACUUCGUUUAUCUCUUUAUUUAUUUGUAAUUUAGUGGUAUAUCUUGUGACUGCUAACUACAAAUACAAUUCAAGCAGCCAAGAAAAAUAAAUAUUGGGUCCUCUAAACUAAAUGCCUUUGUUGAGUUGAUAAUGGAAGCUAAAGUAGGCUAAAUGCAUUGAGAUAUUCUGGGUUCCAAACAAUACUGACUGCCAAAAAGAUAAAAAAUUCUACCUGCAAUCUAAAAUUAAUGCCUGAUAUUCAGCUUUGUAAACCAAAUGGUGCAUGAAUCCCCAUUAUGGAUAAUAAAGCAGGCUAGGAAUAAAAUAGUAGAAAAAAGUCUCAUGUUAACAGAGAUCAAAUUGUCUGAAAACACCUCACCGCUUGGCUUUUCAUCUUGAAAUCAUCAUCUUACUUCAAUUAUUCAAGGAACAUGAUCCUCCCUAUGUCCACCAUUUUUGUCCGUCUCUUCAGACACCUCACGUUCUGUAAUAACAAGGAGUCACGUAUCACAAGAUCAGACUUGCAUUUAUACUUCUGCAUAUAAAUUCAACAUCAGAUGGAUUUACAAUAAGCUUACAAGGUUGCAGUUAACAUGUAUAUAUAUUUCUACGAAUUUCAGUACUCUGUACCUUCUUUGUUUAACUGCUCAAUGGUAGCAUUAAGGUCCCAACAUCUUCUAACAUCCCGUCUUGUUUGUACCACUUGUAGCUUUGGCGUGCUUAAAGCUCCGUUACAAAAAUUCUCCAUUGCGGGACAUUUGCUCACGUAUAGUUCAUCCAAUGAUGGGAACUUCAAAGUGUAAUUCCCUGAACAGAAGCUUUUGAGGUUUUGUAAAUCAUAAAGCUCCAAACAUUUCAACUCCUUGAAAAUAAUCUCAUCAUAUGUUGUUUCAUCUCCAUCACUUGCAAUUACUUCUCUCAUCUUUUGACAUCCAUCUCUCUUCAGUGUAACAAGCUGCUCCAAACAUUGGGCUUUCGGAGAUGUAAUCAACUCUACCAUCUCUUUGCAGUACCAAACCUCCAAAGUUGUAAGAUUUCGCGAAGAUGAGGAAGCACGUGUUAUAUUGGUUAAGCUGCCACACUUGUAAAUUAACUUGAAGCGUUUCAAGAUUAGCACAAAUGUGAUGGAGGGGAGAGCCUUGCUUCCAUAGAUGUGUCAUCUUAUAUUCUUAUCAACACCUUUCAAUGUUAACUGGUUAAUUCUUGGGACCAACAUUGUCACGUCUCUCUCCUCACCAACAUCACCUUCGUAAGGAGACAACUCUCUAAAAUUGCAAUAAACCAUCUCAAUCUUUUCCAAAUUGGAAAAUCUUUGUAGGAAACAGAAUGAAAAAACUGUUGAAUCAUUGAGGUAUUUAGUGAUUUCAAGAACUUUAAUAUGGGAAUCAAUCGUAAACUGGCCACCGGUGAUCAUUGAAAUGUCUUCAGUAGUAAGUGAAAUGUGUUCCAGUUGAGGGAUUAUCUGAGAAGUCAACAAAAAAUGAUAUAUUUGACUGGUUUUUGAAUUGCAGAGGAUUAGGAAGGUCGAACACAAACAUGAGCUAAUAAAAGAACCAAUGAAAUAGAAAACAUGCAUUGAUUAAUUCUGCACUUUUCAAUGCUUGAUUUUGUUGUUUACUAUUAUUAAAAGAAAAAAAAAGGCCAUACGAUAAGAUUAUUAUGAUUAAAAACAAACAAAUAGCUAAAAGAAUGUACUAACUUUUUACGUGUUAGGUUUGAAUCUUUGGAAAUCAAAAGAGAAAGAAAAUAGUAGAUUGAUCCUCUGGUUUUAACAAUUCCUUGUGUACCAGAAAAAUAGAUUGCAAUGCCGUAUUCAUAAUCUUAUAGGAAUAGGACUUUAUAAUAAAAAGCGAAAUAUACAAGGAUCAAUGGUAAAAUAACCCUUUUAGUUUUAAAGACCGAUAUUUGUGUUUCUAGCCGUGUAUGUAGUUGGGGUGUCCAAGUAAAAUGCUUGUUGAUUAAAUUAUAAAGUAAUACCUUAUGAAGAUAGGAUAAAUUCUGAAGUUAGUGAGAAUUUUUUUAAUAAAUGAAAAUUAAAUGCAUUUGGUUGAGAGGUAGUAAACGUUUCAAGUAAGUUACAUGAACCUUCUUUAAAUGAAACUAUUUGUAAAGAAAGGGCGAAGAAACGUACCUUUCCAAUGAGUAACAGUUGAGACACUACAUGUCCAAACUUCUUAAUCUUCGUAGACCAAUAUGUCCUCAACCUUUUUAACAUAGGACACGUUAUGUUGUGCAUUCCUGUGUAGAAACAUAUGAGAUUUGGUAAAGCCCUAAGUACAAGAAAGGAUAAUUGAUUAAAUUCAAACAAAAUUUCAUGUUUGUCUAAUCCUUCACUUUUUAGUCGCAUCAAAACGACAUCGUUUUGGGGCUUUUGAGACAUGCCCCAAACGACGUCAUAUGGUGACCCUUAUAUAUGCCAAAAAUUUCCCAAAAAAUUCAUUUCAGAAUUAGUUUAAAAAAAAUUGAAAACCCUUUUUUCUAUCCAUCCUCCUCUGUGUCCGGCCAUUGAGCCGCCGUGGGCCACCAUGGCCACCGAUCAUCGGCGACGGCGACGGCGACUGUCACCUCCGGUGGCCGGAGUCCAAAAAACCCCUUUUUUCAGCCCUUUUCAACCUUAGAACCCGAAUCUAAAGGCAAAUGCCUUAAAAGAAUAAAAAAAUGAAAAAGAUUUCGGCGGCUUUCGUUUCCCCUUUUAUUGAAGCCCAAACGAAACCCUAAUGGGUUCGGCGGCUUUCGGGAUCGAGGGAGACCCUCGACGGCGGCGCGAGACGAAGCCAAGUAAAAGGUUUUAUAUUUAUUUAUUGUUUUCGACUCUAAAGAAACAAAGUAAAUCACCUUUCUUUUUGCUUAAUGUUUGUAUUCGAUUUUUAUUUUGAUCUUCUCUGUAAAAAUACAUGUGGUUUUCAUGGCUUUUAAGCCAAAUAUUUAUUUUUGUAUUCUUUUUUGUUUUUACUGUUUCUGCCAUUUCCACUGUUUUGCUUUCUGUCCUCUUUCGUUUUCUCUUUGCAAGUACCCAUGGUGGUCAACGACGACGAUGGGAGUUGGCCUUGCCAUUUUGGUGUAAUGGUGGCAAGGGGCGCGUCAGGCCUCGGGCGGUGAGGACACCAGCAUGGUGGGGUGCAACGCAAAAGGGAUACUUAGGGUUUUAGGUUUUCUGAAAAGAAGUUUAGGUUAUGGGCUAUUGGGCUUUGGGUAUUAGGGUUAGCAGAUAGAUUGGACUAUUGAGCUGUUUUUUGUUUGGGCCAAUCUAUUUUGUAAAUGGACUUAGACUUUUAUUUUUGGUUUUUAUUUUGUUUAUUUAUUUUUGGUUUUUGUUUGGGCCGGACGAAAAUGGGCCCUUACAUUUAUAUUUUCUGUCAAUUUGGAUAUUAUUCUUUUUUUUUUUAGCUAAAAUUGUUCUCAACUUUUAAAAAGAAUCGAAUUUAACCAUUAACCUUUAAAAGUAACCAAUUUACUUUUUUUAAUAGAAAUAUUGACUAAAGAGUUAAAAAUUUUAACAUUGCAACUCUCAUGACAAUUCACAUAUAGUUCAUGCUAAUUUUUGUUUUUUGAAUUUUCACGAACUAUAUAUAUAUUUAAAGUUUUGAAUUUUUAUUCUUUAAUUUUUUAUAAUUUUUAAAUUAUUUAUUGAUGUGACGUGUAAGAUAAAAAAUGUCAUAUUAGCAUGAAGUGCAUGUGGAUUAUCAUGCGGGUUGUCACACCUAUAUUGUUAAAAAUUAAUGUUUUAACUAGCAUUUCUAUUAAGAAAAAGCAAUUUAAUUCUUUUUGAAAUAUUAAUGGCCAAAUUUAACUAAAAAAAAGAAAGAGUAAGGCCUAAAAUGAUAAAAAAAUGUAAAUGUUGAUAGCUAAAAUUGUUAUUAUGUCCUUUUUUAUUAUUAUGAAUUUCUGUUAAUAAAAACCAUUUGACUCUUUUUAAAAUAUUAAUAGUAAAUUUUAACUAAAAAUAAUAAUAAAAAGAUGUAAACAUUGAGGGCUAAAAUUUUCACCAUGCCUUAAUAUUUUUUUACAGAUUUGAACAAAAAAUAUCAACAUAAAAGUAUUUAUUAUUAUUUUUAAAUGGUUUUUAAAACUUUUAACAAUUGAGUUGCUGCAUGAGCUUGGGAAACUUUGGAACCUAAAAUAUUGUUUUUAUUGUUUAUUAUAAUAUUAAUUUAGCAUUAUAAAUAAAUUAUUGUAAUAUUAAUAAUGUGAUAAUAAAAAAGUAAUAUUAAUUAAUUUUAAAAAAUGUUUUUUAAGCAAAAUCUUAAAGUAAAAAAUAAUAGAUAAGUUUUAAAAUUAAAAAUAAGAAAAAUAAACUUUCAAAGAUUUAGGGUAGAUUUGGAUGAACAGUACGUCUACAUACAUGCGGUUAGUGUAAAAACAAAGGCAGCAGCGUAAUUAGAUACGAUAACUUGAGAAUAAAUUAAACACACACAGAGCACCCUUCAUCCAAACCCACCCUUAAUCUUGUCUAAACUGAAAAAUAAGAGAGUUCUACAUGAAAGACGGUUUCUUGGGAAUUUAUCAUGGUGCCUUUUGCCCUCAUGAAUAGUUUCCUCUAAGAAAAUAAAAAUGUUAUCUUUGCUAGUUGGCUAAUAUAAAAAUAUAUAUGUUUAUAAUUUUGGAAUAUGUUAGAUUUGUUUGAGGAUCAAAUUUAUAAAAUUUGUAAAUGUAAAAAGUUAAAUUUAUUAAAUUAUUUAAAAUUAGAAUCAAAUUAAUAAAAUAUGUAAAUGUUAAAGACUACUUGUAUUAUUAAAUCAAUUUAAAAACCAUCACAUCAUCAUUUUUAUUAACAAUUUAAUGAGUCUUUAGUUGUCUCCUUCGUUUGCUUUUCUUAUUUUCUUUUUUGUUUUUAUAAAAUGAGUUUUUCUCCUUAAAAAAACAAAAGGUCGGAGAGAAGCACACUAUAGCAAAUAAUGGUUCCACAAAAUAUUUUUCAUAGCAUUUUCCUUUUAUAAGUCUUAAUAUUUGAUACACUUGUAAUAUACAAUUUCUUUUUAAUUUUAUAAGCAGACUUAAAAAAUUGUCAUGUGUCUCAUUUUUUAUAUUUAUAUUUUAAAAUAUUUUAUUAUAUCUCAUAAGACAUUUGUCAUUACAUCGACUCUAUUUGUAGAGUUUAAAAACUUCAUUAACAAUGUACCAAAUAUUUUUUUUUGAGAUAAUUUCCAUAAAACAUACCUAUGCCAUAAGUAGGGGUGUUUUUAUUUGAAAAAUACCACAAAAUUUGUAGGGUAAAUUACACUUGAGGUCACUAAACUAUUAGUAAAUUUACGUUUUGAUCAUUUAAUUUAAAAAAAAAGUUAUAAAAUAGUUACUGAACUAUUCGAAAGUUUUCAUUUAAGUUAUUAGACUGUUAAAAGCACUGCCAUGUGGUCUUCUUGGUUCGCACCGCUUACACUGAUCAAAAGCUCUCCUUCUCUUUCUCUUCUACAGUUUAGUAUUUUUCAUGAAACAACUUUGAACGUCACAAAUCUAUAAACCAAAAUCCAAACAACAAUUUCUUAUUUGAUCUCCAACACUGAUCAUCAAAUUGACUUAGAUCUAAGGUAUGUUAUCCUACUCGUCGAUGUGUAUUGAUCCACUGUAUCAAUUGUUGAAUUGUCACUUGGACCUUGCUAGUAAAACUUUAAAAAAAAAAACUUCAACAACCCAAUGAAUUAAAUAAAAACUUUUGAAUAGUUCAAUGAUCAUUUUAUAACCUUUUGAAGUUGAAUGACCAAAACAUAAACUUACAAAUAAUUUAAUGAUUUUGGGUGUAGUUUACUCUUUUCUUUUCUUUUCUUCGGUGUAAUUAUUUUUAUUCCAUAAUCAUGGCGUGAUUGGGAGUAUUGGCCAAAAUUUUGUAUGAUAAAAGAUGGGUAGAAAAAGAGAAACGGGAAAGAAAGAUAGCAAAAAAGUGUUAUAAUGAAACAAAAGUCCACAACUUUAUUGGAUAAUGUCAUUUUCAAAAUUUAAAUCUAAAUUUUCUUCUUAAAAAUAUAAUAUAAUUUACCACUGUAUUCAUCCUAAUUAUUAGUAAAAAAACUUAUUUUGAUUUGUUGAAGAAUACUAUUUAAGCUAUUCUGAACCUUAUAAAUUUUGAUAUAUUAUUUCUCCUGUUUCUACUCUAAAGAUGGAUAGAGAAGAAAACUAACAUGCACCAUAAAAAAAAUAAUUUUAUCAACAUUUAUCAGUAUCAGAAAAAGGUCAUAAAAUUCUCCUUAUUAAUAUCAACGACUAGGGUGUCGGAGAAAAGUUUUCAGAUAACUUGACCAAUAGUGUUGGUAUAAUGUUUGUAUUUACACCAAGUCUUACAUAUAGUGGUAAAACACAUUGCAUUCUCAAUGAGAGACGUAAAUUCGAACCAUAAAAAUGAUAUUAUUGGGAGGGGUAGUCAUAAACCUUUAACAUUAGAUUCUAAAUCAGGUACGCAGAGAAUAGAAUGGUUAAGAGAUUCAACUUUUUUUAUCUCUUUAUUUAUUUGUAAUUUAGUGGUAUAUCUUGCGACUACAAACUAGAGAAUACAAUUCAAGCAGCGAAGAAAAAUGAAAAUUGGGUUCCAAAAAAUAUUGACUGCCAAAAAGAUCAACAAUUCUACCUGCAAUCCAAAUCAAUGCCUAAUAUUCAGCUUUGUAAACCAAAUGGUGCACGAAUCACCACUAUGGAUAAUAAAGCAGGCUAAUAUAUUUUACAUGUUAACAAGAUCAAAUUGUCUGAAAACACAAAGAAUGCUUGAAAUACAAUCCCAAGAAUAUAAAACCAUAAAAUCUCCAAAGUCAAGAUUCAGUACUUGCUCACAAGAAAUUGCCAUUUAAGAACCUCUUCAAAAUACCUCUCCUUUUGUCUUUUCAUUUCGAAAUCAUCAUCUCACUUCAAUUAUUUUGUCCGUCUCUUCAGACACCUCAUAUUCUGUAAUAACAAGGAGUCACAUAUAACAAGAUGAGACUUGCAUUUAUACUUGAGCAUAUAAAUUCAAUGUCAGAUGGAUUUACAAUAAGCUUACAAGGUGACAAUUAACAUGUAUAUAUUUCUACGAAUUUCAGUACUCUGUACCUUCUUUGUUUAACUGCUCAAUGGUAGAAUUAAGGUCCCGACUACAUUUUCUAACAUCCUGUCCUGUUUGUACCUCUUGUAGCUUUGGCGUGCUUAAAGCUCCAUUGCAAAAAUUCUCUAUCGCGGGACAGUCAAUCACUGUUAUGUCAUCCAAUGAUGGGAACUUCAAAGUGUAGUUCCCUGAACAAAAGCUUUUGAGGUUUUGUAAACCCUUAAGCUCCAAACAUUUCAACUCCUCGAAAAUAAUCUCUUGAUAUGUUGCUUCAUCUCCAUCACUUGCAAUUACUUCUCUCAUCAUUUCACAUCCUCGUAUCUUCAGUGUAACAAGCUGCUCCAAACAUUGGGCUUUCGAGGAUGUAAUCAGCUCUACCAUCUCUUUGCAGUAACCAACCUCCAAAGUUGUAAGAUUUCGCAAAGAUGAGGAAGCACGUUCUAUAUUGAUUAAGCUGCCACACUUGUGAACUUCAAGAGUUUCAAGAUUAGUACAAAUGUGAUGGAGGGGAGAGCCCUGCUUCCAUAGAUGUGUCAUCUUAUCAACACCUUUCAAUGUUAACUGCUUAAUUCGAGGGAGCAACAUUGUCACGUCUCUCUCCUCACCAACAUCACCUUCGUAAGGAGACAACUCUUUAAAAUUGCAAUUGACCAUCUCAAUCUUUUCCAAAUUGGAAAAUCUUUGUAGGAAACGGAAUGAAAAAACUGUUGAAUCAUUGAGGUAUUCAGUGAUUUCAAGAACUUUAAUAUGGGAAAACAAGUCAAUCGCAAAUUGGCCACCGGUGAUCGUUGCGAUGUCGUCAGUAGUAAGUGAAAUCUGUUCCAGUUGAGGGAUUAUCUGAGAAGUCAACAACAAAUGAUGAUAUAUUUGACUGGUUUUUGAAUUGCAGAGAAAUAGGAAGGUCUAACACAAACAUGAGGCAAUAAAAGAACCAAUGAAUUAAAAAACAGGCAUUGAUUAAUUCUGCACUUUUCAAUGCUUGAUUUUGUUGUUUACUAUUAUUAAAAGGAAAAUAAAAUGCCAUAAGAUAAGAUUAUUUUGAUUAAAAAAAUGUGCUAACAUUUAAACAGGGACAUUAGUUCAGUGACAAAGGCUGACGUGUUAGGAACUUUGAAUUUAAGUCCCACCGUAUUCAAAUGCACAAGUUUUCUCUAUAUUUAUUCUGAUUAAUUAUCAUAUUCUUGGUAAAAAUUUGUUUUUAUUCCCAAAAUAUUUAUAAUAAUUUUUUUAUUUUUCAUUUCAAUCUCAACUUUAUUUUUGAUAUUUUUCAUGUUCGCUUUAUAACCCAUAUAUGGGGUUUAUGACUGCUCCUCCCAACAAUAUUAUCUCUAAAAUAUGAAUAUGUGUUCUUUCUUUAAAAGUACAAUAUACUUUAUUACUACACCAAACCCUUAUUAGUUCAAUCCCAACUCUUCACCCCUGAAAUAAAGCUAUGCUAGAUUUCGACAUUCAUUAUGAUGCAUUCUAGUUGAUCUUGUUUUCACCUACUACCCUUGAUCUUUGGAUUAGAACUUUUAAAAUAAAAAAUUAAAUUUUAACAUUUUUAAGUAUAGAGUUCACAAAAUAAAUCUUAUAUGUUGCUAAUGUCACUAUCGGGUUAAUAUAAAAAUAAAACAUUUAAAAAUUUAAUAUAGUUAAGCGAUCAAAAAAGAAAAAAUCGAAUAGUUAAAAAAUUAUUUUGCAAGUUUUCAUAGUUAGAUGAUCAAAAAAUGAAAUUUACUAAUAAUUGGGUAGUACCCUUCUUUAUAUUACCAUAAGUGUAUGAAUUACUUCCAAGUUCCAAUUUUUUAAGUGCUGGGUUUGAAUCUUUGGAAAUCAAAAGAGAAAGAAAUUGGUAGCUUGAUCCUCUGGUUUUAACAAUUCCUUUUUUACCAGAAAAAUAGAUUCCAAUGCCGUAUUCAUAGUCUUAUAGGAUUAGGACUUUAUAGUAACAAGCAAAAUAUACAAGGAUCAAUUGUAAAAUAACCCUUUUAGUUUUGAAGACCAAUAUUUGUGUUUCUAGCUUUGUAUAUAGUUGGGUGUCCAAAUAAAAUGCUUGUGGAUUAAAUUAUAAAGUAAUAACUUACGAAGAUAGGAUAAAAUCUGAAGUUAAUGAUGAAUUUUUUUAAUAAAUGAAAACUAAAUGCAUAUGGUUGAGAGGAAAUAAAUGAUUCAAGUAAGUCUUAUGAACCAUCUUUAAAUGAAAUUCUUUGUAAAGAGAGGAUGAGAGACGUACCUUUUCAACGAGUAGCAGUUGUGACACUACAUGGCUUAACUUCUUAUUCUUUUUUGGCCAAUGUGUCUUCAGCCUUUUUAACAUAGGACACGUUAUGUGGUGCAUUCCUGGAUAGAAACAUACGAGAUUUGGUAAAGUCCAAAAUGCUAGGAAGGAUAACUGAUUAAAUUCAAACAACACUUCAUGUUGGUCUGAUUCUUCAACACUUUUGGAAACAAUCUCCUCCACCCCGCAACUAUCCACAAUAAGGCUUUUAAGUUGAUGAAGAUCUUUGGCCAUUGAAAAUGAAAACAAAGUUUUCAAACUCCAACAUUCUUGAACAUGUACUUCUCGAAGAUUUUCAAAAGAAAUAUUUGCAUUGGGAUCCUUGUUCCAUACAUGCUUCAACUUUGGCAAGCGAAAGAGUUCCACUUGUCUUAAUUUACUGGUCACGAUGCAUGCUUCUUCAAUAUCUAACAUUUGGAUUUGGAGUUGGAACACUUCUUCUAGUGAAGCACAAUCAGUUACUCUUAAUUUCUCCAACCUUUGGAAAACUCCAAGGAAAAAAUGUGGGAAAAUGUUCAACAAUGAAUCACAAUGCUCCACUUCCAACUCUUUCAAAUUAGAAAAUGAUUUUGAACAACACUGCUCAUACCACAUCCUCUUCACAUUCCUCAAAUGGGAGAUUGUGAGGUUCUCCAACUUGGAAAAAACAACCUACAAUGCAUUAUUCAUGCCAAUGAAAACAAUUAUUAGAAGAGGUAAAUAUCACAAGAAGAGAAAAUUUUAAACUAAUAUUUUUAAUUCUCAAGUGUUCAAUUUCCUUAUAAUAUUUAAUAUUUUAAUAGUUCAACUAAGUCGAAAGUUCAAACCUAAUCGAGUGAAUUGUUAUGCUAUGUAAGUAAUAUGAGUUUGAAAUUUUGGAUUUGAAUUUUAUUUGCUAGAUAAAUAGUAAGAAUGGAAUACAUUAUGCAUAAAAAGUAUAAUAACUUAUUUCAAGUUGAUUAAUAUAGUAGGAAUUCAAAUUUAAUACUAAAUAGGCCUUUAAUAAAUUCAUGAAUUUAAAAAAUCAUCAUGAAUGUUAUAUUUAUCCGUAUUUUGUCACUAAAUUUACAUUAUUUUUAAAACCAAAAAUCUAUAUAAUACUUUAUUGAGUUCAAAUUUCAUAACUAAAUUAUCAUAAAAUCUUCAUUAAAAAUAAACUUCAUAGCUCAUAAGUAAUGAUUAGUCAUACGAUACAUGUAUAUAUAUAACUAGUUUGUAUUCUCAUGUGAUGCACAGAUGCACAGAUGUGCAUAUCAAAUUUAUAAUUUUUUUAUAACAUUAGUUUUUGUUUAAAAUAUUUAAUGAAUUUCUUCGAAAAUGAUUAAUAAAUUGAAAAGUAAUGUAAUUAAAUUUUUUAAAAUAUUUAAUUAAUUUAGAAUGAGUUAUAUUACUAUUGUUUAAUUUAUAAAAAUAUUUAAUAUAUCAUGAUUAAAAAAUUCAUCAUGGUUUGAAUAUUAAUAUUAAUAUAUUAUAAUUUAAAUAAUAUUAUUAAUAAAUUCUUAAAAAUUAUUUAUUUUAUAUAUAUUGUUAAAUUAAUUUAUUUUAAUGUCAAAAUCAUUAAUAUUCAAUUUUUUUUUUGUAAUUUUAUAUUUAUCUUUCCUCUACUUUAAUCAAUCCAUUUAAUGAACUCUUAUUAUAUUUAGAAAAAUAAAAAUUUCAUUUGAUAAGUGUUAUUUUUAUGCAUCUUUUUUUUAAAACUAUAUUUUAAGCAUAGCAAUUUAAUAUUCAUUAAUUUUAAUAUGAUAACAUUAAAAGUUAAUUAAAUCAAGUAAAAUCCUAAAAUAAAAGAGAUAAUUUAUUUAAAAUCAAAUUUAUAUUUAACAUAUAAAAAAUUAUAAAUAAAAAAUUGAAAAAAAAAGCAUGCAAUAACUUAAAAAAAUAGAAGUCAAGGAGAAAAAAAAAUUUACCCAAAAUGUUAAUAACAACUUAAAUUAGAGAGUGUAAUGUGUAAAAAAAAAAAACUAUAAUAUGAUGAUGAUUAUUUAUUUUCAUUUUUUGUAACCUCAUAUUGUUGUGGUAUGUAUAUGAUAUGAAAGAUACGCGAACAACCAUAGCCACAUAAAAGGAAAAUUAAAUGUAUAAAUGAAGACUUAUUCAAUAAAAUAAGCCUAACCUUAUCGGAGAAAAAUGCAGUAACGUUAUCAACUUCGUCACCAAUUAUUACUUCUUUAUCUUCAUCUCUUGAAAAUGUAGAAACAAAAGUAGUCAUGUUUGAACAGCCAGUUACCUUAAUUUUAACCAAGGAUGGAAAUUCAAGACAUUUACUUCCCCGAUAAAAGCUUGUCAUAUCUGGACAAGACUCCACUAUAAUGGAUUGGAGGCGAGGAAAUAUGCCAAAGAUCUUGCUACUAUCUGUUAUUGCUUCCUCAACCAUUGUAAUUGGACACUCUUCUUUGAUGACUUGUUCCAAAUUAUCGCAUCUCUUGAUUUCCAUUUGCCGGAGUUGCCCUAGGCUGAAGGCCGUUGAGAGGUAAAAAAUGUACCUCAAAUUGUUGGAAUCACAAAUCUCCAGAAAUUCAAGAGUUGUAAAAUCCAACAUUUUUUGAGGAUUUUUACUCCAUAUGUCUAUCAGCUCCGGAAACUUUGAGAACUUCAAAUGCUUUAGACCACGAUAUCCAACCUAAGAAGCAACAUAUCAAAAAGUCGAACUUUCAUAUCGACAUAUUUAACAAGGGUCCUACAAUGCUAUUGUGAAAAUGAAUUACACAAAUCAUAAUUAAAUGUAUAUAUCUUUCAAUGAAUUUUUAAAUCAGCACCUGCUCUUUGUAUAAUUGCUCCACCGUGGCAUUAAGGUCACCAUCCCAACGUCCCCUAACAUCUGUUUCUGUUAACUGCACUUUAUGCAGUUUUGGUGUGAUUAGCUUUCCUUGAUAGAAGUUCUUCAUUCUAGGACACUGGCUCAAAGUAACUUGUUCUAAGGAUGGACACCAUAAGGUGUAAUUCCCUGAACAAAAGCUUGUGAGGUUUUGUAAACAAUGAAGCUCCAAACGUUUCAGCACUCUAAAAACAAUAUCGUAUGAUGCUUCAUCCCCGUCACUUGCAACUACUUCUCUCAUCACUUCACAUUCUCUUAUCCUCAUAGUAACAAGGCACACCAAACUUUGGACUUUGAAAGAUGUAAUCAAUUCUGACAUCCCAUUGCACUUCCAGACAUCUAAAGUUGUAAGAGUUUUAAAAAAUGAGAGAUCUAAUCCUAAAUUAAUCAAAUUGUGACACUGCCAAACUUCAAGACAUUUGAGGCUUGCACAAAUAUGGUCAAGCAGGGAGUCUUGUUUCCACAGAUGUCUUAUGUUCUUAAUCAGAACCAAUUUCAACUUCUUGAUCUUUGGGAUCGUGAUGAUUAUGUCUUUAUCUUCACAUGCAUCGCUUUCAAAAGAAGCUAGCUCUUUGAAAUUGCAAGAACCCAGCUCAAGGCUUUCAAGAUUGUAAAACCUUUUAAGGAAAGAAAUUGGGAAAACAUCUGAUACAUUAGAGUAGCAAGAAAUCCGAAGAAUUUUUAUAUUGCAAAAUAAGUCGGACUCAUAUUGGCCAUCACUUAUCAUCUCAAUAUCACCACGAUUAAAUGAAACUUUCUCCAAUUGGGGGAUAACCUAAGAAGCAACAAAUAAGAACAAUGAGUUUUAUAGAGUAUUUGAUUUAGAAUCUCAUUUAAAUAGAAAGACCUAACACAAAAUAACAACCAUAAGAUAUGGUAUAAGCCCGUAAAGGAACUACGAAAUCAAAUGCUUGAAGUGAUGUGUAUUUGUAGUUUUAAUUUCUAUAUUAAAAAUAUGCAUGUUAGGUUUUCUUUAAAAAAAAAGCAAUAUAAUUUAUUAACUUGUAAAGAGUUACAAAAAAUUCGAAAUUAAAAUAAAAAUUUAGAGAUUAUUGGUUAGAUAGGAAAAAUAUGAAUUCGGUGAUUAUUUUAAUUAUUUUGUAUUUUCAAAUGAAUAUUUGAAUGGAUGUAUUAGUUGAGAGGUACAAAAUAAUUUAAAUACAAUUUAUAAACUUUGCCAAAAAAAAAAAAAAGGGUGUGGCAGUUCAUACCUUUUCAAUGAGGAAAAGUGGAUGUUGGAUUUGGGAUUCUUCAUGCCCAAAUAUCUUAAUCCUCCCACACCUAAAUAUCCUUAAUUGCUUUAGUGCAGUCCAUGUUGUUUUAUGCAUUCUUGGGUAGAAAUAUGUUAGGUAUGGUAGAUUCCAAAGUUCAAGGUAGAACAACUUAUUAAAUGCAAAACAAAUUUCCUGUUCGUCUGAUUCUUCAACGCUCUUUGAAACAAUCUCCUCUAACCCACACCUAUUAAUAGUAAGUGCUUCAAGUUGCUGAAGAUUUUUGGCAAUUGAAAAUGGAAACAAAGCUUUCAAGCUCCAACAUUCCUGAAUGCGCACUUGUUGUAGGCUUUCAAAAGAAAUAUUUCCUUUGUGAUUCUUGGUCCAAACAUGCUUCAACUUUGGUAGGCGAACGAGAUUCACUUUUUUUAAUUGACUGUCUAUCACAUAUGUUUCCUCAAUAUCUAAAUCUUGUACUUGGAGUUGGAACACUUGUUCUAGUGAAGCACAAUCAAUCACUAUUAAUUUCUCCAAUCUUUGGAAAAGCCCCAAAAGAAAAGGUGAAAAGAUGUUCAACAAUGCAUCGCAUUCCUUAACAGUCAACUCUUUUAGCAUAGAAAAGGAAUUCGUAUGAAGUUGGUCGAACCAUAUCCUCUUUGCAUUCCUCAAAUGGGAGAUUAUGAUUUUCUCCAAGUUGGGAAAAGCAACCUACAAUUCAUUAUUCAUGCCAAUGGAAACAAUGAUUAAAAGAGUUAAAUAUAACAACAAAAAGGAAAAAAGAGAAAUGAAAAAUGCACUGCACUAAAAAGAGCACCUUAUUAUUGAACAAAACUUCAUGGGUAGGGAUAUCUUUCCUCAUAGAAUUAUGGAUGAAUUCCUUCAACUCUGAACAAUUUUCUAUCUCAAGAAUCGUUAAGACUGGGAAUUCAACGGUAUAAUCUUCAUGGCAAAAUCCGAUGAGUUUCUGAAGAUCCUUCAAUUUGAGGGAGUUCAAUCGGGGGAAGCGGAUUAGAGCUCUAUUUUUGAAUGUUUGUUGGAUCAUCUUAUCCGUUGAUAUUAUCUCCUGUAUGCACUUGCAUUCACUAAUUUCCAAGCAUUUGAGCUGGUGCAAAUAUUCAGGCAUGGAGUCAGAUAAUACAUAUUUUAAGUUGGCGCAGCCCUCAAUGAUCAAACUUGUCAAAUUUUGAGUUGAACAAAACGCUUGGGAACUCCAUAUUCUUUCAAUGCCAAUUGAGGAUAGUUUCAACUUCUCCAGCUUAGGAAACAAUAUCUGCACACAAGCACUUGUUUACUUGCCAAAUCUAAUCUAAGGCAAAUUAAAAAAAAGCUCUUUAAUUUGAUAUUUCCACUGGCUUUAAUGCUACACAAAAUAUUAUAAAAAAAAUAUAAUUUAGUUUAUACAAAACAUUAAGUGAAUGUCUUGUGUAAUUGAAUAAUAUUUUGUGUAGUUUAUACAAAACAUUAUAAAAAUUGUAAAAAUAAGUGUAGUGGAUUAAAAUGCUUGCACUGGAUGAAGAAAAAAGUAUUUACAUACCUUUUGCUUGAAAAGGGCACUUUCUUGUGGAGAUAUGGAAGUUGAAAUUUCUUUUUUGGAGCAAAAGCUAAUGAGAUUCGGUAGACCCUGCAGUGUCAGUGACUCAAGUUGAAGAAAUUCAAUUUUCUGAACCGCAUCACUAUCUUUAAGGAUAUAUUGGACCAUCUCACCAUUUUGGAUAUGCAGAUUCCUCAGUUGCUGAAAAUAAUUCCCAACUUCUGAUUCAUGUAACAAAAUCUCCACACCUUUCACUUCAUCUAUAUAUAAAUUUUCAGCUUUCUUUAAUAAAACUUUAACUCCAUUAUUAAGAAAGCUAAUGUUUGUCCGCAGGUUAAGCUUUAGUGUUCUGGAGUAUUUAUAAACCCAAUCCCAAUUCCAAUCCCAAUGCGAUGCUUCUCCGAUGAAAAUAACGUACCUUUGCAACUUUUCAAAGGAGAAGCCUUUGGGAAUAAUCUUGGCAUUAGGGAUCUGAAUUUCUAAAGCAGUUAAACAUGACAAAGCAUUUAACUCAGCAAGACUUGAAUUGCUUUCGUUACUGGAGUGUCCCUCUGCACCCCAUUCAACAAGACUGUCAGGCAUAUACAGUCCUUCUAAUCUAGACAAUUUACACAAGACACCAGGUGAAAUUCUUUUGAGUUUGGAACAACGACGUAAAUUUAACCGCUUUAGCUUAGUCAGUUGUCCUAUUUCCUCCGGUAGCAUUUCAAUAUCAGACUCCAAAAUCGCAAAAAUUUCCAGAUUCUUGAGCUCUCCAAAAAGGGCUAUAUCUCCCAACACACAAUUAGUCAAGCAUAGUGCUCGAAGGUUUCCUAGCAAGGAAAUUGAAGGCAAGGACGAUAAAUUCAUGCCAGACAAAUAUAGGACUUUAAGAUUUUUCGUUUCCUUAAAAAAGUUUGCUGGUAUUUUCAUCCAAGGAUUCUUGCUACCCAUACUUAAAAAAGUAAGUUUGGGGCAUUUCAACUGAUCAGGAAGCUCGCUCAUACCAAAACAUGAUAUUUUAUCGCACUCUUUCACUGUUUCAUCAUCUGGCCAAUCAUUCGAAUCAUGUUUGUAUCUUAAAACAAACACAGAGUUGCCUCUAGAAGCGAUUGAUAUGGCCACAUCAGAAAUAAGAUCAUGCAUAUCAAAUUGCUUAUUGGUAUUACCAUCAAGUAACAAACAAGAGGCUUUGAGAUCACUCACCACUGUCAAUAGUCUAUUCCGUGUUUCUUCAACUGUGUUGACACCAUGAAAUAACCCCAACCCCAUUGCAAACACAAGCAAAAGCUCAAGCGGAGCAUUAUGACCCAUUAGACUGCAAAGCAAGAAAGUCUGUUUAUGGUCCUCGCUUUGUAAACGAUCGAAACUCCACUCUAUAGUUGAAUAUACAGUUGCUGGUACUCCUUUGAAGUUGCUCGACGAUGGCUUGCUUAGUUGUCGCAAAGCAUCCUCCCAUACAAAUUGACGUUUAUUUCUCAAAGACGUCGCAAGUGUUCUAAGGGCAAUUGGUAGACCACCACAUUUUUUAGCUACCUGAGUUGCUAUAGGCAACAAGUCAGAACUUUCAACACCAUCCCCUAUAAUCUUCUUGAAGAAAUGCCAUGCUUCUUCAUGUUCUAAAACGCCGAUUGGAAAACUCUUUUUAGCAUCCAUGUCCAACAAAACAUUAAGAUCUCUGGAUGUUAGCAGUAUGGUGCAUCCCUGAUCCUCUUCUCCCAAAGGAAUCCCCACUUCCAUCAGGUCCAGUUUUGCCCAAACGUCAUCUAAAACAACAAGAAUCUUCUUCUCUUUCUUCAACCUUUCGCACAAACGACUUGCUCUACCAGUCAUACUUUGCUCCUCAAAUUUCAAUCCCAACAUAUCUGCAAUUUGAUCUUGAAUUUUCUGGACGUCAGGAGUAUGAGUCACAACAGCCAUAACCACCGAGUCGAAUAACUUAUCUUCUUUGACUUGUCUGACAACUUCUUUCACAAGCGUAGUCUUGCCAACACCAGGCAUUCCGUGCACUCCUAUUAUGUUGACAUUAGGAUCUUUCACCGCCUCCAUGAUUUUGUUAAACAUCAGCCUUCUUGAAUCAAAGUCCUCAAAAUCUUUAGGAGAUACAAACAAUAUGGGCUGCGGGACAUCCCGAUAUGAUAUUUUGUCAAACCCGCCUUGCUGGAGGAGUUCAUCAACGGCAGCGGUAUCUUCUUCUGCUUUCUUGCUAAGCUGAUAGCGAGCCUUGAAAUUAGGGCACAAGCUGAUGAAACACUUGUUCUUUGCUUCGUCUUCAAGACCCUUCACUUCCUUCAACUCUGAAUCAGUCAUUUGGUCGGCUUUCGCCAGCCAACUGUUGACUUCGGGGUAUAUAUUCUCACCGUUCUUUUCAGCAGCAUCAACAUCUAGCAGCACUCCGUCUCUUUUGUCUUUCAACGUCUCGACUUUCUUCUCGAAACCCGAAACCCUUCUUCUAUAGCGGCAAACAUAGCUGAAAUUACGUCUAACUUUUUGGAACACGUAUCUCGCAACUCCGGCAACAAGGUUGCUAGCGGUGCCCGUAAUAACUUCCAUGUUUUUCUUGGGAAAGGGGUAUUCAAAACUCAAGCAAAAAGUGCAUGUGAUAGAAUAAGAGGGGAGCAGAUUCAAAUAAUAAUUAGGAAACAAGGAAACUGUUGUUACAAACAACAAGCUAAUGCGGAGCAGAAGAUGAUCAGAGGGGAGUAGGAGACAAAGAGUGAAGAAUUGGAAAAGGUUUAUUUUGUGGACUGAACGUAGCUACGAUGGGAAAAUAAGAAGGAAACGGUUGUGGGUUUGGGUAGGCAGUAGCUGAGAUCUCAGUAAUGGAGAUGAGGAACCUGCAAUAUUCAAGCACAACAACCGCUGACUUUCACAUGGGAAGUUAAAAAAUAUCGUGAAUAGUAUUGAAAUGUAGAACUAUUGUUUUUCGAUAUAGAUAAAUGCAAGUUCGGAAAUAAUGGUAUGAAAUACUGACAUCAUAUUAAUAUACUUUUUAAUAAUUUAAUGUUAAUUCAUUCUAAAUUUUAAUAUUUUCAUUAAAAUUUUGAAAUUAAGUUAUUUUACUGGUGAACUGAAAAAACGACUUAUCCUUUUAUUUUCCCCAAGUCAUUUUACACCCGCUUCUCUUAGUUCUUUUGUCAUGUUCUUUUCACAAAAUCAUCUAUGCUUUUCUCCAUUCCUUUCACCAGCAUCGUCCCUUCUCUCAUCGGCGACAUUAAACAAAUCAAAACGCAUUGAGAUAUCUCGAUUUUGGUGCAGUCUCUAUUUUCGCUAUUUCAGAAAUUAAACAUGUGACCUUAUUUAUUCUUGCUCUUCUAAUCUAAAUACCCAUAUCAUUUUGGAUUAUUUUAUUUGUUCCUUUUUCAGAUAUCUAAUAAAUAUUAAGUUUUGGAUUUGGUUUAUUUCAAGGGUAAAUUACAACAAUAGUUACUCAACUUUGAGGUAGCUGACAAAAUAAUCACUCUGGUUUCAAUUUAGUCACUUAAUUUUUGAAAAACAACAAAACAAUUACUAGCAUUAUCGAAAAGUGACAAAUCAAUCAACCACUAACAUUUUUUAUACAGGCCUAACGAGACAGGUGACGUGACUAGUUAACUAGCCACGUUGGAUAUCCACAGUGAAAACCCACCCAGUUUAAGAAGAAAUUGAAAAAAGAAACCUUAAUAACAAUGAUGACAAAGAAGAAGAAGAAGAUGAAGAGACUGUAAAAUCCCUCUCAAAACCUCCAACGGCCCCAAUACAAUAGACCCCACAAACAAACCUAGAGCACCGACAAGUAUUCCGGCCACCACCACUUGCAUUGCCAUUAAAUUGGUUUAGGGUUUUUUUUCCCCAAUAUUCUUCUUCUAUUGUGGGUAAAUUUCAAAGGUUUAACUUUGUCUCAUAGGGAAACUUCUUCUUGAAAUACUAAAUCACCAAAAAAAUAGCCUUCUCGCCUAAUUUUGGUCAAUAACCUUACAUAAGUAACCAGAACAAAAAAACAAAGAUUGAAGGACAAUAAGCAGUAUAAAGCAGGAGAAAGAGAGAAAGAUAUUGGUUUUUAAUAUUUUACCAGUUUCUAAAUCCUAAUUUUGGUUUCAAUUUCUUUUUAUUGUCUUUUCCUUUCUUUUUUUCCUAACUAGUUUGACAAAGUGAUUACAUAGAGGAAACAAACAAGAUGAAAAAGAAAAGCACUCAACAUAGAGAAUAAGAAAAAAAGAGCAUAUGGAUCAGGGUUCUCCCCUUCCAUCUUUUGCUUCCCCACUGUUUUUUUUUUUUUGUUUUGGUCAAAUACUUCAAGUUAACAGGAUGGUGUAAAGGUCGUCGUUUCCAUGUGGGAUGCCAGCAUGGCAAGUUAACGGGCCACUUCAGUUUUUUGUUACAUCUGUAAUGGUAGUGACUAUUUUAUUUUUUUUUGAAAGUUGAGUGACUGAAUUGAAACCAAAGUGACUAUUUUGUUAGCUAUCCCAAAGUUGAGUGACUAUUGGCGUAAUUUACCCUUAUUUCAAAUUUUUUUAUUUUCUUUAAAUAAUUUAUUUCAGAUUCACUAUGUUUUGGUUAAAGCUUGUUUGUGACAUUGGCUCAAAGACUGUGAAAAAUCGGUUGAAGUGUGAUAAGUAGUGCAAAUUUUUGUAUAGAGACAAUAAAGAUUUAAAUGAAACAGAUGGAGUGUGAUGAGAAGAUGAGACUAGUGGUGGUUUUCUCUGGGAUUGAGAAGUCAUAUUUAUGGCCAUGAGUUUUUUCUUAAGCUUGGUAUUAUGGUAGUUAUUGAUAUCAUUGUUAAUCCUUCUUAAUAACCAAGCAACUAUUGUUGGACAUAAAUAAUGUGGCAUCAAACUAUUAAGAGCCUAUAUUAGCUACAUAUUUUCCUCAAAUUUAUCUAAUUUAUUUGGCUCUUUUAAAUUUAUAAAAGAAAAUCAUUUCAGUUAUUAAUUUAAUUUUUCAUCUCUUUUAGCUCUUAAACUCCACGGAUUUAUUUGUUAAAUGGCAAUUGACACAUACAAUAAGUCCAGUUGCUUCUCGUGGAUUUUCAUACCCCUGUUAUGCAAAAAUGGGAUAUGCAUUUGAAAUGGAGGUUAUUAUAUAGAGCAAGAGGGAUACAGAAAUGAAUUGAGUAAUCUCCUCCUUUGUUCAAGAAAAAAAUAUUUCUAGUUUGCAUAGAUCAAUCAUUAAUCCCAAAAAUUUCUACAAUAAAAUUAGAUAGAUUACUAAUAUAGUUCCCUAACAAUUUACUUUUACUAAAAAUUGGAAAAAGAAGAAGAUUGAAACAGGAGAAAUUGUGUUCUCUUGACAAUAAAAAGAGUAAAAUAAGUAUAACUUUGCAUAUCUCGAAAGUAAGAAAGAUUAUGAUCAAACCUGUCAAUAAUUUUUAGUCAUUAAUUGAAUAAUAAAUAACUACAAAGGAUGGAGACAUGCAAUUUAAAUAACAAAAAAAAAAAUUGAAAAUUGUAUCUAGAAUUUUUAAUGUAAAAAAAUUAUAGAUUUUUAUUAUAAUUUUUAUUAUUAAAUAAUUUUGAUAAAUUUUACACUUUUUUUAAUUUUUUAAAAAAAUUUCAAAAACUUUUAUAUAUAUAUAUUUAAAAUUAACUAAUUGUUGCUGUGGCAUACAGGUGGAUGUCAUUUCAACAAAAUUAACAAAUAUAAACUUUUCUAUUCGUUUUGAAACAAAAAAAAAAACCAAAUUAAAAAUUUUUAAAAAAAUAAAAAAAAUUAUAUACAAAAUAAAAGUAGUAACUAGAUGAGUACCCUUUUUAAAAGGACUAUGAAUUUAAUGUGGUACUUUAAAAGGGGAAUAAAUUGUUGUUUGUGGUGCAAGAGGUAAGAUAAAAUGAAUACCACUUCUCUCCUCUUAAAGCAUGCUUUUUGUUUUCUUCUAUUAAGUUAUUUUGAUAAUUAUAGUUGGAAAUUAAUUAAAAUGACAACAUUUACAUACAAAUGAAAAAGAAAUAUUUUGUAGUUGUCACCUUUUAAAUCAAGUAAAAAUGAGCUGGGAACACUAGUUUGAUUUUACUGAUGAGACAAAGUGGUGGACUAGUUUUAUUUAUCACAAAUUAUAAACUUCAUUUAUUUGAUUUAAAUUUAACUAUUAUGAGACAAAGUGGUAUCCUCUUAAUUCAUUAACUACAACUUUUUAUUAUAAUAUACAAAUAAAAUAACAGUACUUGGAAGGAAAUGAGAGAAAGAAAAAGGGUUAGUGGGAACUUAGAUCAUCUUUUAUGUUCUAAAUUUAAGUGCUAUCACCUUCUUUCUGUCUUUUAUUUUUGUUUUUGAAAAGAAAUUAAAAGGAGUCGAUUGAGCGGGGAAUUCGUUUUUUAAAAGAUUCAACAACAAAGGACGGUAAAAGGAGGGGCGAGUGAAAUUCGAAUCAAUUUGAAAAAGUUGAUUUUUUUAAUUUUGAGUUAAUCGAAUUGAGUUGUUUGAAUUAUUCGAGUCAACUCGAAUUACUUUUUGGAGUUUCGAGUUAGAGUUGAGUUAAAUUUUACAAUCUGAAUAAUUUGAAUAAUACAAAUAAUAAAUUGGUAUAAAUACCCUUUUUGAUCCCUGCCAAGUUUAAAAUUGAGCAAAUUUGUCUCUCUUCGAACAAAAAUUAUAAAAUAAACAAAAUAAUUUUCAAAAAUUCAAAAUAUUUAUAAAAAAAUCAAAAAUUUAUAUUUUUAAAAAAAUUCAAAAAAAUUAUAAAAAAAUAUAAAGAAAUAUAAAAAAUUAAAAAUUUUCUAAAAUAAUAAUUUUGAAGACCUAAAUAAGUUCUUUAAUGAUUCAAGUUUAUCAUACUAAAGUAUUCUCUUAUUAUUUUGCUUUGAAAAAGUUUUCAAAUAUAGAUGGUUUUAAAUUUAUGUGCUUUAACAUAGAAUUAGUUAUACUAUAACAAGAUUUUAAUUUGACAUACUUAAAUUUUUUUAAUUUAACUCGAUUCGAAAAAAUUUAAAUCAAGUUAAUAUAAUAAAAUAAGAUUUAUCAACUCAAUUAACUCGAAAAUUUUUUACUCGAUUCGAUCAAACGUUUCACCCUAGUAACAAUCAGUUUAUCCCAAAUCUGUAUUAAAUCUAUAAAUAAUUAUGUAAAACUUGCUUUGAUACAUUGAACAACGUUGUUGAAGUGAUCACAAGUUUGCAAAUUUUAAUCAUCUAAUAUGGGUAGGGAAGAAAAAUAACAAGCGGUAUAAAAAAAAUUUACUUUUACCAACAUUUAUAAGUAUCGGUGAAAUGCCCCUAUCAAGUGCAGGUCAAAAGUUUUCGGCGAGCCUGACAAUUAGUUUAUAUUUGUCGGAGUGACUUUUCCGGCGCUUUAAAAUACCGUUCUAUAUUGCAUUCAAGCAAUAUGGAGUUCAACACAUGUAAAAACCUCCAUCUAUGUCACAAGCUCCAAGCGUUAUGGAGUUUCAAUAUCAUGGUGUUGACACUAGUACUAGUUAGAGAUAGGGGAGAGCGUUCGAUCAAAUCGAAUGAAAAAAUUUUAAGUUAUUCGAGUUAACUAAUCAUAUUUUAUCAUUCUAAUUUGAUUUGAAAUUUUCUUCAAUCGAGUCGAGUGAUAUGGAAUUCGAAUUGAAUUGAAUCAAAUACAUUUGUUCGAGUUAAAUUAAAAAAAAAUUUAAGUCUUUGUAAUCACUAUCACCCACCGUAAUUAAAUUUGUUAUUAACUUUCAUCCCCUUAUAAUUUAUUUAUUAAUCUUUUAUAUAUGGGUUAACUUUUUUGCUUGCUUAGUUGCUUCAAUUAUCUUUUGAUUUUUGUUGUUAUGUAUUUUGAAAUUAAAAUAUAUUAAAUGUAAAAAAUGUGAUUUUUUAAAUAAAAAAUAUCUUAAAAAUAAAAUGUGAAAUUGAUAUCAAUAUAAAAUUUUAAUACGAAUAUUUUAUAGCAUCAUCAAUAAUUCAAUUGUUGAAUUUGAGCUGCAAAAUGUUAGUACAGUUAUCGGAGCAAACCACGUAGAAUUCAUAGUAAUCAGUUCAUUGUAUUCUGAUUCUUGACAAAAUUGUAUAGAAAAUAUAAAGUUAAAUUGUAUAAAAACUAAAUAAAAUUUAGUAAAAGAGAGAAAAUGAUAGUGUGAGAAUAGAGAAAGAUAAAGGGUAAGUGGGGAUUAGUUUUAUGAAACACAAACAGCUUUUGUUUAUAAAAGAAGAAGAUAUAAGAGGUGUUGAAGGGUGCUUUUGCUUUUAAAUCAUUAUAUAACGGAUUUCUUUUAAAAUUAUUGAUAUAUUAUUCUAAAUAAUUAAAUUUACAUUUUUAACAAAUUUUUUUUGAUAUUAUUUGUUCCAAACUUAACUAUUACUAUAAAAUAAUUGAAGGGGCGUGGACGGUGGACUGCACCAAAUGGUCAUCAUCACCUUUAAAAAAAGUUCAAGGAGCCGUGAUUGCCUUUAAAAAACUAACAUCCAAAUGAGGGAUAAAAACAAAAUAGAUAAUUAAAAAAGGUGGGUCCGAAUUUAAAAAGAAGGAUUUGAAGGCACCCCAAACAAAGCAAGGCCCACAUUACACGACGAGCAAGAAAAGACACCACAUCAUACUACAGCAGCUGCAGCAAGCAACACCAAAGUCCCUAUACUGACUAGCAAGCUGUUGGCUUAGAGCAAUAUGAAAGCCCUUAUUUUGUGGUAACUCUGAACCCCUUAAUAGCAUGUAAAGGCUCAGACUCUACUAAAUCACAUAUCUAUAAAUCCAAGAUUGGAAUUAAAGAUGAUGAACCAAUUCCACCAUGUUCAGAUCAAUGAUUCACUAUUUUAUGUGUUGCUUCAAGCAGCAUAAUGGAGACAAUGAUGAAACAUGCAAAGCAGUUUUAACAGGACAAGUUUAAUCAUCUUUCAAACAUAGUAAAAACAUGAAGUAGAGAAUAUAACCAUAUAUUGAGCAACACAAUACAAGCAUGUUAGAGAAAAAAGAGAGACUAUCUAAUUUGAAAUGUUUUGAGCUUGUUUUUGGUUUUGGAAUCAUUUAGAAACAGUUAGCUUGCUAACCACAGAUAUUGACUUUCCAAAUAGAUAGCUUAUUUGAUAGAAAUCUUUCAAGUAGGUUUAAUUAUAGCACUAGUCUCUAACUCUUCCAAGUUUUGAAAAUUACUCCCUCUAUUUUUAACUCUUAAGGACGUAGUCUCAUACUUGUUUGAUUUAAAAAUUAAAUUUUAGUUGAUGACUGAUAGUCACGAAACCAACUAAAAAUAUGACAAAAGCAAGUGCACCUAUCGAGAAGUAGUAUAGCUACGGUGAGUAAAGAUAUAGCUUCCACAAGGACUAAAAGUACUAGUAAUUACCGUUUUCCUAUUAUUUAAACGACAAAUUGGAAUGAUUGAUUUAAACUAAAAUUACUAAAUCAACUAACUAAAGAACUUAGCAAAGAAUAAAUUAGGAAAAUAAUCAAAUAAUUAAUAAUCAAGAGACGAAACAAUACCCAAUCCACCUAAAUUUAAUCUGUCAUUAUGAAUAUGAAUUAAACAAUUUAUUCACUAGGUAUCUUGAUCCAUAGAAAUCCCUAAAUUAUGCUAAUACCUCUAUUCAAGCAUAAAAGCAACUGACUCUAGGUUGAUUAAUUGAAAUAAUUUUUUCUAAUUAAAACCCUUAUUGUCGAAUUAACUCGAUCUAUGGAUCCUCUUAUUAGAUUUGACUCUAAUCUAGUAUAUUUAUGUCGUCCUAUUUCUAGGAUUGCAUGCAACUCCACUCAAUUAUGCUAAAUCUACUCUUAAACAAGGUCUAUUCCUCCUCUGAUUUAAGCAUAUCAAACAUAGAUUAAUAGCAUAGAAAUAUCAAACCAAGAAUUAAGCACACAUAACUGAGAACAAGAUCUAAAUAUUUAUUGUGUAAAAUAGAAAUCGUGAAAAAAAACAUCUCAAAGAUAGUAUAUCUACAAUAAAUAAAAAAACACAUAAUAAACUUCAAUGAAAUUAAAAAGGAGAUAUUCAAUCUUGAUGAAAAUCUGCUUUAGAGUCUACUUCAAUGGUGUUCUUUGAGUUGUUUUCUUCAAUACUCUCUAAUCGCUCCCUCAUCUCUUCCUUUAUUUGGUAUUUAUAGGUCUUAGAAUGCUCAAAAAGCCUAAAAAUUACGUUUUUUCGCAUAUUUGGAAUGCGAAUCACGAAAUUGACACGGGCUGCCACAUGGUUUUAUGGUAGCCCGUGUGACUCACACGGCCGUGUGUCAACCCAUGUAGGAAGGCCGAACCCAUGUGGCUCCUAAAAUAUGCUCUAAUUGUCUAAUUUUUGAAAAUAUCAGAUCCCCACAAAACUGAUCAAACAAUUCGUCGAUCUUCGAAAGUGGGUACUUAUUCUUCAUAGCCAACUCUCGGUAAUCGAUACACAUCCUCAUGGUACCGUCCUUUUUCUUCACAAACAAAACUCGUGCCCCCCACGGAGACACACUGGGACAGAUGAACCCACGAUCAAGAAGCUCUUGAAGCUGAGCCUUAAGCUCCAUAAGCUCUUUUGGUGCCAUACGGUAAGGAGCGAUGGACACCGGAGCUGUACCUAGUAGAAGCUCAAUGCCAAACUUAAAUUUUGAUUUCGGAGAUAAACCCAGUAGCUCAUCAAGAAAUACAUCUGAAAAUUCUCUCACUGUUCUAAUAUCACCGACAGAAGAGUCCCUAGAAACUGAAACACUGAAGUAGGCCAAAUAUGCCUCACACCCUUUCCGAACUAAUUUUUCAACCACUAAAGCGGAGAUUACAUUAGAUAAGUAAUCUCGAAGCUCACCGAUCACAACCACUUCUUUAUCAUCUUUGGUCCUUAGAACGACCCUCUUAGUCGUUCAGUCCAAACUAACUUGGUGCUCUAUUAACCAAUCCAUACCUAGAAUUAAGUCGAACCCCCCAAACGGUAGCUCCAUCAGAUUUUCCGAAAACACAACCCCUUGUACAUUCAGCGUACAUCCCUAUAUAGUCUAUUUACCCAAACAGAUUAUCCCAAUGGACUCAGUAUAAAGAUCUCACCAGAAGUACCCUCAACAGUAAUCCCCAAAUUUUUAGAAACAUAACUAAUUACGUAGGAGUGUGUGGAUCCUAUGUCUAUCAAAGCAGUAUAUGGAGCAUAAAAAAGAAAGAAACAUACCCGUGAUCACAUCAAGGGCGUCUUUGUCUUCUCGGCGUCGAGCAACAUAAACUAGUGUAGGUUACCCCACUUCAGUCUGGUUAGCACAUCUGUCCGGUGCUCUCUAUCCUCAGCCCAAACCAUUACCACCCCUAGCCGGACCACGUGUAUCAGCCUGUUUUCAGUGAAAUUAGAAUAGUAGUUUCGGGACCACAAAUCUAGUCCGCAAGAAAAAUUAUUUUAAAAUUAUUUUAUGGUCUACCAUAUUAUAGGAAUAUCGUAUAAAAAUUUUGUUAAGAAAAUUUUACCGAUUAGAUGUUAAUUGAUAAAAAUACCAAAUUUCAUUAAAUGCAAAAGUUGAGUUCUAGUAGCUAUAAGUAUCAAAUAGCUAUGAAAUUCAAAAUUUGAGGUCCUUAUAUGGCAAAUAGUCCAUUAAGAGCAGUUAGUAGAUAAGUUUGAUGAUUCUUCCAUGAAAAAUUAGAAAAAAAGAGGAUAAAAUUUGAAAGAUGAAAAAUAAAGAUGAUAAAUAAUAAAAUAAAGAAAAUAUCAUCAUUUUAUAAUCAUCUUUCCCAAAUAAAAUAUGGAAACCCUAGCCAUGGAGAAUUAAAGAAAGAGAAAACUUAUUUGGCCUAAUUAGGUGAGUAUUCAAGUCCCGUUUUUAGUAAUUUUUUUUAUUUUUGAUAUCGUAAUAGCUUAAUUUAGUAUCUUGGGGAUUAAUUUGAAAAGUUAUUAAAGUUUUAGGAUUUUGCCAUGGAUGGAUAUGCAUGAAUUAUGAAAUUUAUGGUAGAAAAUGAAAGGUUGUUGAUGGAUAAAUAAUUUUUGUAAAGUGAAUUUUCAUGAAAUUGUGAUUUAAGGACUAAAUUGUAAAUAUGUAAAUAUUCAUGGAAAAUUUUAAAUUUUAUGAAUUACAUGGGCUGCAAAUGUUAUAUGUAAAAAUCGAUUAGGCUUGAAAUAUGGACUCAUUAAUCCACCAUGUGGAUGGUUUUGAUAUUAUAUGACUUUGGUAGAUGCAUAUACAAAAUAAUCACAUGCACUAUCAACUUGUAACUUGUCGUUCGUGAGAUUGUUUAUUUAAAUGAUUAAUUUUAGAUUAUGCAAUUAAAAAAAUUCAUCUUGCUAAUGUUAGUGAGUUUACAUCCCAAGUUUUCAAUGAUUAUUGUAUGUCAAUUAGGAUAAAAGUUAAACAUCUUGUUGCUCAUGUUCACACACAAAAUGAUUUACCUAAAUUGUUUAUGAAAUGCCUCCAACUAAUAGCUAAAUCAUUACUUAUGAGAACAAAACUUUCUGUUUCAACAUGAGAUUGUAUUGAUUUACAUGUUGUACUCAUCAAGCCAAUAAAUUAUAAAUACUCCCCAUUACAAUUGAUUUUCUGUCAAGAGUAAAAUAUUUCCCAUCUUACAAUUUUUGGAUGGGCGGUAUAUGUUCCAACUGCUCCACCAUAAUGCACCUAAUAUGUGCAUUAGGACGUUCAUGCAUAUGGGAGCAGUUGAUUACAUUCUUCCAAGCAUCCCUUCGUGAAAGGCUAUGGCAUCAAGUGUUUUCACACUUGACUAAUCGACUGGUUGCCAUGUUCACACCAAAGAGACCGUCCAAAUUUUGCUGUUUGCAUUUGAAGACUUUUCAUGUGCCACAAGCAGCAUCAAAGAGCUAGAUGCACAUUCAGUUUCCCAAAGUAGCAUCAAUUCAUGUUUACACCUUUUUAACCGAUCAUCUUUUUGCACAUUCAUCUCAACUUUAAAUUACAAUGAAUUAACUAUUUGGGAAUUGCAAAUGACAAGGCUAUUGGCAUCUUCCACACCUAGAAGUGUUCAAGGGAUUUGUUGGACAAUACAAUAGACAUUUAGCUUAUUAAACCUGAUUGUAAACUAUGCCUUUUCGGCUGGUAUAUUGUCAGCAUAUAAAUACUAGGCUUGAAACAUGUUGCAAGGAAUUUUGAUGAAUUUUUAUAUAAUUAAGAGUGUUCAAUCUCUUUGUUCUUCCUUGACUCAAGUUGACUUAUCAAGUUAACCUUGUGGCAUCAAUCUGAUUCUUUUUGAACUUAUCACUUCUAGUAAGUGUGGUGUUCAAGUCCUAUNNNNNNNNNNNNNNNNNNNNNNNNNNNNNNNNNNNNNNNNNNNNNNNNNNNNNNNNNNNNNNNNNNNNNNNNNNNNNNNNNNNNNNNNNNNNNNNNNNNNNNNNNNNNNNNNNNNNNNNNNNNNNNNNNNNNNNNNNNNNNNNNNNNNNNNNNNNNNNNNNNNNNNNNNNNNNNNNNNNNNNNNNNNNNNNNNNNNNNNNNNNNNNNNNNNNNNNNNNNNNNNNNNNNNNNNNNNNNNNNNNNNNNNNNNNNNNNNNNNNNNNNNNNNNNNNNNNNNNNNNNNNNNNNNNNNNNNNNNNNNNNNNNNNNNNNNNNNNNNNNNNNNNNNNNNNNNNNNNNNNNNNNNNNNNNNNNNNNNNNNNNNNNNNNNNNNNNNNNNNNNNNNNNNNNNNNNNNNNNNNNNNNNNNNNNNNNNNNNNNNNNNNNNNNNNNNNNNNNNNNNNNNNNNNNNNNNNNNNNNNNNNNNNNNNNNNNNNNNNNNNNNNNNNNNNNNNNNNNNNCAAUGCAUUAUUCAUGCAAAUGAAAACAAUUAUUAGAAGAGGUAAAUAUUACAAAAAGAGAAUUUUGAACUUAUAUUUUUAAUUCUCAAGUAUUCAGUUUCUGUAUAAUAUUUAAUAUUUUAAUAGUUCAUCUAAAUCAAAGUUCAAACCUAAUCGAGUGAAUUGUUAUGCUAUGUAAGUAAUAUGAAUUUGAAAUUUUGGAUUUGAAUUUCAUUUGCUAAAUAAAUUGUAAGAAUAAAAUACAUACAUUAUACAUAAAGUAAUCGGGAUCCAAUAUGGUAUAUAUUAGAAAAAAAAGUAUAAUAAAUUUUGUCAAGUUCAUUAACAUAGUAGGAAUUAAAAUUUAAUACUAAAUAGAUAUCUAACAAAUCCAUAAAUUUAAAAAAUAAUCAUAAAUGCUAUAUUUAUUUGUAUUUUGUUUCUAAAUUUACAUUAUACUUAAUUGAGUUCAAAUAUAAAUUAUCAUAAAAUCUUCAUUAAAAGUAAACUUCAAAACUCAUAAGUCAUGACUAGUCAGUCUAUAUAUUUAUAUAUAACUAAUUUGUAUUCCAAUGCACUGCAAGGGUAAGAUGUAUAUACUAAAUUUAUAAUAUGUAAUGAAUUUCUUAAAAAAUUAUUAAUAAAUUGAAAAGUAAUGUAAUUAUUUUUUAAAAGAUAUUUAAUUAAUUUAGAAUAAGUAAUAUUAGUAUUAUUUAAUUUUUAAAAAUAUUUAAUAUUAGCAUAAUACAAAAAUUCAUAAUAGUUUGAAUAUUAAUAUUAAUAUUAAUAAAUUGUAAUUUAAAUAAUAUUAUUAAUAAAUUCUUACAGGUCGUUUAUUUUAUAUAUAUUAUUAAAUUAAUUUAUUUUAAUGUCAAAAUUAUUAAUAUUCAAUUUUUUAAUUUUAUAUUUAUGUUUGCUCUACUUUAAUCUAUUGAUAUAACUAACUCUUAUUAUAUUUAAAAAAUAUAUAUUUAAUUUGAAAAAAUAUUAUUGAUAUGCGUCUUUUUCUUAAAGUAUAUUUUAAGCUUAACAAUUUAAUAUUCAAUAAUUUUAAUUUGAUAACAUUAAAAGUUACUUAAAAUAAGUAAAAUCUUAAAAGAAAGAGAUAAUUUAUCUAAAAUAAAUUUUAUAUUUAACAUAUAAAAAUUAAAUAUUUAUUUUUUUAACCUCAUAUCUUUGUAGUAUAUAUAUAACAUGAAAGAGAUGUGAAGAACCAUAGCCAUAUAAAAGAAGAUUUAAAUGCAUAAAUGAAGACUCAUUCAAUAAAAUAAGCCUAACCUUGUCAGAGAAAAACAUAACGAUGUUAUCAACUUCGUCAUCAAUUAUUGCUUCUUUAUCUUCAUCUCUUGAAAAUGUAGAAACAAAAGUAGUCAUGUUUGAACAGUUAGCUACCUUAAUUUCAAUCAAGGAUGGAUAUUCAAGACUUUUACUUCCCAGGUAAAAGCUUCUCAUAUCUGGACAGGACUCCACUAUAAUAGAUUGUAGACGAAGGAAUAUGCUAAUGAUCUUGCUACUAUCUGUUAUUACUUCCUCAACCAUUGUAGUUGAACCUUCUUCUUUGAUGACUUGUUCUAAAUUACCGCAUCUUUUGAUUUCCAUUUUUCGGAGUUGCCUCAGGCCGAAGGUCGUUGAGAAGUAAAAUAUGUACCUCAAAUUGUUGGAAUCACAAACCUCUAAAAACUCAAGAGUUGUAAAAUCCAACAUUUCUUGUGGACUUCUACUCCAUAUGUCUAUCAGCUCUGAAAACUUUGAGAAUUUCAAAUGCAUAGCCAACCUAAGAAGCAACAUAUCAAAAAGCCUAAUUUUCAUACCAGCAUAUUUAACAAGGGCCCUAAAAUGCUAUUGUGAAAAUAAAUUAAACAAAUCAUAAUUAAAUGUAUAUAUAUCUUUUAAUGAAUUAUUAAACCAGUACCUGCUCUUUUUAUAAUUGUUCCACAGUGGCAUUAAGGUCACCAGCCCAACGUCCUCUAAUAUCUGUUUUUGUUACUGCACUUUAUGUAGUUUUGGUGUGGUUAUCUCUCCUUGAUAGAAGUUCUUCAUUCUAGGACACUGGCUCAAAGUAACUUGUUCCAAGGAUGGAAACCUUAAGGUGUAACUCCCUGAACAAAAACUUGUGAGGCUUUUUAAACAAUGAAGCUCCAAACGUUUCAUCGUUGUGAAAACAAUCUCAUAUGAAGUUUCAUCGUUGUUGCUUGCAACUACUUCUCUUAUCAUUUCACAUUCUCGUAUCCUCAUUGUAACAAGGCACACCAAACUUUGGGCUUUGAAAGAUGUAAUCAACGCUAACAUCUCAUUACAUUUCCAAACAUCUAAAGUUGUAAGAUUUUCAAAUAAUGAAAGAUUUAAUCCUAAAUUAAUCAAAUUGUUAAUUGUCUCAGUUCCAAACAUUAAUUUAUUUGAGACUAGCACAAAUAUGGUCAAGCGGGGAGUCUUGCUUCCAUAGAUGUCUUAUGUUCUUAAUUGCAAUCAAUUUCAACUUCUUGAUCUUUGGGAUCAUGAUCACCAUGUCUUCAUCUUCACAUGCAUCGCUUUCAAAAUAAGCUAGCUCUUUGAAAUUGCAAGAACCCAGCUCAAGGCUUUCAAGAUUGUAAAACCUUCUAAGGAGAGAAAUUGGGAAAACACCUGAUACAUCAAAGUAGCUAGAAAUCCGAAGAAAUUUUAUAUUGCAAAAUAAGUCGACCUCAUACUGGCCAUCACUUAUCAUUUCAAUAUCACCGUGUGUAAAUGAAACCUUCUCCAGUUGGGGGAUAACCUAAGAAGCAACAAGCAAGAACAAUGAGUUCUAUACAGUAUUGAUAUAGAAUUUCAUUUAAAUAGAAAGACCUAGCACAAAAGAACAACCAUAAGACAUAAUAUAAGCCCACAAAGGAACUACAAAAUCAAAUGUUCGAAGUGAUGUGUAUUUGUAGUUUUAAUUUCUAUAUUAAGAAUAUGCAUAUUAGAUUUUUUUUAAAUGCAAUAGAAUUUAUUAACCGGUGAAGAGCUACAAAGAAUUUGAUACUAAAAUAAAAUUUAGAACUGUUAAGAGUUUAUCGGUUAGAUAGGAAAAAUAUGAAUUCAAUGAUUAUUUUAAUUAUUUUGUAUUUUCAAAUGAAUAUUUGAAUGGAGGUAUUAUUUGAGAGGUACAAAAUGAUUUAAAUAAAAUUUAUUAACUUUGUCAAAAAAAAAAAGGUGUGGCCGUUCAUACCUUUUCAAUGAGGAAAAGUGGAUGUUGGAUUUGAGAUUCUUCGUGCCCAAAUAUCUUAAUCCUCCCAAAGCUAGAUAUCCUCAAUCGCUUAGGUGCAAGCCAUGUUGUCUUAUGCAUUCCUGGGUAGAAACAUUUCAGGUAUGGUAGAAACCAAAGUUUAAGGAAGGAUAACUUAUUAAAUGCAAAACAAAUUUCUUUUUCGUGUGAUUUUUCAACACUCUUUGAAACAAUCUCCUCCAACCCACAACUAGCAAUAGUAAGUCUCUCAAGUUGUUGAAGUUCUUUGGCAAUUGAAAGUGGAAACAAUGUUUUCAUGCUCCAACAUUCCUUAAUGCGUACUUGUCGUAGACUUUCAAAAGACAUAUUUCCUUUGUGAUAUUGGUCCAAACAUGCUUCACUUUGGUAGGCGAAUGAGAUUCACUUCUUUUAAUUGGCUAUAUACCACAUAUGUUUCUUCAAUAUCUAACCCUUGCACUUGGAGUUGGAACACUUCUUCCAGUGAAGCACAAUCAGUCACUAUUAAUUUCUCCAAUCUUUGGAAAACCCCCAGAAGAAAAGGUGAAAAGAUGUUCAACAACUCAUCACAUUCAUUAACAACCAACUCUUUUAGAAUAGAAAAAGAAUUCGUAUGAAGUUGAUUGUACCAUAUCCUCUUUGCAUUCCUCAAAUGGGAGAUUGUAUUUUUUUCUAAAUUGGGAAAAGCAACCUACAUAAUGACAGAAAGAGCUAAUUACAAUUAGAAAUAAAUUAUAUAAAAUUUUAGCUCUAUGUUUAGAUGAAGGCAUUGGUAAAUCAUAUAAUCAAGAUAAUUAGAAUCAUUGUUGAUUCGAGAAGAUAUAAAAUUAUCUUUUGUAGACUUUUCUGUAUAUAACUAUUUACAUAUACACACGCACUAGUUUCUAAUCUUACAUAUAUAUAUAUGUGUUAGCUGGCUUGUCCUUUGGAUUUGUUGGUUUAGAAAAAGGAAAAGAAAUGGAAAUGGUUUUGAAUUACAUUUGGGAAACAAAAAUUUUCUUUUAUCACUGUACUAUAUUAUUUAAUUUUGAAUCAUUUGAAUUUUAUUUAUUUAAUUAUUCUUCCACAAACAUUUUAAUUCUUUAUUGAAUUUUACUAUUCAACAUUAUUGUUUGUAAAUGAUUUGAAGACAAAGUUGAAUAAAGAAUAAUAUUCUUUCAGAUAUAUUAUUAUAAUAAUAUUAGUUAAUUACUAAAAAUAUUAAAAAAAACAACACAAAACCUAUUAGUUAAGAAAAUAAUUAAAUAUUCUUACUAAGUGCUAGCUUUAUUGUUGUUUCAUUCUUCAAGAUGUUAGGGACUGUAGAGGAGGUUAGUGAGGAAUAGUGAUAUAGCUUAUGGGUCAUGAAUAGCCAUAUGACUUAAAUGUAAAAAAUGAAGAUUCAUUAAAAGAAAAUCUAACCUUCUCGGACAAAAAUGUAGUAGUGUUAUCAAUUUCUUCACCAAUUAUUGCUUCUCUAUCUUCAUCUCUUGAAAAUGUAGAGAUAAAAGUAGUCAUGUUUGAACAGUCAACUACCUUAAUUUCAAUUAAGGAUGGACAUUCAAGACCUUUACCUCCCAAGUAAAAGCUUGUCAUAUCUGGAAAGGACUCGACUAUAAUGGAUUGUAGACGAGGGAAUAUGCUAAUGAUCUUGCUACUAUCUGUUAUGCUUCCUCAACCAUUGUAGUUGAACCCUCUUCUUUGAUGACUUGUUCCAAAUUACCGCAUCUCUUGAUUUCUAUUUGCCGAAGUUGCCCCAGAUCGAAGGCUGUUGAGAGGUUAAAAAGGUAUCUCAAAUUGUUGGAAUCACAAACUUCCAGAAAUUCAAGAGUUGUAAAAUCUAACAUUUCUUGAGGAUUUCUACUCCAUAUGUCUAUCAGCUCUGGAAACUCUGACAACUUCAAAUGUUUUAGACCACGGAUAUCCAACUUAAGAAGCAACAUAUAUAAAAGUCAAACUUUCAUACCAACAUAUUUAACAAGGGCCCUACUAUGGUAUUGUGAAAAUAAAUUACACAAAUCAUUAUUAAAUGUAUAUAUCUUUUAAUGAAUUUUUAAAUCAGUACUUGCUCUUUGUAUAAUUGCUCCACGGUAGCAUAAAGGUCACCGGCCCAACGUCCCCUAAAAUUUGUUUCUGUUAACUGCACAUCAUGAAGUUUUGGUGUGAUUAGCUCUCCUUGAUAGAAGUUCUUCAUUCUAGGGCACUAGCUCAAAGUAACUUGUUCAAAAGUUGGAAACCUUAGGGUGUAAUUCCCUGAACAAAAGCUUGUGAGCCUUUGUAAACAAUGAAGCUCCAAACGUUUGAGCGCUCUGAAAAUAAUCCCGUAUGACGUUUCAUCCCUGUUGCUUGCAACUACUUCUCUCAUCAUUUCAUAUUAUCUUAUCCUCAUUGUAACAAGGCACACUAAACUUCGGGCUUUGGUAGAUGUUGUCAGCUUUGACAUCUUAUUGCAUUUUCAGACAUCUAAAGUUGUAAGAUUUUCAAAAAAUGAAAGAUCUAAUCCUAAAUUAAUCAAUUUGCGAUACUUCCAAACUUCAAGACAUUCGAGAUUUGCACAAAAAUGGUCAAGCGAGGAGUCUUGCUUCCAUAGAUGUCUCAUGUGUCCUUAAUCGCAACCAAUUUCAACUUCUUAAUCUUUGGGAUCGUGAUGAUCAUGUCUUUAUCUUCAUGUGCACCGCUUUCGAAAGAAGCUAGCUCUUUGAAAUUGCAAGAACCCAACUCAAGGCUUUCAAGAUUGUAAAACCUAUUAAGGAAAGAAAUUGGGAAAACACCUGAUACAUUAGAGUAGCAAGAAAUUCGAAGAAAUUUUAUAUUGCAAAAUAAGUCAACCUCAUACUGGCUAUCACUUAUCAUCUCAAUAUCACCACGAGUAAAAGAAACCUUCUCCAAUUGGGGGGAUAACCUAAGAAGCAACAAGCAAGAACAAUGAACUCUAUAGAAUAUUUGAUUUAGAAUUUCAUUUAAAUAAAAAGACCUAACACAAAAGAGUGUGGCAGUUCAUACCUUUUCAAUGAGGAAAAGCGGAUGUUGGAUUUGAGAUUGUUUGUGCCCAAAUAUCUUAACCCUCCCACACCUAAAUAUCCUCAAUCGCUUUAGUGCAGGCCAUGUUGUUUUAUGCACUCCUGGGUAGAAAUAUGUUAGGUAUGGUAGAAACCAAAGUUUAAGGAAGGAUAACUGAUUAAAUGUAAAACAAAUUUCCUGUAGGUCUGAUUCUUCAACACUCUUUGAAACAAUCUCCUCCAACCCACAACUAGCAAUAGCAAGUCUUUUAAGUUGUUGAAGAUCUUUGGCAAUUGAAAAUGGAAACAAAGCUUUCAAGCUCCAACAUUGCUGAAUGCGUACUUGUUGUAGACUUUCAAAAGAAAAUUUUCCUUUGUGAUCCUUGGUCCAAACAUGCUUCAACUUUGGUAGGCAAAUGAGACUCAUUUCUCUUAAUUGACUGUCUAUCACAUAUGUUUCUUCAAUAUCUAACUCUUGCAUUUGGAGUUGGAGCACUUCUUCUUGUGAAGCACAAUUAGUUAGCAUUAAUUUCUCCAAUCUUUGGAAAACCCUGAAAAGAAAAGGUGAAAAGAUAUUCAACAACGAGUCACAUUCCUUAACAGUCAACUCUUUUAACAUAGAAAAGGAAUUUGUAUGAAGUUAGUUGUACCAUAUUCUCUUUACAUUCCUCAAAUGGGAGAUUGUGAUUUUCUUCAAGUUGGGAAGAGCAACCCACAAUUCAUUAUUCAUGCCAAUGGAAGCAAUGAGUUAAAGAGUUAAAUAUAACAACAAAAAGGAAAAAAGAGAAAAGAAAAAUGUACUGCACUGAAAAGAGCACCUUAUUAUUGAACAAAACUUCAUGGGUAGGGAUAUCUUUCCUCAUAGAAUUAUGGAUGAAUCCCGUCAAUUCUGGACAAUUUUCUAUCUCAAGAACAGUCAAGGCUGGGAAAUCAAUGGUAUAAUCUUCAUGGCAAAUUCUGAUGAGUUUUUGAACACCCUUCAAUUUGAGGAAGUUCAGUCGGGGGAAGCGGAUUAGAGCUCUACUUUUGAAUGUUUCUUGGAUAAUUUUAUCCGUUGAUAUUAUCUCCAGUAUGUUGCGGAAGCGACGAUAAUAUUAAUAACAAUAUUAUCAGAAAUAUUUAGAUAAUUAUUAUGCCAACAAUUAUACUAAGAAAAUUCCCAGUUAAAUUGGAGGGGUCACAAAUGGUCCCGCUUAAAACCCAACAACUAGACAGAACUCACUUAGAUAUUUAUAGCAAUAAUAACUAAAUAAAUAUAACCAACAUAAAGCUAUUAAAUAUAAGCAAACAAAUAAGAAAUAAAAUACCAGAGAUUUAACGAGGUUCGGCCAAUUUAGCUUACGUCCUCGGACACUACCAAAUUAAUAUUUCUUCUAGAAAUAUUACAAAGGAGAAGAUUUUGGGAUGAUACAACCAAAGGGGGAGGGGUUCUAUAUAUAACAAACCAAACCCCCUCCCUUUCUAUCUUUUCCUAAUGUGGGAUAUUGCCAAUAUUCAACAAAUCUCCACCUUGGCGAUAUUCCACAUCUUCGAACAUCUUCUCAUAACACUAACUUCAAUAGUGUCUUCAAAUUUGCAAUCAAUCGCCUUCUUCCCUUUUGGUAGUUGUGCCAGCUUCCACGUCUUGUUUUUCUCUAGGGAUUGCAUUUCCUCUUCCAUUGCACCUAACCAUCUAUUAUUCUCUAAACUCUGAAUGGCUUUGGUGUAAGUGGAUGGAAUAUUAUCAACAACUGGAAGUGCAUAAGCUACCAUGUCAGUGAAACGAGCAGGUUUCUGAAUUUCUCGUCUCUGCCUUCUGACUGCAAUUGGCUCUGAUUGCUGUUGAGGUUCUUGGGUAGAAACCUCUUCCUCAUCUGACUCUGCAUCUGCCAAUGAAGAAUCACUAGUGGUACCUUCUGCUGGAAUUACCACACUCUGCUCAAACUCCACCUGCUGCGGAGUACACUCCACCUGCUGCGAAGUACUACUCACUCCUUCUGGAUUUACCUUAUUCAACAUGGCAGAUUCAUGAAAGGUAACAUCCCUACUGAUUAUCGUCUUCUUUGCCUCUAGACACCACAAACGAUAUCCCUUAACACCAGCAUUGAAGCCCAUGAAUAGAGCCUUCUUUGCUCUUGGAUCUAACUUUGAUUCUUUCACAUGAUAAUAUGCAAUAGAACCAAAAAUGCGCAAGGUGUCAUAAUCAGUAGCAGGUUUUCCAUACCAUUUCUCCAAAGGAGUCUUGCCAUUUAUAGCAGAUGAUGGCAAAUGAUUGAUGAGAUGUUGAGCGUACGUCACAGCCUCAGUCCAAAACUUUCUAUCUAAUCCAGCAUUAGAUAACAUACAUCGAACUUUCUCCACAAGCGUUCGAUUCAUACGCUCUGCCACCCCAUUCUGUUGCGGUGUUCCACCUACGGUGAAGUGCCUUACUAUGCCACAAUCUUGGCAUAUCUUCAGGAAAGGAUCGCUUUUAUAUUCUCCACCGUUGUCUGACCGGAGAACCUUAAUCUUUCUUCCUGUCUGAUUUUCAACUUUAGUUUUCCACUUAAGGAAAACUUCAAGCACCUCAUCUUUGUUCUUCAUAGGAAACACCCAAACUCGUCUGGAAAAAUCAUCAAUAAAGGUGACAAAAUAACGUCUUCCUCCAAGUGAUGGAGUCUUGGACGGUCCCCAUACAUCAGAAUGCACAUAAUCCAGAAUACCUUUAGUAUUGUGAAUCCCAGUGCCAAAUUUCACCCUUCGUUGUUUUCCCAGAACACAAUGCUCGCAAAAUUCAAGUUUGCAAGUCUUUGUACCUUUCAAUAAUCCUUGCUUGGCUAGAGUUUGCAAGGAUUUUUCACCAGCAUGGCCCAAACGCAUAUGCCACAGCUGUGUUGCCUCAGCGUCCUUCUUGGUACUCGAAAUUGCUGCUGCUGUUGUCCCGACCACUGUACUACCUUGGUAGUAAUACAGAUUGUUCUUUCUUAUGCCUUUCAACAUCACCAAUGCUCCUGAAGUUUCUUUAAGAACUCCAUCUCGUAUUGUCACAACUAGGCCUUUAGAUUCUAACGACCCCAAAGAGAUGAGAUUCUUCUUCAACUUUGGGACAUAUCGUACAUCCCGCAAAAUUCUAGUAGAUCCAUCAUGACUCCUCAGUUUAAUUGAACCUAUCCCGGCUAUUUUACAUGUGUUAUCAUUACCCAUGUAAACAACCCCUUCAUCUAGUUUUUGAAAUUCAAAGAACCAUUCCCGAAUGGGACACAUAUGAUAGGAACAACCAGAAUCCAUGAUCCACUCAUCUGCAUAUAAUGUUGAAGAUGUCAUACUAAGAGAAAAGUCUGACUCUGCUUCACUAUUGCAUUCUGCAACAUUUGCAUCUUGCGGAGUCUUCCCUUUUUUCUUCAAUUUUGGACAAUCUUUCUUCCAAUGUCCUUUUUCUUUGCAAAAAGAACAUUCAUCUUUGGCAACAGCUCGACCUUUGGACUUUCUACUCUUCCCCUUAGACUGACUUUGCUGACGACCUCUUGUUACCAAUGCUUCCACUGCUGCUUCACCUGAACCUUUCAACUUAUCCUUUCGGCGUAGUUCAUAGCUAUACAAUGCAGCAGUUACUUCAUUGAAAGUUACUUCCGAUUUUCCAUGAAGUAGAGUAGUUUCAAGGUACUCAAACUCCUCAGGAAGCGAUCCCAACAACAUUAACGUCAAGUCUUCGUCUUCAAAAGUCACAUCCAAAUUCAACAAAUCAGCCACCAGCUGAUUAAAAUUGGUAAUGUGCUCGUUCAUCGUGGUACCAGGAACAUAAUUGAAACGAAACAGUCUUUUCUUCAUAUGCAACUUAUUUUGACUGUUCUUCUUCAAGAAUUUCUCCUCCAAUGCUUUCCACAAUUUACUUGCAGAAGUCUCUUUACUGAAUGUAUACUUCUGCUCUCUGGAAAGACAUGAUCGAAUUGUACCACAUGCCAAUCGGUUGAUGGUCUUCCAUUCUUUAUCAUCAACCCCUUCUGGUUUUUCUUCCUCAAUGGCAAUAUCUAGACCCUGUUGAAAGAGGGCAUCUAGAAGCUCACUUUGCCACAUGCCAAAAUGACCUGUUCCAUCAAAAAUUUCCACUACAAAUCUCGUAUUUGUAGUUCCAAUCCUCGGCAAAAUGUACGAAGUGGAAGUUGUUGAUAUGGAUGGUUUUUCUUCUGUCAUUUUUGCCAUAGCUUCUACUUAAUAGCCACCAAAUGCAGAAUACCCACAAGCUUUAGGAAAUGUUUCUGAUGUGUAAGAUCAGACUAAGCUGCAAACACAGAGCAUACUACAAAACCUUGGCUCUGAUACCAAUUGUUACGGAAGCGACGAUAAUAUUAAUAACAAUAUUAUCAGAAAUAUUUAGAUAAUUAUUAUGCCAACAAUUAUACUAAGAAAAUUCCCAGUUAAAUUGGAGGGGUCACAAAUGGUCCCGCUUAAAACCCAACAACUAGACAGAACUCACUUAGAUAUUUAUAGCAAUAAUAACUAAAUAAAUAUAACCAACAUAAAGCUAUUAAAUAUAAGCAAACAAAUAAGAAAUAAAAUACCAGAGAUUUAACGAGGUUCGGCCAAUUUAGCUUACGUCCUCGGACACUACCAAAUUAAUAUUUUUUCUAGAAAUAUUACAAAGGAGAAGAUUUUGGGAUGAUACAACCAAAGGGGGAGGGGUUCUAUAUAUAACAAACCAAACCCCCUCCCUUUCUAUCUUUUCCUAAUGUGGGAUAUUGCCAAUAUUCAACACAGUAUGCACUUACAGUCACUAAUUUCCAAGCAUUUAAGCUGCUGCAAAUAUUCAGCCAUAGAGUCGGAUAAAACAUGUUUUAAGUUGGUGCAGCCCUCAAUGAUUAAACUUGUCAAAUUUUGAGUUGAACAAAAGGCUUGAGGAAUCCAUAUUCUUUCAAUGCCAAUUGAGGAUAGUUUCAACUUCUCCAGCUUAGGAAACAAUAUCUGCACACAAGCACUUGUUAACUUGCCAAAUCUAAUCUUAUUAAAGGCAAAUUAAAAAAAGUUCUUUAAUUUGAUAUUUCCAUUAGCUUUAAUGCUACACAAUUAGUUUAUACAAAACAUUAAGUGAUUUGUGAUAAUUGUCUAAUUGGAUAAUGUGUUGUGUAAUUGAAUAACAUUUUGUGUAGUUUAUACAAAACAUUAUAUAAAUUGUAAAAAUAAGUGCAGUGGAUUAAAAUGCAUGCACUGGAUGAAGAAAAAAACAUAUUUAAAUACCUUUUGCUUGAAAAGGGCAAUUUCUUGCGGAGAUAUGGAAGUCGAACCUUUGUUGGUAGAGAAAAAGCUAAUGAGGUUUGGCAGACCCUUGAGCGUCAGAGACUGUAGUUGAAGAAAUUCAAUUUUGUGAACAUCAUCAGUAUCUUUAAAGAUAUAUUGGAUCAUCCCACCAUUCUGGAUAUGCAGAUUCUUCACCUGCUGAAAAUAAUUCCCAACUUCGGGUUCAUGUAACAAAAUCUCCACACCUUUCACGUCAUCUAUAAAUAAAUUUUCAGCUUUCUUCAAUAAAACUUUGACAUCAUCAUUAAGAAAGCUAAUGCUUGUCUGUAGGCUAAGCUUUAGUGUUCUGGAGUAUUCAGCAACCCAGUACCAAUUCCAAUCCCAAUGCGAUGCUUCCCCGAUAAAAAUAAUGUAUCUUUGAAACUUUUCAAAGGAGAAGCCUUUGGGAAUAAUCUUGGCAUUAGGGAUCCGAAUUUCUAAAGUAGUUAAACAUGACAAAGCUUUCAACUCAGCAAGACUAGAAUUGCUUUGUUGACUAGAGUGUCCCUCUGCUCCCCAUUCAACAAAACUGUCACCAAUAGAUAGUUAUUCUAAUCUAGACAAUUUGCAGAAGACACCAGGUGGAAUUCUUUUGAGUCUAGAACAAUAACGUAAAUCUAACCGCUUUAGCUUAGUUAGUUGUCCUAUUUCCCUGGGUAGCAUUUCAAUAUCAGAACUCGCAAAGCUAAUAAUUUCCAGAUUCUUGAGCUCUCCAAUAAGGGCUAUAUAUAUCUCCCAACACACAGUUACUCAAGCAUAGUGUUCGAAGGUUUCCUAGCAAGGAAAUAGAUGAAGGCAAGGACGAUAAAUUCAUGCCAGACAAAUAUAGGACUUUAAGAUUUUUCGUUUCCUUAAAAAAGUUUGUUGCAAUUUUCAUUUAAGGUUUCUUGCUACCCAUACCUAAAAAAGUAAGUUUGGGGCAUUUCAACUGAUCAGGAAGCAGGCUGAUGCCAUCGCAUAAUAUUUUGUCGCACUCUUUCAAUGUUUCAUCAUCUGGCCAAUCAUUCAAGUCAUGUUUGCAUCUUAAAACAAACACAGGGUUGCCUUUAAAAGCGAUUGACUUGGCCACAUCAGAAAUAAGAUCAUGCAUAUCAAAGUGCAUAUUGGUAUUACCAUCAAGUAACAAACAAGAGGAUUUGAGAUGCGUCACCACUGUUAACAGUUUGUUCCUUGUUUCUUUAAUUGUGCUGACACCAUGAAAUAACCCUAACCCCAUUGCAAACACAAGCAACAAAUCAAGCUGAACAUUAUGACCCAAUAGACUGCAAAGUAAGAAAGUCUGUUUGUGGUCCUCACUUUGUAAACGAUCGUAACUCCACUUUAUAGUUGAAUAUACAGUUGCUGGUAUUCCUGUGAAGUUGCUCGACGAUGUCUUGCUUAGUUGUCGCAAAGCAUCCUCCCAUACAUAUGGAGGUUCAUUUCUCAAAGACGUCACAAGUGUUCUAAUGGCAAUUGGUAGACCACCACACUUUUUAGCUACCUCAGUUGCUAUAGGCAACAAGUCAGAACUUUCAACUCCAUCCCCUGCAAUUCUUGAAGAAAUCCCAAGCUUCUUUGUCUUCUAAAACUCCAAUUGGAAAUCUCUUUUUAGCAUCCAUAUCCUUCUUCAACACAUUACGAUCUUUGGACAUCAGCAGUAUGGUGCAUACCUGAUCCUCAUCUCCUAAAGGAAUCCCCACUUCCACCAGACCUAAUUUUGCCCAAAUGUCAUUUAAAACAACAAGAAUAUUCUUCUCUUUCUUCAGCCUUUGGCACAACCGACUUACUCUUCCAGUCGUAAUUUACUCUUCAAAUUUCAAUCCCAACAUAUCUACAAUUUGACCUUGAAUUUUCUGGACGUCAGGAGUAUGAGUCACAACAGCCAUAACCACCGAGUCAAAUAACUUAUCUUCUUUGACUUGUCUAACAACUUCUUUCACAAACUGUUGAAAAUUGGCCAACCAUGCUGCUGUUAUAUUUUUGGUUAAGUGCAUGCAGCUUGUAAACAUGCUGCAGCACGUAUGCUUACUGUAAUAACAUGGUUGUUUGGUUACUUUGUUAAGCUACUUAGUUGAAAAUGAAGUAAGUUGGUAUUGUUUUGAUGUUUUUAGGUGCUGAUUAACAUAAUUAGCUUGUGUGCAAGUUAAUUUUUACUUGUUUCAAAGUAUGAUUAGUGGUAGUAGGUAGUAUUUGAUGAUGUAUUUGGCUAUAAAUGUAUUGUUUUUUCUAGUUGAAUGAAUGAGCAGAAUGAGUUAUCAGCCAUAAACUCCCUUGCUGCACAUUUGUGAGCAAGUAAAAAUAUUUCUUGUAUCUUGCUUCAUUGUUCUGUGCUCUCUAUUUUUUUCCUUUGCUCCUCCUCAUCCCUAGCAAUUGAUAUCAUGAGCCUAAGUCUUAGAGGGCCAUUGAUUUUACUUCUGUUGCUUGUUAAAAAGAAAGAAGCUGUUAAAGCACAAACAUGUCAUUAGGGACUGCUUGUAAAAAAGACAGUAACAGCUCACCCCUGUAAGGCUCCCAAACAAGCUUGGGAUAAGCUGAAGGAGGAUUUGAUGGAGUAUGUGCAUGGAGACACUCCACAAGAGGGAGUAUGUGCAAGAAGAAACAUGACUAUAAUGAGCAAAGAAACAAGGCAAAAUGUGUUUGAAAGCAAGUUGUCAACCAAGGCUGUGAAGGAGGAGAAGACUCCAUUUGAUGAACAAAUCUUUGGCACAAAAGACUGGGAUAAUCAAGUGUGUAAGUUAGAUUUGGUUGAGAAUGAAGCCAAGGUUGAAAAUGAAUUGCUUGAGCAGAGACAGCUUGAAACAAAGCAUCUAAGGACUGCCAAGUUCAAAAAACUUGAUGAAUGAUUUGUAUUUGCAGCAUGGAGUCAAAGGAGGAGUGUUGAAAAUUGGCCAACCAUGCUGCUGUUAUAUUUUUGGUUAAGUACAUGCAGCUUGUAAACAUGCUGCAGCACGUAUGCUUACUGUAAUAAUAAGGUUGUUUAGUUACUUUGUUAAGAUACUUAGUUGAAAAUGAACUAAGUUGGUAUUGUUUUUUUUAGGUGCUGAUUGACAUAAUCAGCUUGUGUGCAAGUUAAGUUUUACUUGUUUCAAAGAAUGAUUAGCGGUUGUAGGUAGUAUUUGGUGAUGUAUUUGGCUAUUUUGUUGGGGAUGAGGAGGAGCAAAGGAAGAAAACAAAAGGAAGAAAACAGAGAGCACAAAACAAUGAAGUAAGAUGUAAGAAAUAUUUUUACUUGUUCACAAAUGUGCAGCAAGGGAGCUUAUGGCUGAUAGCUCAUUUUGCUCCCUUGCUGCACAUUUGUGAGCAAGUAAAAAUAUUUCUUUCAUCUUGUUUCAUUGUUCUGUGCUCUUUGUUUUCUUCCUUUGCUCCUCCUCAUCCCCAACAAAUGGUAUCAUGAGCACAAGUCUUUGAGGGCUUGUUUUUGCUUCUGCUGCUUGUUAAGAAAGACAAUAAGCUGUUAAAACCUGUCAUCUUUGAGGGCUGCUUGUAAAAAAGAUAGCAACAGCUCACCCCUGUGAGACUCCCAAACAAUCUUGGGAUAAGCUGAAGGAGGAGUUGAUGGAGUAUGUGCAUGAAGACACUCCACAUGAGGGAGUAUGUGUAAGAAGAAACAUGACUGUAAUGAACAAAGAAAUAAGGCAAGAUAUGUUUGAAGGCAAGUUGUCAACCAAGGCAGUGAAGGAGGAGAAGACUCCAUUUGAUAAACAAAUAUUUGGCAUAAAAGACUAGGAUAGUCAAGUGUGUAAGUCAGAUUUGGUUGAGAAUGAAGCCAAGGUUGAAAACGAAUUGCUUGAGCAGAGCUAGCUUGAAACAAAGCAUCUAAGGAUUGCCAAGUUCAAAAAACUUGAUGAGUGAUUUGUAUUUGUAGCAUGGAGUCCAAGGAGGAGUGUUGAAAAUUGGCCAACCAUGCUGCUGUGAUGUUUUUGGUUAAGUGCUUGCAGCUUGUAAACAUGCUGCAGCACGUAUGCUUGCUGUAACAGCAAGGUUUUUUGUUUAGUUUCAUUGUAAUCAAACUAGUUGAAAAUGAACAAGUUGAUGACAACUUGAUGCAUUAGGUGUUGAAUGAUUAGUUUAGGUGGCUUGUUUAUGUGUACAAGCAAUGUUUAUCAAGUUACUAGGCUACUUAGUGGUAGUAGGUAGUAUUUAGUGAUGCAUUUGACUAUAAAUGUAUUGUUUUUCUAGUUGAAUGAAUGAGCAAAAUGAGCUAUCAGCCAUAAGCUCCCUUGCUGCAUAUUUGUGAGCAAGUAAAAAUAUUUCUUGCAUCUUGCUUCGUUGUUCUGUGCUCUCUGUUUUCUUCCUUUGCUCCUCCUCAUCCCCAACACAAACAUAGUCUUGUCGACACUAGCCAUUCCGUGCAUUCCUAUUAUGUUGACAUUUGGAUCUGUUGGUGAUUAGAACUCGAACUUUGAUGAUUAAUCGAGAGAUUUGAAGCAGAAAGAAGAGAAAGGAAGUUUUAAGAUAGAAAAUAAUUGAAGACUGGAAUAAUAAUUAAUUUGCACCUCAACUAUUUAAAUACAAAAGUUCAAGACUAAAAAUAGAAAAAAAAGGUUCUAAAAAUUUGCUAAAAAUCUGGUAACAAUAUACCAAACAAAUCAAAAACUAAGCUCCUAAAGUUAAGGAGAAUUAUUAAAACUUAGCAACAGAAAAAAUUAAAUGGCAGCAAUCUUAAACACAUGAUCUCAACACUCCUCCUUGUUUAGAUGCUACAAAUUCCAAGUUUCUUCCUGAAGGUUUCAAACUUGCUAAGUGGCAAUAGUUUGGUGAAGAUAUCUGCAAUUUGCAGUAACAAAGAGCACAUCACCACUCUUUUGAACUUUUUGCACAAAAAAUAACUUGAUGUUGAAAUGCCUAGUCUUCCCAUGAAAGACUAGAUUGUUAGAGAUUGCAAUGGCAGCUUGGUUAUCAACUAGAAUCUUUGUGCUUUGAAAACUUCACUCCAUAACUCCAGGUCCCCUUGAUGUAUCUUAUAACUCUUUUUGCAGCUCUCAUGUGAGUCUCAUUAGGACAAUGCAUGAAUCUGGAGAGAAUACUCACAGCAUUCAAGAUGUUGGGUCUGGUUGCUGUUAAGUACAUUAGACAACCUACCAAACUCCUGAACUCAGCUUCAAUGACUUUGGUAGAACCAUCAUCUUUGAUUAGCUUCUCUUUUUGAUUCAUAGGAGUACCCAUUGCUUUGCAAUCUUCCAUAUGAAAUUUUCUAAGUAUCUCUUUUGCAUACUUUCUUUGACAGAUGAAGACUUCAUUUUGGCUUUGUUUGAUCUUAAUGCCAAGGAAAUAAGACAUCAGACCAAGGUCUGUCAUUUUGAAGACCUUUUUCAUUUCCAAUUUGAACUAAUUAACUUGAUCGAUAUUGCUCCCUGUAAUCAAUAAGUCAUCUAAAUAAAGAGAAAUGACUAAAGUGUUUGUACCUUCAUGCUUGACAUACAGGGUGAGCUCAGAUUGACUUUUCUGAAAACCAAGACCCACCAAAUGAUCAUCAAUUCUGCUAUACCAUGCUCGUGGAGCCUGUUUUAGGCCAUACAGAGCCUUCUUCAGCAAGUAAACUUUGUCUCCAUUGCCUUUGCAUACAAAACCUUUAGGUUGCUCAACAAAUAUUUCUUCUUGCAAGACUCCAUUUAGGAAUGCAGAUUUAACAUCUAACUGAAAAACUUUCCAGUUCUUUUGUGCAGCAAGAGCAAGCAGUAACCUUACAGUGUCAAACCUGGCAACAGGUGCAAAUAUUUCUGAAUAAUUGACUCCAAAGACUUGUGCAUAUCCCUUCACAACAAGUCUUGCUUUGAAUUUGUUAACUGAACCAUCGGGAUUUAGUUUCGUUCUGAACACCCAUCUUACUCCAAUUAUCUUUCUGUUCAGAGGUCGAUCAACCAGCUCCCAAGUUUUAUUUUUCUCGAUCAUCGAAAGCUCCUCCUUCAUUGCAGCCAUCCCAUGUUGAUUAUUUUUUGCAUCAUGAUACCCUGUAGGCUCACAAAUAGCUAUGUUACAUCUUUGGUAAAUGUCGGAGAGCAGCCUUGUACCUCUGACAGGUGUAUCAUUAGCCAAAACAUCAUGCCCUUCAUCUUCAAGCUCUUCUAACAUGCUGUCAAUGGUAAAAUGAUUUGGUGCACUAGAAUUUUGGUUCGUCUUGGUCGAGUCUUCCCAAUUCCAUUGCUCAUUUUCAACAAAAUAAACAUCUCUGCUCACAAUAACACGUCCAGUGUAUGGUUGAAAGACACUGUAAGCUUUAGAUACAGUGCUAUACCCAACAAAAAUUCCAACAUCUACCUUUUUGUCAAGCUUAUCACGCUUGACCUGUGGAAUGUAAGUGAAACACAGGCAGCCAAACACUCUAAGAAACUUUAAAGAAGGUUUGUAACCAUACCAAGCUUCAAAUAGCAUCUGAUCCUUCACAACUUUUGUUGAAAUCCGAUUUUGCAAGAACACAGCAGUGUUUGUAGCUUCUCAUGAAGCUUUUUGGAAGAUUCUUCUCAUGAAGCAUACAUCGAGUGAUCUCCAUUAUAAAUCUGUUCCUCCUUUUACUGACUCCAUUUUGUUGUGGAGUGUAUGGCGCCAUCAACUGAUGCUCAAUUCCAACCUCUUCACAAAACCUAUUAAAGGUUUCUGAAGUGUACUCCUUGCCAUUAUCAGAUCUUAAAACCUGAACCAUGCAUUCACUUUCAUUCUCAACUCUAGCUUUGAAUUUCCAGAACACACCAGUAACAUCUGAUUUUUGCUUCAACCAAAAAAUCCAACACAUUCUUGUUAGAUCAUCGAUAAAGGCUAUGUAAUAGAGGUUACCAUUUAACAAAAGCAUUUUCUGAGGACCACAAAGAUCAGUAUGAACAAGCUGUAACUUCUUCGAGGCUCUCCAUGCUUGUUUAGGAAAGGGUUGUCUAUGUUGUUCCCAAAUUUGCAAGAUCGACAAUGAGGUAGAUUAUCAUCAAUUUCUGUAAGUCCUUCCACCAGCUUCUUCGACUACAUUUGAAGCAAUCCUCGAUGGUGAAAGUGUCCAAGUCUCUUGUGCCAAGUCUUAGUAGCACUAACUCUGGAUUUAAAAGCCAUUUGCCCAUUUUCCAUUGGAUUAAGAGCAAAAAUUUUUCCCUUCAUUUUGACAUUGAACAAGUCUCUUUCAUUAGCAUCUCUGAUCAAGCAUUGCUUAUUCUUAAAUAGCACUUUAUAGCCUUUAUCCAGCAACUGACCAACACUUGAGAGAUUUUGAUCAAUUUUAGGUACAAACAAAACAUCUUAAACGAAUUUUGUACCUUCAUAGAUUGUAAUAGCUGCUGUGCCUUUUCCUUUGACUUCCAAGUACUUACCAUUUCUAAUAUUCACUCUUUUGACUUCAGUGUUUCUCAAUUCCUCGAAGUGCUCCUUGUCAUACGUCAUGUGGUUUGUGCACCCACUAUCAAUAAACCAGCUCUUACUUGAUUCUCUGCCCGAGAAACAAGUAACCACGAACAAUUGAUCUUCUUCUUCUUGAUCAGUUACCUGUGCAUCUACUUCUUGCACCUUACCUUUGAUCUUGCAAAUGAUUGCUUCAUGUCCAAGUUGAUUGCAUUUGGAGCAUUUGGCGUCAGGUCUUUUCCAACAUUUGAAUGGUGGAUGACCUUUCUUCUCACAAUGGUGACAAGGUGGUAGGAUUUUUUGACACCUCCUCUUUUUCUCUUCUGAUAAUUGUUUGAUGAAUUUUCUCCACUCGUCGACUGGUUCAUAAAAUUUUUCUUCUUUUUAUACCUGUUGUUGUCUUGAUGCUUGACAGGUAAGGCACCUUCCAUCACUCCCUCUUGCCUCAUGGAUCUUCUUUGCUCUUGUGCUUGUAAAGCAUUUAAGAGCUCUGCAAGAGAGAUUUUUUAUAGGUCCUUGGUGUUUUCCAGAGUAGUAAUGGUGGCUUCAAACUUCUCUAGAACAGUGACCAACAGCUUUUCUACUAUUCUAGAGUCAUUCAACUCAGAACCAAGCAAUCUCACCUUGUUGGUAAUGCUGAGAAGUUUGUCAGAAUAUUCUUUCACUGACUCAGACUCAUUCAUCUUCUGCAACUCGAAAUCCCUGAUUAGAUUCAGGACUUUCAUUCCACGAAUCCUCUCAUCUCCUUCAUAUUCAGCCUUGAGGUAAUCCCAUAUUUCCUUUGCUGAUUUCAGAGACAUUAUUCGUCUGAAAAUCAUUUGAGACACAGCUGCAAAUAAGCAAGCUUUUGCCUUUGAUUUCCUUGUCUUCUUUUCCUUUUGUGCUUUAAUUUGUGCCACAGUAGGAUUUGCUGGAAGAGGUGGGACCUCGUAAUCCUCUUCUACAGGUUCCCAAAGAUCCAAAGCCUCUAGGUAAGUCUCCAUGCGUACUGCCCACAUCUGGUAAUUGUCUCCAUUGAAGAUUGGUGGUGCAGCAACUGAAAAAAUGGACCCUCCUUCCAUCUUAACACGCAAAUAACCUCACAAAUCCCUCAAGAAAAUAGAUCCGAUACCACUUUGUUGGUGAUUAGAACUCGAACUUUAAUGAUUGAUCGAGAGAUUUGAAGCAUAAAGAAGAGAAAGGAAGUUUUAAGAUAGAAAAUAAUUGAAGACUGGAAUAAUAAUUGAUUUGCACCUCAACUAAGCUCCUAAAAUAAUUUAAGAUACAAAAGUUCAAGACUAAAAUAGAAAAAAAAAGGUUCUAAAAAUCUGCUAAAAAUCUGGUAACAAUAUACCAAACAAAUCAAAAACUAAGCUCCUAAAGUCAACGAGAAUUAUUCAAACUUAGCAACAAAAAAAUUUAAAUGGCAGCAAUCGUAAACACAUGAUCUCAACAGGAUCUUUCACUGCCUCCAUGAUAUUGUUAAACAUCAGCUUUCUUGAAUCAAAGUCCUCAUAAUCUUUAGGAGGUACAACCACUAUGGGCGGGGGGACAUCCAGAUAUGAUAUUCUGUCAAAUCCACCUUGCUGGAGGAGUUCAUCAACGGCACCAGCAUCUUCUCCUGCUUUCUUGCUAAGCUGAUAGCAAGCCUUGAAAUUAGGACACAAGCCGAUAAACAUUUGUUCUUUGCUUCGUCUUCAAGACCCUUCACUUUGUUCAACUCUGAAAUGAUCAUGUUUUCGACUUUCAUCAGCCAAUUGUUGACGUCGGGGUAUAUAGUCUCGCCGUUCUUUUGAGCAGCAUCAACGUCUAGUAGCAUUCUGUCUCUUCUGUCUUUCAACACCUCAACUUUCUUCUCGAAACCCAAGACCAUUGUUCUAUGGUGGCAAACAUAGCUGAAAUUAUGUUUGAUUACGUUUGAAAUUACGUCAUCAUUUUUCUAACAUUUUAAGGAAGUGUGACUAAAACAAAAUUGAUCAAAAUUGUUAAUAUUAAAAUUAAAUUUUUUUAUAAUUUGAUGAUCAAAACACAUAUAAUUUACGUUUUGAUUAUUUGAUUUCAAAAUGUUACAAAAAAAUACUAAAUUAUUCGAAAGUUUUCAUUUAAGUUAUUGGGUUGUUAAAAGCGCUGCCAUAUGACCUUCUUUAUUCGCACCGCUUUUCUGAUCUCUGACAUUGAUCGUCAAAUUAACUCGGGUUUAAGGUAUGUUUUUCCACUCAUCGAUAUGUAUUGAUCUACUAUAUUGAUUGUUGAAUUGUCACUUGGAGCUUACUAGGAGAACUUUAAAAAAAAGAAAGAAAAGUUUUAACAGCUCAAUGAAGAGUUUAGUGACCAUUUUAUAAAUUUUAAAAGUUUAAAUGAUCAGAACGUAAAUUUACUAAUAAUUUAUUGACCACGGGUAUAAUUUACCAUUUUUUUUAUGUUUCUUGCUGGGUCUAAUUAUUUUUAUUCCAUAAACCAUCAUUGUAUGAUUGGGAGCAUUGGCCAAAAUUUUGUAUGAUAAAAGAUGGGUAGAAAAAGAGAAACGGGAAAGAUAGCAAAAAGUGUUAUAAUGAAACAAAAAAGCACAACUUUCUCUGAUAUCUACCUAACGGAUAUGAAUUUAAUAAUCUCGUCUCCAAGGUAAAUUUUCUCCCUAAAAUGGUGUUAUAUUAUAGGCAUCGAAAUAUUUUGGGUUCCAAAUAAUAUUGACUGCCUAAAAGAUCAAUAAUCCAAAAUUAAUGCCUAAUAUUCAGCUUUGUAAAGCAAAUGGUGCAUGAAUCACCAUUAUGGAUAAUAAAGCAGGCUAAUAUAUGUUACAUGUUAACAGAGUACAAAUUGUCUGAAAACACAAAGAAUGCUUGAAAUACAAUCCCAAGAUUAUAAAACCAUCAAAUCUUCAAAGUCAAGAUUCAGUACUUGUACAAGAAAUUGCUUUUUAAGAACUUCUUUAAAAUACCUCACCUUUUGAGUUAUGUAGUUGGGGUUUCCGUUGUUGUUUAAAUUAUACAGUAAUAACUUAUGAAGAUGGGACAAAAUUUUUGUUAGGAUGAAAAAUUUUAAUAAAUGAAAAUUAAAUGUAUUUGAUUGAAAUGUAAUAAAUGAUUGAAGAAAGUCAUAUGAACCAUCUUUAAAUAAAACUAUUUGUAAGGAAAGAGCGAAGAGACGUACCUUUCUAAUGAGUAACAGUUGUGACACUACCUGCCCAAAUAUCGUAAUUUUCAUUGGCCAAUAUGUCCUCCCCUUUUUUAACAUAGGACACCUUAUGUUGUGUAUUCCUGGGUAGAAACAUACGAGGCUUGGUAAAGCCCAAAGUGCAAGGAAAGAUAACUGAUUAAAUUCAAACAAAGUUUCAUGUUGGUCCGAUCCUUCAACAGUACUCUUUGAAACAAUCUCCUCCACCCCACAACUAUCAACAAUAAGACUCUUGAGUUGUUGAAGAUCUCUGGCCAUUGAAAAUGGAAACAGAGUUUUCAAACUCCAACAUUCUUGAACAUGCACUUCUUGAAGAUUUUCAAAAGAAAUAUUUUUAUUGGUAUCCUUGUUCCACACAUGCUUCAACUUUUGCAAGCGAAAGAGUUUCACUUGUCUUAAUUUACUCGUCACGAUGCAUGCCUCUUCAAUAUCUAACCCUUGAACUUGGAGUUGGAACACUUCUUCUAGAGAAGCACAAUCGAUUAUUGUGAGUUUCUCCAACUUGGGAAAAGCAACCUAUAAUGCAUUAUUCAUGCCAAUGAAAACAAAUAUUAGAAGAGGUAAAUAUUACAACAAGAGGAAAUUUUAAAUUUAUAUUUUUAAUUCUCAAGAAUUUAAUUUCUUUAUAAUAUUUUAAUAAUUCAACUAAGUCAAAGUUUAAACCUAAUGAGUGAAUUGUUAUGCUAUGUAAGUAACAUGAAUUUGAAAUUUUGAAUUUAAAUUUCAUUUAUUAGAUAAAUUGUGAAUGAAAUACACACAUUAUGCAUAAAAGAAUUAUACUUUUGUCUGGUUGAUUAAUAUAGUAGGAUUUCAAAUUUAAUACUAAAUAAGAUACCAUAUAAUAAGAGUUCAAAUUUCAUAAUUAAAUUAUUAUAAAAUCUUCAUUAAAAGUAAAUUUCAUAGUUCAUAAGUCAUUGAUAUAUGUAUAUAUAUAAAUAGUUUGUAUUCCCAUGGGAUGCAGGGGUUGGGUGUGUAUAUGAAAUUUAUAAUUUUUUUUAUAACAUUAGUUUUUGUUUAAAAUUUUUAUUGAGUUCUUUCAAAAAUUAUUAAGAAAUUGAAAAGUAAUGUAAUUAAUUUUUAAAAAAUAUUUAAUUAAUUUAGAAUAAAUUAUAUUACUAUAUUUAAUUUUUAAAAAUAUUUAAUAUUAGCUUAAUACAAAAAUUCAUUAUGCUUUGAAUAUUAAUAUUAAUAUAUUAUAAUUUAAAUAAUAUUAUUAAUGAUUUCUUACAAGUUAUUUAUUUUAUAUAUAUUGAUAAAUUAAUUUAUUUUAAUGUCAAAAUUAUAAAUAUUCAAUUUUUUGUAAUUUUAUAUUUAUCUUUGCUUACUUUAAUCGGUUAAUCUAAUUAACUCUUAUUGCAUUUAAAAAUAUAAAUUUAACUUAAUAUUUGUCUUUUUUAAAAUUAUAUUUUAAGCUUAAAAAAUUAAUAUCCAUUAAUUUUAAAAUGAUAACAUUAAAAGUUAAUUAAAUUAAGUAAAAUUAAAAAAUUAGGAGAUAAUUUAUUUAAAAUCAACUUUAUAUUUUACAUAUAAAAAUUAUAAAGAAAAUAUUGAAUAAAAAGCAUGGAAUAACUUAAAAAAUAAAAGGGAAGGAGAAAAAAAAGUAAUUUACCCAAAUUGUAGAUAAAUGCUUCAAUUGGAGAGUGUCAUGUGUAAAAAAACCAAACUAUAAUAUGAACAUGAUUAUUCAUUUUCAUUUUUGUAACCUCCUAUUAUUUGGAGAUGUGAAGAACCACAUCCACAUAAAAAGAAAAUUAAAUGUAUAAAUGAAGACUCAUUCAAAAAAAUAAGCCUAACCUUGUCAGAGAAAAAUGUAGCAACGUUAUCAACUUCAUCACCAAUUAUUGCUUCUUUAUCUUCGUCUUUGGAAAAUGUAGAAACAAAAGUGGUCAUGUUUGAACAACCAAUUACCUUAAUUUCAACCAAGGAUGGACAUUCAAGACCUUUACUUCCCAUGUAAAAGCUUGUCAUAUCUGGACAAGACUCCACUGUAACGGAUCGUAGACAAGGGAAUAUGCUAAUAAUCUUGCUACUAUCUGUUAUUGCUUCCUUAACCAUUGGACCCUCUUCUUUGAUGACUUGUUCCAAAUUACCGCAUCUUUUGAUUUCCAUUUGUCGGAGUUGCCCCAGGCUGAAGGCCAUUGAGAGGUUAAAAAUGUAUCUCAAAUUGUUGGAAUCACAAACCUCCACAAAUUUAAGAAUUGUAAAAUCCAACAUUUCUUGAGGAUUUCUACUCCAUAUGUCUAUCAGCUCUGGAAACUUUGAAAACUUCAAAUGCUGUAGACCACGAUAUCCAACCUAAGCAGCAACAUAUCAAAAAAUCGAACUUUCAUACUAACAUAUUUAACUAGGGCCCUACAAUGCUAUUAUGAAAAUAAAUUACACAAAUCAGAAUUAAAUGUGUGUAUAUAUAUAUAUCUUUCAAUGAAUUUUUAAAUCAGUACCUUCUCUUUGUAUAAUUGUUCCACUGUGGCCUUGAUGUCACCAUCCCAACGUCCCUUAAAAUCUGUUAUUGUUGACCGCCGGUUAUGCAGUUUUGGUGUAAUUAGCUCUCCUUGAUUGAAGUUCUUCAUUUUAAGACACUGGCUCAAAGUAAGUUCUUCUAAGGAUGGAAACCUUAAGGUAUAAUUCCCUGAACAAAAGCUAGUGAGGCUUUCUAAACAAUGAAGCUCCAAAUGUUUCAACGCUCUGAAAACAAUCUCAUAUGAUGUAUCAUUCUCGUCGCUCGCAAUUAUUUCUCUCAUCAUUUCACAUUCUCUUAUCCUCAUUGUAACAAGGCACACCAAACUUCGAGCUUUGGAAGAUGUUAUCAGCUCUAACAUCUUAUUACAUUUGAAGACAUCUAAAGUUGUAAGAUUUUCAGAAAAUGAAAGUUCUAAUCCUAAAUUAUUCAAAUUGCGACACUGCCAAAGUUCAAGACAUUCAAGACUUGCACAAAUAUGGUCAAGCGGGGAGCCUUGCUUCCAUAUAUGUCUUAUGUUGUUAACUGCAUUCAAUUUCAACUUCUUGAUUUUUGGGAUCGUGAUGAUCAUGUCUUUAUCUUCACAUGCAUCGCUUUUGAAUGAAGCUAGCUCUUUGAAAUUGCAAGAAACCACCUCAAGCCCUUCCAAAUUGUAAAACCUUCUAAGGAAAGAAAUUGGGAAAAUAGUUGGUACAUUAAAGUCGCAAGAAAUUCUAAGAAAUUUUAUAUUGUAAAAUAAGUCGGCCUCAAACUGAGCAUCGCUUAUCAUCGCAAUAUCACCAAGUCUUAAUGAAACCUCCUCCAAUUGGGGGAUAACCUAAGAAGAAACAAGCAAGAACAAUGAGUGCGGUAGAGUAUUAGAUUUAGAAUUCCAUUUAAAUAGAAAGGCCUAACACAAAAGAUUAGCUAUAACACAUAAUAUAAGCCCAUAAAUGACCUAUGAAAUCAAUAGUUUGAAGUGAUUUGUAUUUUUAGUUUUAAUUUCUAUAUUAAAAAUAUGCAUAUCAGAUUUUUUUUAUAAAAAAUGCAAUAGAAUUUAAAAAUAGGUAAAGAGUUACAAAGAAUUGGUUACUGAAAUAAAAUUUAGAAUUGUUAGAGAUUAUAAGUUAGAUAGGGAAAAAUAUGAAAUUGCAAAUUAUUUUAAGUAUUUUUCAUUUUCAAAUGAAUAUUUGGAUGUAUUAAUUGAGAGGUACAAAUUGAUUUAAAUACAAUUUCUAAGCUUUGCUAAAAAAAGGGUGUCAAACCAUACCUUUUCAAUGAGGAAAAGUGAUUGUCCAAUUUGGGAUUCUUCAUGCCCAAAUAUCUUAAUCCUUCUACAGUUGUAUAUCCUCAAUUUCUUUAAUGUAGGCCAUGUUGUUCUGUGCAUUCCUGGGUAGAAACAUGUUAGGUAUGGUAGAUUCCCAAGCACAAGGAAGAACAACUGAUUAAAUGCUAACCAAAUUUCUUGUUCAUCUGAUACUUCAACAUUUUUUGAAACAAUCUCCUCCAACCCACACUCACCAAUACCAAGUCUUUCAAGUUGUUGAAGAUCUUUGGCGAUUGAAAAUGGAAACAAACUUUUCAAGCUCCAACAUUCAAGAAUAAAUACAAUUUGCAGAUUUUCAAAAGAAAUAUUUCCUUCACGAUACUUGGUCCAAACAUGCUUCAACUUUGGUAGGCGAACGAGAUUCACUUCUCUUAAUUGACUGCUUACCACAUAUGUUUCUUCAAUAUCUAACCCUUGCACUUGGAUUUGGAACACUUCUUCUAGUGAAGCACAAUCAGCCACUAUUAGUUUCUCCAAUCUUUGGAAAACCCCCAAAAGGAAAGGUGGAAAGAUAUUCAUAUGAAAGGAAUUCAUAUGAAAUUGGCUGUACCAUAUCCUUUUUGCAUUUCUCAAAUGGGAGAUUGUGAUUUCCUCCAAGUUGGGAAAAGCCACCUACAAAUCAUUAUUCAUGCCAAUGGAAGCAAUGAUUAAUAGAGUUAAAUAUAACAACAAAAAGGUAAUAGAAAAAAGAAAAAUGUGCUUUACUAAAAGAGCACCUUAUAAUUGAGCAAAACUCCAUGGGUAUGGAUAUCUUUACUCGUAGAAUUAUGGAUGAAUUCCUUCAAUUCUGGACAAUUUUCUAUCUCAAGAAUUGUCAAGGUUGAGAAUUCAACAGUAUAAUCUUCAUGGCAAAAUCCGAUGAGCUUCGGAAGACCCUUCAAUUUGAGGAAGUUCAAUCGAGGGAAGCGGAUUAGAGCUCUAUUUUUGAAUGUUUCUUGGAUUAUCUUAUCCGUUGAUAUUAUCUCCUGUAUGCACUUGCAUUCACUAAUUUCCAAGCAUUUGAGCUGCCACAAAUAUUCAGGCAUGGAGUCGGAUAAGACAUACUUUAAGUUGUCGCAACUCUGAAUGAUCAAACUUGUCAAAUUUUGAGUUGAACAAAACGCUUGGGGACUCCAUAUUCUUUCAAUGCCAAUUGAGGAUAAUUUCAAUUUCUCCAGCUUAGGAAACAAUAUCUGCACACAAGCACUUGUUUACUUGCCAAAUCUACUAGGCAAAUUCAAAAAAAGCUCUUUAUUUUGAAUUUCAAUUACCUUUAAUGCUACACAAAAUAUUAUAAAUAUAUAUAAUUUAGUUUAUACAAAAUAUUAAGUGAUUUGUAAUAAUUGAUUAAUUGGAUAAUGUUUUGUGUAAUUGAAUAAUAUUUUGUGUAGUUAUGAUUACACAAUAUAUUACAAAAAUUGAAAUAAUUUGUGUAACUCAAUAUUAUUUUGUAUAAUUGAAUAAUGUUUUCUUUAAUUCUAUAAUUACACAAAACAUUAUAAAAAUUGUAAGUGUAGUGGAGAGGUAUGUAAUUAGAGUUGAUGAAAAGAUUAUUUUAAAAAAAUUCAUCCUAGAAUCUUGACUUAAAUAGAGUGGUUGUUAAAUUUCUUGUUAGAUACUUGUUUAAUUUUUAAAUUAGUUUUUUAAAAAAUAUAUUAAAAAAUAGUUUUUUUAAAUGCUAUUAAAGGGAAACUAAUUUUUUUUUUAAAAUUUAUGAUUGUAGUUUUCAAUAUAACAUAUUUUUUGUUCGAGGAAAAUAUUUAUAUAUGCGUGAGAAUUAAUUGGCAUUCAAUAUAGACAAAAGCUAUUAUUGUAUAAAAGAAAAGCGUUGGGAAAUGCAUGCACUGAUGCACUGAUGAAGAACAAAAAUAUUUAAAUACCUUUUGCUUGAAAAGGGCAAUUUCUUGGGGAGAUAUGGAAGUUGAACCUUCUUUUUUGGAGCAAAAGCCAAUGAGAUUCGGUAGACCCUGCAGCGUCAGUGACUCGAGUUGAAGAAAUUCAAUUUUCUGAACACCAGCACUAUAUUUAAGGAUAUAUUGGACCUUCUCACCAUUUUGGAUAUGCAGAUUCUUCAAUUGCUGAAAAUAAUUCCCAACUUCUGAUUCAUGUAACAAAAUCUCCACAUCUUUCACUUCAUCUAUAUAUAAAUUUUCAGCUUUCUUCAAUAAAACUUUGACUCCAUUAUUAAGAAACCUAAUGCUGGUCUGUAGGUUAACCUUUAGCGUUCUGGAGUAUUCACGAACCCAACCCCAUUUCCAAUCCCCAUUCCAAUACCAAUCCGAUGCUUCUCCGAUGAAAAUAAUGUAUCUUUGCAGCUUUUCAAAGGAGAAGUCUUCGGGAAUAAUCUUGGCAUUAAGGAUAUGAGUUUCUAAAGCAGUUAAACAUGACAAAACAUUUAACUCAGCAAGACUAGAACUGCUUUGCAGGCUGGAGUGUCCCCCUGCUCCCCAUUCAUAACUUUUAUCCAUAUACAAUUCUUCUAAUCUAGAAAAUUCACACAAGACACCAGGUGGAAUUCUUCUGAGUUUGGAACAAUAACGUAAAUCUAACAGCUUUAGCUUAGUCAGUUGUCCUAUUUCCUUGGGUAGCAUUUCAAUAUCAGACCUCGUAAUCUUAAGAAUUUCCAGAUUCUUGAGCUCUCCAACAAGGGCUAUAUCUCCCAACACACAAUUACUCAAGCAUAGUGCUCGAAGGCUUCCUGGCAAAGAAAUUGAUGAAGCUAAGUUCAUGCCACUCAAAAUUAAGACUUUAAGAUAUUUCGUUUCCUUAAAAAAGUUUGUUGGUAUUUUCAUCCAAGGAUCCUUCCUACCCAUACUUAAAAAAGUAAGUUUGGGGCAAUUCAACUGAUCAGGAAGCUCGCUGAUACCACCACAUAAUAUUUUGUCGCACUCUUUCAUUGUUUCAUCAUCGGGCCAAUCAUUCAAAUCAUGUUUGCGUCUUAAAACAAACACAGGCUUUCCUUUAGAAGCGAUUGACACGGCCACAUCAGAAAUAAGAUCAUGCAUAUAACAAACAAGAGGCUUUGAGAUCACUCACCACUGUCAACAGUUUGUUCCUUGUUUCUUUAAUUGUGCUGACACCAUGAAAUAACCCUAACCCCAUUGCAAACGCAAGCAACGAAUCAAGCAGAACAUUAUGACCCAAUAGACUGCAAAGUAGGAAAGUCUGUUUAUGGUCUUCGCUUUGUAAACGAUCGUAACUCCACUCUAUAGUUGAAUAUACAGUUGCUGGUACUCCUGCGAAGUUGCUCGACGAUGGCUUGCUUAGUUGUCGCAGAGCAUCCUCCCAUACAAAUGGUGGUUCAUUUCUCAAAGACGUCGCAAGUGUUCUAAUGGCAAUUGGUAGACCACCACAUUUUUUAGCUACCUCAGUUGCUAUAGGCAACAAGUCAGAACUUUCAACACCAUCCCCUAUAAUCUUCUUGAAGAAAUGCCAGGCUUCUUCAUGUUCUAAAACGCCGAUUGGAAAACUCUUUUUAGCAUCCAUGUCCUUCUUCAAAACAUUAAGAUCUCUCGAUGUCAGCAGUAUGGUGCAUCCCUGAUCCUCGUCUCCCAAAGGAAUCCCCACUUCCAUCAGGUCUAAUUUUGCCCAAAUGUCAUCUAAAACAACAAGAAUCUUCUUCUCUUUCUUCAACCUUUCGCACAAACGACUUGCUCUUCCAGUCAUACUUUGCUCCUCAAAUUUCAGUCCCAACAUAUCUGCAAUUUGAUCUUGAAUUUUUUGGACGUCAGGAGUAUGAGUCACAACAGCCAUAACCACCGAGUCGAAUAACUUAUCUUCUUUGACUUGUCUGACAACUUCUUUCACAAGCGUAGUCUUGCCAACACCAGGCAUUCCGUGCACUCCUAUUAUGUUGACAUUAUGAUCUUUCACCGCCUCCAUGAUUUUGUUAAACAUCAGCCUUCUUGAAUCAAAGUCCUCAAAAUCUUUAGGAGAUACAAACAAUAUGGGCUGCGGGACAUCCCGAUAUGAUACUUCGUCAAACUCCCCUUGCUGGAGGAGUUCAUCAACGGCAGCGGCAUCUUCUUCUGCUUUCUUGCUAAGCUGAUAGCGAGCCUUGACAUUAGGACACAAGCCGAUAAAACACUUGUUCUUCGCUUCGUCUUCAAGACCCUUCACUUUGCUCAACUCUGAAAUGAUCAUGUCCUCUACUUUCAUUAGCCAAUUUUUGACGUCGGGGUAUAUAGUCUCGCCGUUCUUUUGAGCAGCAUCAACGUUUAGCAGCACUCUGUCUCUUCUGUCUUUCAACAUGUCAACUUUAUUCUCGAAAUCCAAGACCAUUGUUCUAUGGUGGCAAACAUAGCUGAAAUUACGUUUGAGUUUUUGGAACAAGUAUCCGACAACACCGGUAACAAGGUUGCUAGCGCUGCCCAUAGUAAUCUCCAUUGAAAAGAGGGGGGGGGGGGUUCAAAAGUACUUAAGCAAAGGGUAAGUGAUAGAAUAACAGAGGAGAAACAGAUUCAAAUAAUAAGGAAACAAGGAUGAUGAAUCAGGUUAGACAAAGUCUCAGCUCUUUAAAAAAAAAAAAAAAAAGAAGCAAUGGAGGUAUGAAAUUGUGAAGAAAAUGGAAACAGUUGUCACAAACUCCAAGCAAAUUUCAAGACUGCCGUGUGGAUUGUAUAAUAAGAAAGCAACAAAGAUUGAAGUAGUGGAAAGGGUUUAUUUUGUGGAUCAGGUAGAAGGAAGAACUAAACGUAGCUAAGAUAAGAAAAUAAAGGAGAAAAGAGAUGUGGGUUAUGGGUAGGCAGUAGAGGAAUGUGUAAAUAUCUUAAAUUUAUAUACAGGAGAGAUAAGAAAUUGAUGAGGAAACUCCAUUAUUUUGUCUACCACAAGUCACCCAUGACUUCCAGAAUUAUUAUUAUUUUUUUGAAGAAAACUUCAAGAAUUAUUAUUAUUGUAAAUAAUCGUCAAGGUUUUCUUAGAUGUAGCCUUUGUUUUGAAUUUAUUCAUCAUUGUCACUGCCAACUUAAGAAUAUAAUCUUUAUCUUAAUUUAUUAAAAUAAAAUCAACAAUAUCUAAUUUUUUUUUCUUUUUAAAACCUUAAAUUGGUUGUUAUUGGUUUUAUUUUAUUAAAGUAAGAUAAUUAUACCAUAAGUUAAUCUAAAAUAGUAUCUUUAAUUUUAUUUUUGUUAUUCUAAUUAAGAUAAUUGCUUUAAUCGACCACUAUUGUUAAAAAUUUAGUUAAUCAACUGAUGGUUUGUUGACGUGACAUUUUAUGGCCUUUGACUAAAAUUAAGAACCUUUCUAUAAUUAGUUCAAUUUUUUUUUAUCUAUUUACAACAUAAGAACUUCCGAUAUAAUAAUUGAAUUGUUAAAAUAUUAAUUGUAUGAAACAAUUACGAAAGUGUAUAAAAUCACUUUAAUUUUACACCAGUGUUAGUGGAUCAUUACCCUAAAAAUUAACUUACUCUUCUAAAGAAUUUUCUUAUUUGCGAUAUUAAUGUUUUUAGGAUAAAGUACAAGAAUAGUCAUCUAAUUAUUUAGUUCGUUCUAUUUUGGUCAACUAAAUAUUAAUAUUUUUUGUUUUAAUCACUCAACUUUUUAAAUUUAAUAUUUUAGUCACUCUUUCAUUAGUUCUCUAAUAGAAGUCUAACGCGAGCUUUGUUUUAUUGAUCUAAUAAUAAAUUUAUCCCUCCAAUAUUUAUGCAUUAUCAAUUUGAUCCUAAAUGUCAAAUUCAACAAAUUUAGUCCUCAAUGCUUACAAGAUUUAUAAUUUUAAUCCUAAUUAUAAAAAUUUUAAAAAAAAAUUUAAAAAUCUUAAAAAUUUAAAGUACAUAUAAAUUUUUAAAAAGUUAAAAAAAUCAAGAUUUUUGUACCCAAAAUUUUUUCAACAAUAUCUUCCACUUUGUUCUUUCUUCACUCAAUUGAUGAGUUGGAAAUAUCAAAUGUUAUGGUCUUGACUUACAAUCUCUCCCUAUUGCUUGAGUUAGAAAUGAUGAAGACAUGAGAACACUAUAGCUUGAAAUGGGUACUAUCCAUGUUGCAAAGGGCAAGCUCGUCGGAGUUGGUAUCGUCAACCCAACCAUUUUUUUGGGUUUAUAAAUUUCUCAAAUUUGAGUUUCUUUCUGGGUUUUAAUUAGACAUUUGAGACAAACAAUAUAGUAAAAGAAAAAGGACUAAAACAGAAGAGAGUGAAUCAAAAAAUAGCUUUAAUUUCUGAAAUUUUCACUUGUUGAGAAGAUGAGCAAAGUUGAUAAGAAAAUGUAAAUAUAAAUUAUAAAUUUUUUAAAUAUAUUUUAUAAUUUUUAGAAUUAGAAUUAAAAUGAAAAUUUUGUAAAGAUUGACACUACACCAAAACAGGUUUUUAGCGGCGUUUUUUUAGGCCUUUAGCGGCGCUUUUUAACGCCACUAAAGAUAUAGCGCCGCAAAAAAUGCCGCUAACGAAAACGUCGCAAACGUUUGCAGCGUUUACAAACAAAAACGCAGCUAAAGACCAUGUUCUUUAGCGGCGCUUGUAAAAAAAUGCUGCUAAAGACCACGUUCUUUAGCGGCGCUUAGAAAAAAACACCGCUAAAGACCACGUUCCACAGCCAUAAAGAUGAUAAUACAUUAGUUACCCAUUAGUUACCCAUUAGUUACCCAUAGUUUGAGAUAUUCAAAUUUAGUUACCCAUUAGUUACCCAAAUACUACCAUUAGUUACCCUUUUAUGCUUCUCCAAAAAUCGCUGUAAUGGAGAAGCAGCAGGCUAAGAUGAAUACUUUUGAAGAAUGCCAAAUCUUCCUUAUUAAAGGAGAUGGAAAGAAAGUGACCCACAACUUGCCAAGCUUAGCUUAAACUUUGCUUAUUGAAGAACACCCACAAUCCAUCAUGUACAACGCUAUUAAACUUUAAGUUAUUUUAUGAGUUUUCUUCCAAAAAAAAAAUCUAAACAAAAUAAUCACAAUAAAUAAUUAUAUAUUCAACAUGAGUUGUGCAAAACAUAACUCAAACCAACUAAAGGAGCAUUUGUCAUUGGCGAAAGCACUUUUUUUAUAGCUUCAACAAAUCAUAUCCGACUUUCCCAAAAUCGGAAGGUCUGUCCCUGUCUUCAAUCUUAACAAUUUCAUUUUCAUGGCCACGCCAUUGAUGCUCCUAGUUUUAUUAUUGGCUGUGUUUUGUAUUCGGGCAACCCCUAAAUAGACAAAAUUUUACCCCGAACAAACCCUUCUAUUUAAAUUGCUAAAUAAAUAAUUCACAAGUUCCCCAAAUUCCCAAACAAGAAUGGUGUUUUAACCUAAACCGCAAACCCCAAAAUCUAAUUUUUUUUCUAAGCCCCAAAUUCGAAAAACACAAUGCACCCAAAACCCCAAAUCAAGACGAUGUUCUUCAGAAGGAUUAAACGCAUACCUUUUAACCAGAUAUUCUGCAACUACUGUCAAGAAUGGCGCAAUCGUUGCUUUCUCUUUGAUGAUUUCAGAUUUCUCCUCCCCUUUCUUCCUUAGAAUAUUUUCUUAGGUUUUUUCCCCUUCCCAAUCGUGGUUUUCACUUGCCUUUUCUUUCUGUCUUUGUCGAGUGAGUAAAAAUGGCAAGUUAAACAACAUCUGCAGAAACGGCGUCGUUGAGAAAAAAAUAUUAAAACACCUUUGCGGCGUUUAUAGACCAAACGCCACAAAAAAAUAAACCUUUUAACAGAAACGACGUCGUUUUGUUAGUUUGAAAUUGCAUUUUUUGUGGCGUUUAAUAAAAACCGCCACGUAUACUUAAGUCUAUUUUAAUCCAAACGUUGACGUUUUAAAUAAAUUAUUCUAAAAUUUUUCUAAGUUAAAAAUCUGUUCCGAAAACGGCAUCGUUUAGCCAUUAUAUUAACACCGUUUUGUGGCAUUUUUGGUUCAAACGCCGCAAUUUCUUCCACAUUUCCGGCGUUUUCCUAAAAAUGCCACUAAAUAUUACACCUGUGAACAGAAACGACACCGUUUUUGUGGUCUGGAAUUGCAUUAUUUGUGGCGUUUUCCUAAAAACGUCACCAAAAGUUUAACUAUUCAUUCGAAAAUGGUGCCGUUUUUAAUUUUUUUGUUUUUUUUUAUUUCAUUUCUUAUGUAUUUGGUCCUAUAUAUAUAUAUUUCCAAAAUAAAUAAUUAUACCUAAAUAUAUAACCAUCCAUAUAAUAUAUAUCAAUAUAUUUUUUAACUUAUUUAUGAAUUCUAUUUAAAAUAAUAUUUAAAUAUAUCAAUUGGUACUUUAGAUUGAUUUUUUAAAAUAUUAUUUAAAUAAAUUAAUCUAAACUAACCUAAAAUCCUUAUUUGACCCUUAAGCCCUAAAUCUUUAACCCCUAGAUCGCAACUUGUAACCCCUAAACCCCUAGCUAACUCUUAUAUCCCAAACCCUAAAUUUGUACCCCCUAAUCCUUAAAAUAGCACGGCCAUCCAAAAUAAUCCCUAAAUCUUUAAUAAAUAUCAUAAAAUAGUUAUAAUUGAUUAAACAAUAAUUAAUACUAAAAACUUUUUGUAUAAAGUUUGCUGACGUGGCAUGAACAGUUUGUGUUUUUAGCUUGGAAAACUUUGAAAGGCCAUAACUUUUGGCUCGGUUGUCCGAUUGAGGCGAAUUUUUUUUUGAUUUCGAAUAACUUUUCAAGAUCUACGCGCUGGCAAACAGCCAAAGGUGGUUUGCCAAAGUUUUCAUCAAAAAAGAUCCUCUUUUGCCCCUCAAUUUUUAUUUUUUCGGUUUAAAAUUGAAUUUUGAAACAUUCAAAUCGUUAUUUUCCUCAUUUAUUUGAAGUAAACACCGGAUAUUUUUUUACACAAUUGUCUUAUAUCAUCCUGUUAUAGGUAUAACAAAGCUCAUUCCACUUUUGAGAAGUUCCCUAACAAUUUCCAUUUUAUUCAAUUUAGUCCCUAAAACCUAAAUAGUCAUAUUUUCAAAUCUAAGCUUCGUUUUUCAAUUCAAUUUCAAUUUCAUCAUUCUUUCAAUUCAAAUUCAAAAAAUUAUUUAAGUAUAUAUUUAACUGUUAUUCAUGAAUUAUUUGAGCAUUACUAUUCAGAUUAGUAUUUAAAUUAAUAAUAUACCGAAACCAAAUCCUAUACCGAACCGAAAAAUCCUGAACAAAUUUAUUAUUACCUCUUUUACAAUUAUAUAUAUAAGAAUAUAUUUAAAAUAUAAUUUGGCAAUACUAAUUAAUCUAAACCCUAGCUAAACCCUAAAUCCUUAAUUAACUCCUAAUAACCCCUAAGUGCUAACCCCAACCCUAACCCCUAAACAUUAUAUCUCAGCCCUUACACCAUAUCCCUAAAUCCAAUAUUAUAUAUAUACUCCUGAUCAAUUAUAAUAAUAACCUUAAAAUAGUAACCCCUAAACCGACUUAAAAUCUUAAAUUAAUAAUAUCAUAUAUAUAUACCCCUAAAACCUAAAACCCUAUAUUAACUAUACUGAUACGCUUAAUUCAAUAUUUUAAAUUUAAAUUAAUACUUACUAUCUCUUUUAAUUACGAUAAUAAUUUCAAAUUUUUAAUAUAUAAAUUAAAAAACAAUCAGUAAUGUACCCAACAAAAACUUUAAAAUUAUUUUAAAUAAUACUAUUUUAAUUUUUCCAUGUGUUUUAUUUCAAAUUAUUUAUACCUGUUAUUUUUUAUUGAAUAUUUUAAAUAUUCUAUUAGAAAUAUGUUUAAUUUGAUUCAAAUAAUAUAAAUAAUAGUUCAAUUAAGAUAAUUUUUUUACGGCAGAUAAACAAAAACGCCGCUAAAACACCUAGAUUAGCGGCGCUUUACAAAAAACCCCACUAAUUCCCCCCAAAGGCCACAAAACGGCACCGUCUGGGUGUAUUAUUUGCGGCGUUUUUUAUAAACGCUGCUAAUGUUCACUCUUUAGCGGUGCUUUACAAUAAACGCCACUAAUUCCCCCCCCAAAGGACACAAAACGGCACUGUCUGGGUGUAUUAUUUGCGGCGUUUUUAUAAACGCUGCUAAUGUUCACUCUUUAGCGACGCUUUACAAUAAACGCCACUAAUUCCCCCCCCCAAAGGCCACAAAACGGCACCGUCUGGGUGUAUUAUUUGCGGCUUUUUUAUAAACGCUGCUAAUGUUCACUCUUUAGCGGCGCUUUACAAUAAACGCCACUAAUUCCCCCCCAAAGGACACAAAACGGCACCGUCUGGGUGUAUUAUUUGCGGCGUUUUUUAUAAACGCUGCUAAUGUUCACUCUUUAGCGACGCUUUACAAUAAACGCCACUAAUUCCCCCCCAAAGGCCACAAAACGGCACCGUCUGGGUGUAUUAUUUGCGGCGUUUUUUAUAAACGCUGCUAAUGUUCACUCUUUAGCGACGCUUUAAAUAAACGCCACUAAUUCCCCCCCAGAGGCCACAAAACGGCACCGUCUGGUGUAUUAUUUUCGGCGUUUUUUAUAAACGCUGCUAAUGUUCACUCUUUAGCGGCGCUUUACAAUAAACGCCACUAAUUCCCCCCCAAAGGCCACAAAAUGGCACCGUCUAGGUGUAUUAUUUCCGGCAUUUUUUAUAAAUGCUGCUAAUGCUCACUCUUUAGCAGCGCUUUUCCUUAAACGCCACUAAUGCUCACUCUUUAGCGGCGCUUUUCCUUAAACGCCGCUAAUGCUCACUCUUUAGCAGCGUUUUUGCUCCAAACGCCGCUAAAAGUGCCGCUAAAAGCUUGUUUUGGUGUAGUGUGAGGCUAAAUUGUUGAAUUUUUUAGAUUUAGAUAAAAAUUAAUAAAAUGUGUAAACACUGAAUAGUUAAAAUUUUUAUUAGAUUAAUAAAAAAAAAGCUCAUGUUAGACUUUUAUAAUUAAGUUAAUGAUAGGAAAGACUAAAAUAUUUAAUUUCAAAAUGUUAAAUAAUUAAAAUUAAAUUAAAAAACAAUAAUUAAGUGAUAAAAGAAAACAGAUUGACUCAUUCCACAUAUUUAGUAUUUUAUAAAAGUAUGCUUCGAAAAUGUACAUUUAAAAAGUAAAUUAUAAUAUAGGGUGAUUUUUAUUUUGGUCAUUUUAGAAUAUCAUGAUUAAAAAAAUGGAUUAAAUUAAUUAUUGUAUCGAUAAAUUCAACUCUUACAUUAUUAAAUCAAUUUCUUAUUCCUUUUUCUUAUAUAUUUUUCAUUGAUUUAUCCAUGUUACCGUUAACAUGGAGUGUUGACAUUCAUGACAGAAAACCUUGGUUAGAAGGUAUUGGAGCAGAGGAGGAAAAGAAUAAAAAGAAAAAGAAGAUUGGGAAAUUAAUAAUUGAAUUAAACAAUUGAUGUAGCAUGUGCUUCUGAGGAUCAUGUCAGUAAAUGUCUGCAUUGAUUCCUCCCUCAAAUGUCGGAAAAUGCAACUACUUAAUUAUGUAUGCAAUAUAUCAGAAGCCAAUCUCUCCACAUGUAUGAUAGACUGGAAUCUAUGCCUAAGCAUAUACCAAAUCAUUUAUUCAUUGCAGAGUCAAAUUAUAGAGUUAAUUCAAGAGAUGUGCCAUUUCAUGCUUAAGAUCCAUUAAGGAACGGAAGGACAGAGGGGAAGGGUUUGCUUUAAAAUUAAUAAAAUUACAAAUUAAUUUAUAAUAAAAUUAUAUUUUGGCCUCCUUCAACAUGAGAAAGAAUUAUUUAGUUUCUUCAAAAAUAAUAAAAAUAUAAAUUAAUACAUCAUAAAAUUCUUAAAAAUUUUAUAAUUCUAUUUCGAUCCCCUUUCGUCCCUGAAAAGGAUAUGAUAGAGAUGAACCGAUAGAGGAGAUACAACGGCAGAAUCAAGUAGUGAGUUCCCAGGGUCCCAAAUUUGUGUUCACAAGGAGGAACUUGUAUUAAAUUCAUUAUCCUUUGCAGAUUAAAGCCUAAUGCUGAUGGCUAGGCUUCACCAUCACAAGCAAUGGAAUUAAGUUUAAAUUCAUCAUCAUCAUCAUCACCAGCAGCGACAUCUUCGACUUCAUGUAGUUCCUUGUAUCAAAGUAAAGAUCCCAUUCCUCUACUAUCACCUCUUGUUUAGCCUACUUUGCUUCAAUCAUCUGAUCUCCAUCAAGAAGGGAAUACAGCAACAUAAAUCUCUCUGGGAGGUGUUAAGGUUUCCUUGUUAUAAAUACUUGAUUUAUCCUGUCUUCCCUGUGUUUCACAUUGGAUUGUCAUCACUACAUAUUUUCUGAUACUCUUCUGUUUACUAAAACUCAUGUCUUUAACAGCAUUUGAAGAAGCAUUCCAUUUCAUUGAUUUUAAUGGUUUAAUUCAUAUAUGUAAUGAAUCAUUAGAUUGGCAGAACACAAUAUGGAAGAGCUUCAAUAUCUUUUCCCAAAAAAUGACAUGUUACUGUUGAUUUAAUAUUUAUGUCUUACUAUAGAUUUAAUAUACAGUCAACUUAAUUUUUUAAUAUUUAUGUUAUAAUAUUAUAUGUUAUUAUGGAUUUAAUAUUUAUGUGUUAUAAACUACAUACUAUAUAUAAAAAUAACAUAAUAUAAUAUAUUACAAAAUUAGAAAAUAAAUUCAGGCGAGCCCUAACUUAAUUCUUAUUUUAAAUGAGCUUAAUUUUUUUGUCCAAACUCAUUUUUCGGGUAGGUCUUCAGGUUUGAAUAAGUAACCCAACCCUUAAAUAUGUCUAUUACACAUACACGAUCUAAACACAAAUAAGGCUUUAGUAAAACUAGAAAAGUAAUACUUGAAACACCUAUAGAUUCAACAUCAUCGUAUGUUGUUUUAAAUUGAUUUUUGAUAUAACGACAAAUUGAGUUCUUAAUGUUUAUAUUUUUUGUCAAUUUGAUUAUUAUUCUUUUUCUCUAAACUAAAUUUGUUCAACGAAAUGUUUCCAUUAGCAUUUCCCUUUCCCUUUUAUAAGUGUUAAUACUUAUACAUUUGCAGUGUGUUUUUUUAAUUUUAUAAGCAGAUCUAUUUAUAUAUAUAUAUUUAAAAAUAUUUUUAUAUCACUUGUUAUCAUCUCGAUUUUACUUGUAGAGUCUACAAACUUCAUUAAUAGUGUAUUAAAUAUUUUCGGUUCUCCAUUUUUUGAGAUAAUUUCCAUAAAACAUACCUAUGCCAUACUUAAGGGUGUUUGUAUCUGAUAAACACCAUAAAAUUUGUAGGGUGAAUUAAACUCAAGGUUAUUAAACUAUUAGGAAGUUUACGUUUUAAUCAUUUAAUUUUAAAAAAGUUACAAAAUGAUUAUUGAACUAUUUAAAAGUUUUCAUUUAAGUCAUUGAGCUGUUAAAAGCGCUACUAUAUGGGUUUCUUCGUUCGCACUGCUUGCACCAAUAAAAAACUGUCAUUCUCCUUUUCUUCUACAGUUUGGUUUUUUUCAUGAAACAACUUUGAACGUCACUAAUCUGCAAACCAAAAUCCGAAUAACUUUCUUCUUUAAUCUUCGACAUUGAUCGUCAAAUUGACUUGGAUCUAAGGUAUGUUUUUCUAUUCGUCAAUGUGUAUUGAUCCACUGUAUUGAUCAUUGAAUUGUCACUUGGAGCUUGCUAGUAGAACUUAAAAAAAAAAACUUUAACAACCUAAUGAAUAAAAUAAAAACUUUCGAAUAAUUCAAUGACCAUUUUAUAACUUUUUGAAAUUAAAAUACCAAAAUGUAAGCUUACUAAUGAUUUAACGACCUUAGGUCUAAUUUCCCUUACUAUUAUUCUUACUUUGUAUGAUAAAAGAUGGGUAGAAAAAGAGAAACGGGGAAAAAAGAUAGCAAAAGGUGUUAUAAUGAAACAAAAGUCUGCAACUUUUUUUUAUAUCUAUCUCAUCAAUUUGAAUCUAAAUUUUCUUUUUAAAAAUGUAAUGUAUUUUACUACCGUUAAUUUAUUAAUUAAAAACUUACUUUGAUUUGUUGAAGAAUACUAUUGAAACAAUCCGAAUCUUAUAAAACUUGAUAUAUUAUUUCUUUGGUUUCUUCUCUAAGAUGGGUAGAGAUGAAAACCAACAUGCACUAUAAUAAAAAUUAUUUCUACAAAUUAACAUUUAUAAGUACCAGUAAAAGAUCAUAAAAUUUUCUUUAUUAAUAUCACUGAUUAGGGUGUCGGAGAAAAGUUUUCAGAGAACUUAACCACUAGUGUUGGUAUAAUGUUUGUAUUUGUACUAACAAAUCUUAAGUAUAGUGAUAAAACACAUUGCAUUUUUAAAGAAAAUCACAAAUUCGAAUUUUGGAAAUGAUAGGAGGAUUAGUCACAAAUCCCAAAUAUUGAAUUCUAAAAUAGAUACGGAGAAUAGAAAAGAAAAAUUAAUGAUCAACCAAUCCCACCAUAUUAAGAUCAAAGAUUCACAAUUUUAUGUGUUGUUUCAAGAAGCAGUUUAACAGGGCACUUUUAAUCAUCUUUCAAACAUAGCAAAUAAAAAAAAAUGUAGAGAAUAUAAUGAGUAACAGAAUAUAAUCAGUCAACUUUGUUUAUCUCUUUAUAUAUUUGUAAUUUAGUGGCAUAUCUUGUGACUGCAAACUACAAUUCAAGCAGCAAAGAAAAAUGAAUAUGGGGUCCUCUAAACUAAAGUAGGCUAAUAUAUUAUAUGCCUUCACAUAUUUUGGGUUCCAAACAAUUUUGACUGCCAAAAAUAUCAACAUUAAUCCAAAAUUAAUGCCUAAUAUUCAGCUUUGUAAAGCAAAGCAAAUGGUGCAUGAAUCCCCAUUAUGGAUAAUAAAGCAGGCUAAUAUAUUUUAUAUGUGAGGAAAAAAUAGUAGAAAACAGUCUCCUGUUAAUAGAGAUCAAAUUGUCUGAAAACACAAAGAAUGCUUGAAAUACAAUCCCAAGAAUAUAAAACCAUCAAAUCUCCAAAGUCAAGAUUCAGUACUUGCACACAAGAAAUUGCCAUUUAAGAAUCUCCUUAAAAUACCUCACCUUUUGGCUUUUCAUUUCGAAAUCAUCAUCUCACUUCAAUUAUUCAACGAACAUGAUCUUCCUUAUGUCCGUCAUUUUUGUCCGUCUCUUCAGACGCCUCACAUUCUGUAAUAACAAUAUGAGAGUUUGUAAUGGACCUUGACCCUGCCCCUAUGCCAAGCACGAGCAGCAAUGAAGAUCCACUUGGCAAACCGUUAGGAAGUAAUAGACCCCAACGGGAGAAAAGGACACCUGUGGUCCUGCAUGGAUACGUGGUGGGCUAGCCACAAUUUAGGUACCAUUCGGAUGAAUGGCAUUGGGUAUUGUUGUAUAAAUAAGGGUAGGUAUUACCAGGUGAGGCAUGAUAUCACUUUUUUUUAGCAAUAGCUGCUACCUCUCUUCUUCCCUCAGCUGUACUGAGUUUUCUAUUCCCUUCUCAAUCCUUCCUUUCUGUCUCAACCUUGUAACUCAUCCUCCAUGUACUCAAUGAAUCAGAAAUACUAAAAGUUUCCUUUAAAACUGUAAUUGCUUGAAUCCUUGACUAAGCCUUCAUAUUUUGGUGCUUUCAUUAAGCUCACUCCUCCUCCCUAUGGCAGACAACACCCGUUUGGCUCGCCUUGACACAACCGUAACCUCCUUGCAACACGACCUUUCCGCCCAAGCCACAGUCCUCAACAACCAAUCCACCGCCUUGAGCUCUCUUCAAUCCAUCGUUACUACCCAACAAAACACCAUGGAAGAUAUCAACCGACAGCUACAAAACCUAAAUAAAAUCCUUACUGAAAAACAACCCUUCCCUGACCGCCAGGCAAAACCCGAUGGGUUCACCACCGAAUCUUCCACUACGGGUACUCGCCGACGCCCAGUCAAUGAUGACGAUUAUAACCGCGACGAUUUCCCAUUUAAACCCAAACCAGCCCGUGUUGAGCUCUCGAAAUUUAACGAUUCAGACCCCGAAUCGUGGAUUUUCAAUGCCAACGAAUUCUUCGAUUUUUACGAUACAGAUGAUACUGUUCGGAUAACAAUGGCAGCUUUUCAUUUUGAAGGCAAAGCUAGGCGAUGGUAUAGAUGGAUGAAAACUAACAAGCAGCUCUCGUGUUGGGACCAUUUCACGCGUGCAAUGCUUGACCGUUUCAAAUUUACAACUCUCGAAGAACCCCAAGGUUUGUUGUCAAAACUUCAACAAACAACCACAGUCGAGGAGUACCAAAGCCGAUUUGAGUCUCUUUCCAAUCUAACGACCGAUUUGCCCCCUUCCUUUUUUGUGGAUUGUUUUAUAUCUGGACUACGAGCCGACAUAAAAAAUGAGGUUUUAUCUUUUCGACCCACUACACUUAACCAUGCCAUUAGUUUGGCCCGCCUACAAGAGGCUAAACUAUCCGAAACCCGAAAACUCUUAUUAAAACAAAUACCUUACCCCAACUCUUUCACUCCUGGGCUGCUACCAAACCCAUCAAUCCCACUUAAGCGUACUCCAGACCAAUCUAAAUCGCCAAUUCCUCCAGCUGCCCGUCGAUUAACACAGGCCGAAGCACAGCGUAGGAGAGAAUUAAAUUUGUGCUUCUAUUGUGAUGAAAAAUAUGUGAGGGGGCAUAAAUGCAAUAAACCCCAAUUAUUCCUUUUAGAUGACACCUACCCUAGUGACGAAGACAAACAAUCACCACAACCCCUUGAGCCUCCAACCGAUCGUCCAAACUCCACCGACACACCUAUUGACACCCCAACAAUUAAUUCCACCCCCACAGAUUCGACAGCCACUACAAUGAUUUCUUAUAAUGCUAUGUCUGGUUGCCUCUCUCCAGCGACCUUGCGAUUCAUGGGUUCGAUACAAGGACAUUCGGUUCAGAUACUUUUGGAUGGGGGAAGCACACACAAUUUUAUUCAGAGCCGUGUUGCUCAGUUGUUAGGCCUUGAUAUUGAUCCAUCGGCAUCUUUUCCAGUAUUAGUUGGCAAUGGGGAGAGUAUCCACAGUGAAGGGCGAGUAAAAAAUGUGAACUUACAUAUACAAGGUACUGAUAUUAUUACUGAUUUUUAUGUCUUACUUCUUCAUGGCUCGGAUGUAGUCCUAGGAGUGGCUUGGCUGGCAACUCUUGGCCCUGUCAUAACCGACUAUGCUUCUUCAACCUUUCAAUUCGGUACUGGAUCGUUGCAAGUUACUUGGCAAGGACUACAUGGCUCGGGUCCUGAGUAGAUUCAGCUAAACUCAUUAAGGCGUACCCAUGAAGUGGGAGCUGUUGCAGCAUUCUAUAGCCUACAAAUAUCGUUUGAUCCGUCCCAUACCACACCUAACACACCUACAGCUUUUACCCUAUUACUUAACCAGUUUCGAGACGUCUUCACUCGAACAUCUGGCCUACCCCCAACACGUCCGACGGACCACUCUAUACACCUCAAACCUAACUCCGCCCCGAUCAAUGUACGCCCCUACCAAUAUCCCCAUUUCCAAAAACAAGAAAUUGAGCGACAAGUAUCAGCAAUGUUGCAGGAAGGAAUCAUUCGGCCGAGUACCAGCCCCUUUUCCUCACCAGUGUUGCUAGUUAAGAAAAAGGACGGCACUUGGAGAUUUUGUGUCGAUUAUCGAGCCUUAAAUGCAGUAACAAUCCGUGAUCAAUUUCCAAUUUCGACGGCGGAUGAGCUCUUUGAUGAACUAUUCGGGGCUACAAUCUUUUCGAAGUUAGACUUGCUUACCGGGUUCCAUCAAAUUUUGAUUUAACCAGAGGACAUUCCAAAGACAGCUUUCCGCACUCAUGAGGGCCACUACGAAUUCCUCGUCAUGCCGUUCGGCCUUACAAACGCCCCCUCUACCUUCCAAGCCACGAUGAACGGUAUCUUUAAACUUUUUCUCCGUCAAUUCGUCCUCAUUUUUUUGAUGACAUCUUGGUUUACAGUAAAACACAGGAAGAUCACUUCAACCAUUUGCACAUCGUAUUUGAAACCUUGCAAGCUCACCACUUGGUCGCAAAAGAAAGCAAGUGUAUUUUCGGGCAGUCUCAAAUCGAGUACUUAGGACAUAUCGUCAACGGCAACGGACUUCAAGUUGAUCCUUCAAAAAUUACAGCAAUUCGUGAUUGGCCAAUUCCAGUUACUGUUAAGAGUGUCCGUGGAUUCUUAGGCCUGGCGGGAUAUUACAGACGUUUUAUUAAAGGCUUUGCAAAGAUCGCAGCACCACUCUCUAACCUUCUCAAAAUCGACAAUUUUAAUUGGACACCCGCGGCACAAUCGGCAUUCAUCCAGUUGAAAGAAGCCUUAAGCAGUGGACCUCUCUUGGCCCUUCCAGACUUUUCAGCCCCAUUUACAAUCGAAAUCGAUGCAUCCGGAACGGGAAUCGGCGCCGUAUUGGUUCAACGAGGAAAACCCAUUGCCUACUAUAGCCAAAAGUUAUCCACCCGAAUGCAAGGCGCACCAACAUACCAUCGCGAGAUGUUUGCUAUUACCCAAGCAGUGGGCAAAUGGAGACAAUACUUGUUGGGGAGACGAUUUUCCAUCAUCACGGACCAAAAAGCCUUGAAAAAUCUCACCGUACAAACAAUACAAACACCAGAACAGCAGCAUUGGCUCUACAAAUUGAUUGGGUUCGACUUCGAAGUAUUAUACAGACCAGGGAAGUUAAAUACAGUGGCCGACGCCUUAUCUCGCUACCCGACAGGCUGUCUUCUUACCUUGUCAGUUCAAGAAUUUACUCGACUUGCAGAAUUUCAGAAAUUAAAUAGCUCUCACCUCGAUCUAUUACACAUCCACGCUCAGCUGGCUGCUUGUAACUCUGAAUUUCAAGACUAUUCGGUGCAUGACGGAUUAUUACUCUUUAAAAACAGAUUGGUAGUGCCCACGGACGCCACCUUGCGUAAAGCUCUACUCGAAGAAUUCCACUGCUCAGUCGUCGGUGGACAUGCUGGAAUAUCACGCACCCUCUAUCGACUAGCAGCAAAUUUUUACUGGCCCUCCAUGCGUAAAGAUGUACAACAAUUUGUUCGUGAAUGUGUUGUUUGUCAAACAAUGAAAGCCUCUCAAUUGGCCCCCGCCGGUUUACCUCAAUCCUUACCCAUGCCAACACAAGUUUUCGAGGAACUCACUAUGGAUUUCAUCACCGGUCUCCCCCCAUCUUUUGGUAAGACAAUCAUAUUUGUCGUCGUGGAUCGAUUAUCCAAAUAUGCUCAUUUUUUUGCCUUGCCCAGUACCUUUACUAGUACGAAAUUAGCUGAGGUGUUUUUAAAUGGGGUGGUUAAAUUACAUGGAAUUUCCACAAAAAUAAUUAGUGAUCGGGAUCCUUUAUUCCUGAGUUUUUUUUGGGAUGAGCUCACUAAAUUACAGGGCACUACAUGAGCAUUGAGCUCUGCUUAUCAUCCAGAGACAGAUGGACAAACCGAGGCCGUCAACAAAGUUUUGGAAAUGUAUCUCAGGUGCUUUGUUGCUGACAUUCCUAACUCUUGGGUUAAAUUUCUGCCAUGGGCCGAAUAUUGGUACAACACUUCACAUCAUACCUCAGCCGGAAUGUCCCCAUUUAAAGCUUUAUAUGGCCGCGACCCACCAACAAUUAUUCGAUAUAUUCCAGGCACGGCUAAACUUUCAGCCCUCGACCAUGACCUGUCCAAUCGCGACAUUAUACUCCAACAGCUUAAACACAAUUUACUUACAGCCCAGAAUCGUCAAAAAAACCAAGCUGAUAAACAUCGUCGAGACAUCUCUUAUGCUAUUGGUGAUUGGCUUUUCGUUAAACUUCAGCCCUAUCGACAGCUUUCCCUUCGCCUGCACAGAAAUCAGAAACUCAGCCAAUGUUACUUUGGUCCUUUUAAAGUCCUAAAACGCAUUGGCACCGUGGCUUAUAAGCUUGAUUUACCGCCAUCUUCUCGCAUACACCCAGUCUUUCAUGUUUCAGUUCUGAAGAAAUGCAUCGGCAACCCCGACAGCCAAAGUAUUCCUCUACCCCUCAUUGACCCUAAUACUUCGAACCUUGCGGACAAGGUUCAUCUUGCAGAAGGGAGUAAUGUAAUGGACCUUGACCCUGCCCCUAUGCCAAGCACGAGCAACAAUGAAGAUCCACCUGGUAAAUCGUUAGGAAGUAACAGACCCCAACGGGAGAAAAGGACACCUGUGGUCCUGCGUGGAUACGUGGUGGGCUAGCCACAAUUUAGGUACCAUUCGGAUGAAUGGCAUUGGGUAUUGUUGUAUAAAUAAGGGUAGAUAUUACCAGGUGAGGCAUGAUAUCACUUUUUUUUAGCAAUAGCUACUACCUCUCUUCUUCCCUCAGCUGUACUGAGUUUUCUAUUCCCUUCUCAAUCCUUCCUUUCUGUCUCAACCUUGUAACUCAUCCUCCAUGUACUCAAUGAAUCAGAAAUACUAAAAGUUUCCUUUAAAACUGUAAUUGCUUGAAUCCUUGACUAAUCCUUCACAGAGUUGCAUUUAUACUCUAGCAUAUAAAUUCAACAUCAUCAGAUGGAUUUACAAUUAAUAUGUAUAUAGUUUUCUACGAAUUUCAUUACUCUGUACCUUCUUUGUUUAACUGCUCAAUGGCAGCAUUAAGGUCCCAACAUCUCCUAACAUCCCAUCUUGUUUCUACCUCUUGUAGCUUUGGCGUCCAUAAAGCUCCAUUGCAAAAAUUCUCCAUUGCGGGAUAGUCAAUCACUGCUACGUCAUGCAAUGAUGGGAACUUCAAAGUGCAAUUCCCUGAGCAAAAGCUUUUGAGGUUUUUUAAAUCAUAAAGCGCCAAACAUUUCAAUUCCUUGAAAAUAAUCUCAUGAUAUGUUUGUUUCAUCUCCAUCAAUUGCAAUUACUUCUCUUAUCAUUUCACAUUCUACUUUCGUAACUAUUUAUAUGAUUAAUAUUUUAACAAUCUAAUUAUUAGAUUUAAUAAUUCUAUAUUCAACAUCUGGAUCAUAAAAAUAUUAAUUAUAAAAAUAUUCUGAAAGCAUAUAAAAUUACUUUAAAUUUUACCUUGUGUAAGUGAAUCCUAAUCCUUUUUAAUAUAAUAUUUAACAAUUUAAUAAUUUUUAUUUAUUAAAAUUUUAUAUAUAAACAACUUAAAUUUUUUAAUGUUUACAUAUAAUAUUAUAUGUUACUAUAUAUUUAAUAUUUAUGUGUUAUAAACUACAUAAUAUAUAGAAAUAACAUAAUAUAAUAUAUUACAAAAUUAAUAAAUAAUCUCAAGCCUUAACUGCUUUGAACCUAAGCUCAACCCAUAUUUUAAAUAAGCAUAAUUUUUUUAUCCAAACUCAUUUUUUUUAGUAGAUCUUCAAAUUUGGGUGGAUAGCCCGCCUCUCAAAUAAGUCUAUAUCACACCCACAAUCUGAACACAAUUAAGGCUUUAGUAAAACUGGCAAAGAUACUUGAAACACCAAUAGGUUCAAAAUCAUGGUAUGUUGUUUGAAAUUGAUUUUUGAUAUAAUAACAAAUUUAGUCCUCAAUAUUUAUUGUCGAAACCUUUUUGGUGAUUCGGCUUUUUAUUCUUAAAAAAAACGAAGAUGGAGUCGCUACCAAUCCUUUUUAUUAGGUGUGAUCGGAUAACUUCGUAAAUUGAUUAUUUUAAUACAAAAUUUAGAUUUACUAAAACGAAAAAGAUUUCGGCUUUUCCCCCUUUCUGGUUGCGCCCUUUCAUUUCUCCUUUUAUUGAAGCCCAAACGAAACCCUAAUGGGUUCAGCGACUUUCGAUAUUGAGGGAGACCCUCGACGGUGGUGCGAGACGAAGCCAAGUAAAAGGUUUUAUAUUUAUUUAUUGUUUUCGACUAUAAAGAAACAAAGUAAAUCACAUUUCUUUUUGCUUAAUGUUUGUAUUCGAUUUUUAUUUUGAUCUUCUAUAUAAAAAUACAUGCGGUUUUCAUGGCUUUUAUAGCCAAAUAUUUAUUUUUGUAUUCUUUUUUGUUUCUACUGUUCUGCCAUUUCCACUGUUUUGCUUUCUGUCCUCUUUCGUUUUCUCUUUGCAAGUACCCAUGGUGGUCAACGACGACUAUAGGAGUCGUGCCUUGCCAUUUUGGUGCAAUAGUGGCAGGAGGCGCUUUAGGCCUCGGGCGGUGAGCACACCGACGUGGUGGGGUGCAGCGCAAAAGGGGUACUUAGGGUUUUAAGUUUUCUGAAAAAAAGUUUAGGUUAUGGGCUAUUGGGCUUUGGGUAUUAGGUUUAGCAGAUAGAUUGGGCUAUUGGGCUCUUUUUUGUUUGGGCCAAUCUAUUUUGUAAAUGGACUUAGACUUUUAUUUUUGGUUUUUACUUUGUUUAUUUAUUUCUGGUUUCUGUUUGGGUCGGAUGAAAUUGAUCCCUUACAUUUAUAUUUUCUGUCAAUUUGGAUACUAUACUUUAUUUUUUUUAGCUAAAAUUGUUCUCAACUUUUAAAAAGAAUCGAAUUUAACCAUUAACCUUUUAAAAAUAGCCAAUUUGCUUUUUUUAACGAAAAUAUUGACUAAAGAGUGAAAAAUUUUAACUUCGCAACUCUCAUGACAAUUCACAUAUAGUUCAUGUUAUUUUUUUUUGAAUUUUCACUAACUAUAUAUAUAUUUAAUGUUUUGAAUUUUUAUUCUUUGAAUAUUUUUUUAUAAUUUUUAAAUUAUUUAUUGAUGUGACAUGUAAGAUAAAAAAUGUCAUAUUAGCAUGAAGUGUACGUGGAUUAUCAUGCGGGUUGUCACACCUAUAUUGUUAAAAAUUAAUGUUUUAACUAGCAUUUCCAUUUAAAAAAAAAGCAAUUUGAUUAUUUUUGAAAUAUUAAUGGCCAAAUUUAACUAAAAAAAGAAAGAGUAAGGCUUAAAAUGAUAAAAAAAUGUAAAUGUUGAUAGCUAAAAUUGUCAUUAUGUCCUUUUUUUUAUGAAUUUCUUUUAAGAAAAACCAUUAGACUCUUUUUGAAAUAUUAAUAGUCAAUUUUAACUAAAAAUAAAAAAUAAUAAAAAGAUGUAAACAUUGAGGGCUAAAAUUUUCACCAUGCCUUAAUAUUUUUUUUUACAUAUUUGAACAAAAAAAAUCAACAUAAAAGUAUUUAUUAUUAUUUUUAAAUGGUUUUUAAAACUUUUAACAAUUGAGUUGCUGCAUGAGCUUGGGAAACUUUGGAACCUAAAAUAUUGCUUUUAUUGUUUAUUAUAAUAUUAAUUUAGCAUUAUAAAUAAAUUAUUGUAAUAUUAAUAAUAUGAUAAUAAAAAAGUAAUAUUAAUUAAUUUUAAAAAAUGUUUUUUAAGCAAAAUCUUAAAGUAAAAAAUAAUAGAUAAGUUUUAAAAUUAAAAAUAAGAAAAAUAAACUUUCAAAGAUUUAGGGUAGAUUUGGAUGAACAGUACGUCUACAUACAUGCGGUUAGUGUAAAAACAAAGGCAGCAGCGUAAUUAGAUACGAUAACUUGAGAAUAAAUUAAACACACACAGAGCACCCUUCAUCCAAACCCACCCUUAAUCUUGUCUAAACUGAAAAAUAAGAGAGUUCUACAUGAAAGACGGUUUCUUGGGAAUUUAUCAUGGUGCCUUUUGCCCUCAUGAAUAUUUUCCUCUAAGAAAAUAAAAAUGUUAUCUUGGCUAGUUGGCUAAUAUAAAAAUAUAUAUGUUUAUAAUUUUGGAAUAUGUUAGAUUUGUUUGAGGAUCAAAUUUAUAAAAUUUGUAAAUGCGGAAAGUUAAAUUUAUUAAAUUAUUUAAAAUUAAAAUCAAAUUAAUAAAAUACGUAAAUGUUAAAGACUAAUUGUAUUAUUAUAUCAAUUUAAAAACGGUCACAUCAUCAUUUUUAUUAACAAUUUAAUGAGUCUUUAGUUGGCUCCUUCGUUUGCUUUUCUUAUUUUCUUUUUUGUUUUUAUAAAAUGAGUUUUUCUCCUUAAAAAAAAAAAGGUCGGAGAGAAGCACACUAUAGCAAAUAAUGGUUCCACAAAAUAUUUUUCGUAGCAUUUUCCUUUUAUGAGUCUUAAUAUUUGAUACACUUGCAAUAUACAAUUUUUUUUAAUUUUAUAAACAGACUUAAAAAAUUGUCAUGUGUCUCAUUUUUUAUAUUUAUAUUUUAAAAUAUUUUAUUAUACCUCAUAAGACAAUUAUCAUCACAUCGACUCUAUUUGUAGAGUUUAAAAACUCCAUUGACAAUGUACCAAAUAUUUUUUUUGAGAUAAUUUCCAUAAAACAUACCUAUGCCAUAAAUAGGGAUGUUUUUAUUUGAAAAACACCACAAAAUUUGUAGGGUAAAUUACACUUGAGGACACUAAACUAUUAGUAAAUUUAAGUUUUGAUCAUUUAAUUUUAAAAAAAGUUAUAAAAUGGUUAUUGAACUAUUCGAAAGUUUUCAUUUAAGUCAUUGGACUGUUAAAAGCACUGCCAUGUGGUCUUCUUGGUUCGCAUCGCUUACACUAAUCAAAAGCUCUCAUUCUCUUUCUCUUCUACAGUUUAGUUUUUUUCAUGAAACAACUUUGAACGUCACUAAUCUAUAAAUCAAAAUCCAAACAACUUUCUUAUUUGAUCUCCAACACUGAUCAUCAAAUUGACUUAGAUUUAAGGUAUGUUAUUCUACUCGUCGAUGUGUAUUGAUCCACUGUAUCAAUUGUUGAAUUGUCACUUGGACCUUGCUAGUAAAACUUAAAAAAAAAAAAAACUUCAACAACCUAAUGAAUUAAAUAAAAACUUUUGAAUAGUUCAAUGAUCAUUUUAUAACUUUUUAAAGUUGAAUGACUAAAACAUAAACUUACUAAUAAUUUAAUGAUUUUGGGUGUAGUUUACUCUCUUUUUUUUUUCUUUUCUUCCUCGGUGUAAUUAUUUUUAUUCCAUAAUCAUGGCGUGAUUGGGAGUAUUGGCCAAAAUUUUGUACGAUAAAAGAUGGGUAGAAAAAGAGAAACGGGAAAGAAAGAUAGCAAAAAAGUGUUAUAAUGAAACAAAAGUCCACAACUUUAUUGGAUAAUGUCAUUUUCAAAAUUUAAAUCUAAAUUUUCUUCUUAAAAAUAUAAUAUAUUUUACCACUGUAUUCAUCCUAAUUAUUAGUAAAAAAACUUAUUUUGAUUUGUUGAAGAAUACUAUUUAAGCUAUUCUGAACCUUAUAAAUUUUGAUAAAUUAUUUCUCCUGUUUCUACCCUAAGAUGGAUAGAGAAGAAAACUAACAUGCACCAUAAAAAAAAUAAUUUUAUCAACAUUUAUUAGUAUCAGAAAAAGGUCAUAAAAUUCUCCUUAUUAAUAUCAACGACUAGGGUGUCGGAGAAAAGUUUUCAGAUAACUUGACCAAUAGUGUUGGUAUAAUGUUUGUAUUUACACCAAGUCUUAGACAUAGUGGUAAAAUACAUUGCAUUCUCAAGGAGAGACGUAAAUUCGAACCAUAAAGACGAUAUUAUUGGGAGGGGUAGUCAUAAACCUCUAACAUUAGAUUCUAAAUCAGGUACGCAGAGAAUAUAAUGGUUAGAGAUUCAACUUUGUUUAUCUCUUUUUUUUAUUUGUAAUUUAGUGGUAUAUCUUGCGACUACAAACUAGAGAAUACAAUUCAAGCAGCAAAGAAAAAUGAAUAUUGGGUUCCAAACAAUAUUGACUGCCAAAAAGAUCAACAAUUCUAGCUGCAAUCCAAAUUAAUGCCUAAUAUUCAGCUUUGUAAACCAAAUGAUGCACGAAUCACCACUAUGGAUAAUAAAGCAGGCUAAUAUAUUUUACAUGUUAACAAGAUCAAAUUGAAUGAAAACACAAAGAAUGCGUGAAAUACAAUCCCAAGAAUUAAUAUAAAACCAUCAAAUCUCCAAAGUCAAGAUUCAGUACUUGCUCACAAGAAAUUGCCAUUUAAGAACCUCUUCAAAAUACCUCUCCUUUUGUCUUUUCGUUUCGAAAUCAUCAUCUCACUUCAAUUAUUUUGUCCGUCUCUUCAGACACCUCAUAUUCUGUAAUAACAAGGGGUCACAUAUAACAAGAUGAGACUUGCAUUUAUACUUGAGCAUAUAAGUUCAAUGUCAGAUGGAUUUACAAUAAGCUUACAAGGUUACAAUUAACAUGUAUAUAUUUCUACGAAUUUCAGUACUCUGUACCUUCUUUGUUUAACUGCUCAAUGGUAGAAUUAAGGUCCCAAGUACAUUUUCUAACAUCCCGUCCUGUUUGUACCUCUUGUAGCUUUGGCGUGCUUAAAGCUCCGUUGCAAAAAUUCUCCAUUGCGGGACAUUUGCUCACGUAUAGUUCAUCCAAUGAUGGGAACUUCAAAGUGUAGUUCCCUGAACAAAAGCUUUUGAGGUUUUGUAAACCCUUAAGCUCCAAACAUUUCAUCUCCUCGAAAAUAAUCUCUUGAUAUGUUGCUUCAUCUCCAUCACUUGCAAUUACUUCUCUCAUCAUUUCACAUCCUCCUAUCUUCAGUGUAACAAGCUGCUCCAAACAUUGGGCUUUGGAGGAUGUAAUCAGCUCUACCAUCUCUUUGCAGUAACCAACCUCCAAAGUUGUCAGAUUUCGCAAAGAUGAGGAAGCACGUUCUAUAUUGAUUAAGCUGCCACACUUGUGAACUUCAAGAGUUUCAAGAUUAGUACAAAUGUGAUGGAGGGCAGAGCCUUGCUUCCAUAGAUGUGUCAUCUUAUCAACACCUUUCAAUGUUAACUGCUUAAUUCUUGGGAGCAACAUUGUCACGUCUCUCUCCUCACCAACAUCACCUUCGUAAGGAGACAACUCUUUAAAAUUGCAAUUGACCAUCUCAAUCUUUUCCAAAUUGGAAAAUCUUUGUAGGAAACGGAAUGAAAAAACUGUUGAAUCAUUGAGGUAUUCAGUGAUUUCAAGAACUUUAAUAUGGGAAAACAAGUCAAUCGCAAAUUGGCCACCGGUGAUCGUCGCAAUGUCAUCAGUAGUAAGUGAAAUGUGUUCCAGUUGAGGUAUUAUCUGAGAAGUCAACAACAAAAAAUGAUGAUAUGUUUGACUGGUUUUUGAAUUGCAGAGAAAUAGGAAGGUCUAACACAAACAUGAGGCAAUAAAAGAACCAAUGAAUUAAAAAACAGGCAUUGAUUAAUUUUGCACUUUUCAAUGCUUGAUUUUGUUGUUUACUAUUAUUAAAAGGAAAAAAAAGCCAUAAGAUAAGAUUAUUUUGAUUAAAAAAAUGUACUAACAUUUAAACAGGGGCAUUAGUUCAGUGAAAAAGGCUGACGUGUUAGGAACUUUGAAUUUAAGUCCCACCGUAUUCAAAUGCACAAGUUUUCUCUAUAUUUAUUCUGAUUAAUUAUCAUAUUCUUGGUAAAAAUUUGUUUUUAUUCCCAAAAUAUUUAUAAUAAAUUUUUUAUUUUUUAUUUCAGUCUCAACUUUAUUUUUGAUAUUUUUUAUGUUCGUUUUAUAGUCUAUAUAUAUAUAUGGGGUUUAUGAUUGCUCCUAAUGUUAUCUCUAAAAUUAGAAUAUGCGUUCUUCCCUGAAAGUACAGUAUACUUUAUUACUGCACCAAACACUUAUUAAUUCAAUCCCAACUCUUCACCCCUAAAAUAAAUCUAUGCUAGAUUUGGACAUUUAUUAUGAUACAUUCUAGUUUAUCUCUUUUUCACUUACUACCCUUGAUCCUUGGAUUAGAACUUUUAAAAUAAAAUAAAAAAUUAAAUUUUAACAUUUUUAUGUAUAGAGUUCACAAAAUAAAUUUUAUAUGUUGCCAAUGUCACUAUUGGGUUAAUAUGAAAAUAAAAUAUUUAAAAAUUUAAUAUAAUUGAGCGAUCAAAGAAGAAAAAAAAUUAAAUAGUUAAAAAAUUAUUUUACAAGUUUUCAUAGUUGGAUGAUAAAAAAAAAUUGGGUAAUAACCUUUUUUAUAUUACCAUAAGUGUAUGAAUUACUUCCAAGUUCCAAUUUUUUAAGUGUUGGGUUUGAAUCUUUGGAAAUCAAAAGAGAAAGAAAUUGGUAACAAUUCCUUUUGUACCAGAAAAAUAGAUUCCAAUGCCGUAUUCAUAGUCUUAAGGAUUAGGACUUUAUAGUAACAAGCAAAAUAUACAAGGAUCAAUUGUAAAAUAACUCUUUUAGUUUUGAAGACCAAUAUUUGUGUUUCUAGCUUUGUAUAUAGUUGUGGUGUCCAAAAUAAAAUGCUUGUCCAUUAAAUUAUAAAAAUCUGAAGUUAAUAAUGAAUUUUUUUAAUAAAUGAAAACUAAAUGCAUAUGGUUGAGAGGAAAUAAAUGAUUCAAGUUAGUGAUCUUAUGAACCAUCUUUAAAUGAAAUUCUUUGUAAAGAGAGGAUGAGAGACGUACCUUUUCAACGAGUAGCAGUUGUGACACUACAUGGCUUAACUUCUUAAUCUUUUUUGGCCAAUGUGUCUUCAGCCUUUUUAACAUAGGACACGUUAUGUGGUGCAUUCCUGGAUAGAAACAUACGAGAUUUGGUAAAGUCCAAAGUGCUAGGAAGGAUAACUGAUUAAAUUCAAACAACACUUCAUGUUGGUCUGAUUCUUCAACACUUUUGGAAACAAUCUCCUCCACCCCGCAACUAUCCACAAUAAGGCUUUUAAGUUGAUGAAGAUCUUUGGCCAUUGAAAAUGAAAACAAAGUUUUCAAACUCCAACAUUCUUGGACAUGUAUUUCUCGAAGAUUUUCAAAAGAAAUAUUUUCAUUGGAAUCCUUGUUGCAUACAUGCUUCAACUUUGGCAAGCGAAAGAGUUCCACUUGUCUUAAUUUACUGGUCACGAUGCAUGCUUCUUCAAUAUCUAAUAUUUGGAUUUGGAGUUGGAGUUGGAACACUUCUUCUAGUGAAGCACAAUCAGUUACUCUUAAUUUCUCCAACCUUUGGAAAACUCCAAGGAAAAAAUGUGGGAAAAUGUUUAACAAUGAAUCACAAUGCUCCACUUCCAACUCUUUCAAAUUAGAAAAUGAUUUUGAACAAGGCUGCUUAUACCACAUCCUCUUCACAUUCCUCAAAUGGGAGAUUGUGAGGUUCUCCAACUUGGGAAAAACAACCUACAAUGCAUUAUUCAUGCCAAUGAAAACAAUUAGUAGAAGAGGUAAAUAUCACAACAAGAGAAAAUUUUAAACUAAUAUUUUUAAUUCUCAAGUGUUCAAUUUCUUUAUAAUAUUUAAUAUUUUAAUAGUUCAACUAAGUCGAAAGUUCAAACCUAAUCGAGUGAAUUGUUAUGCUAUGUAAGUAAUAUGAGUUUGAAAUUUUAGAUUUGAAUUUUAUUUGCUAGAUAAAUUAGAAUACAUUAUGCAUAAAAAGUAUAAUAACUUAUUUCAAGUUGAUUAAUAUAGAUGGAAUUCAAAUUUAAUACUACAUAGGCCUUUAAUAAAUUCAUGAAUUUAAAAAAUAGUCAUGAAUGUUAUAUUUAUCCAUAUUUUGUCACUAAAUUUACAAUAUUUUUAAAAUCAAAGAUCCAUACAAUACUUAAUUGAGUUCAAAUUUCAUAGCUAAAUUAUCAUAAAAUCUUCAUUAAACUUCAUAGCUCAUAAGUAAUGAUUAGUCAUACGAUACAUGUUUAUUCUCAUGUGAUGCACAGGUGUGCAUAUCAAAUUUAUAAUAUUUUUUAUAACAUUAAUUUUUGUUUAAAAUAUUUAAUGAAUUUCUUCGAAAAUGAUUAAUAAAUUGAAAAGUAAUGUAAUUAAUUUUUUAAAAAUAUUUAAUUAAUUUAGAAUGAGUUAUAUUACUAUUUUUUAAUUUAUAAAAAUAUUUAAUAUAGCAUAAUUAAAAAAUUCAUCAUGGUUUGAAUAUUAAUAUUAAUAUAUUAUAAUUUAAAUAAUAUUAUUAAUAAAUUAUUAAAAAUUAUUUAUUUUAUAUAUAUUGUUAAAUUAAUUUAUUUUAAUGUCAAAAUCAUUAAUAUUCAAUUUUUUUUUGUAAUUUUAUAUUUAUCUUUCCUCUACUUUAAUCAAUCCAUUUAAUGAACUCUUAUUAUAUUUAGAAAAAUAUAAAUUUCAUUUGAUAAAUGUUAUUUUUAUGCAUCUUUUUUUUAAAACUAUAUUUUAAGCAUAGCAAUUUAAUAUUCAUUAAUUUUAAUAUGAUAACAUUAAAAGUUAAUUAAAUCAAGUAAAAUCCUAAAAUAAAAGAGAUAAUUUAUUUAAAAUCAAAUUUAUAUUUAACAUAUAAAAAAUUAUAAAUAAAAAAUUGAAAAAAAAAGCAUGCAAUAACUUAAAAAAAUAGAAGUCAAGGAGAAAAAAAAAUUUACCCAAAAUGUUAAUAACAACUUAAAUUAGAGAGUGUAAUGUGUAAAAAAAAAAACUAUAAUAUGAUGAUGAUUAUUUAUUUUCAUUUUUUGUAACCUCAUAUUGUUGUGGUAUGUAUAUGAUAUGAAAGAUACGCGAACAACCAUAGCCACAUAAAAGGAAAAUUAAAUGUAUAAAUGAAGACUUAUUCAAUAAAAUAAGCCUAACCUUAUCGGAGAAAAAUGCAGUAACGUUAUCAACUUCGUCACCAAUUAUUACUUCUUUAUCUUCAUCUCUUGAAAAUGUAGAAACAAAAGUAGUCAUGUUUGAACAGCCAGUUACCUUAAUUUUAACCAAGGAUGGAAAUUCAAGACAUUUACUUCCCCGAUAAAAGCUUGUCAUAUCUGGACAAGACUCCACUAUAAUGGAUUGGAGGCGAGGAAAUAUGCCAAUGAUCUUGCUACUAUCUGUUAUUGCUUCCUCAACCAUUGUAAUUGGACACUCUUCUUUGAUGACUUGUUCCAAAUUAUCGCAUCUCUUGAUUUCCAUUUGCCGGAGUUGCCCUAGGCUGAAGGCCGUUGAGAGGUAAAAAAUGUACCUCAAAUUGUUGGAAUCACAAAUCUCCAGAAAUUCAAGAGUUGUAAAAUCCAACAUUUUUUGAGGAUUUUUACUCCAUAUGUCUAUCAGCUCCGGAAACUUUGAGAACUUCAAAUGCUUUAGACCACGAUAUCCAACCUAAGAAGCAACAUAUCAAAAAGUCGAACUUUCAUAUCGACAUAUUUAACAAGGGUCCUACAAUGCUAUUGUGAAAAUGAAUUACACAAAUCAUAAUUAAAUGUAUAUAUCUUUCAAUGAAUUUUUAAAUCAGCACCUGCUCUUUGUAUAAUUGCUCCACCGUGGCAUUAAGGUCACCAUCCCAACGUCCCCUAACAUCUGUUUCUGUUAACUGCACUUUAUGCAGUUUUGGUGUGAUUAGCUUUCCUUGAUAGAAGUUCUUCAUUCUAGGACACUGGCUCAAAGUAACUUGUUCUAAGGAUGGACACCAUAAGGUGUAAUUCCCUGAACAAAAGCUUGUGAGGUUUUGUAAACAAUGAAGCUCCAAACGUUUCAGCACUCUAAAAACAAUAUCGUAUGAUGCUUCAUCCCCGUCACUUGCAACUACUUCUCUCAUCACUUCACAUUCUCUUAUCCUCAUAGUAACAAGGCACACCAAACUUUGGACUUUGAAAGAUGUAAUCAAUUCUGACAUCCCAUUGCACUUCCAGACAUCUAAAGUUGUAAGAGUUUUAAAAAAUGAGAGAUCUAAUCCUAAAUUAAUCAAAUUGUGACACUGCCAAACUUCAAGACAUUUGAGGCUUGCACAAAUAUGGUCAAGCAGGGAGUCUUGUUUCCACAGAUGUCUUAUGUUCUUAAUCAGAACCAAUUUCAACUUCUUGAUCUUUGGGAUCGUGAUGAUUAUGUCUUUAUCUUCACAUGCAUCGCUUUCAAAAGAAGCUAGCUCUUUGAAAUUGCAAGAACCCAGCUCAAGGCUUUCAAGAUUGUAAAACCUUUUAAGGAAAGAAAUUGGGAAAACAUCUGAUACAUUAGAGUAGCAAGAAAUCCGAAGAAUUUUUAUAUUGCAAAAUAAGUCGGACUCAUAUUGGCCAUCACUUAUCAUCUCAAUAUCACCACGAUUAAAUGAAACUUUCUCCAAUUGGGGGAUAACCUAAGAAGCAACAAAUAAGAACAAUGAGUUUUAUAGAGUAUUUGAUUUAGAAUCUCAUUUAAAUAGAAAGACCUAACACAAAAUAACAACCAUAAGAUAUGGUAUAAGCCCGUAAAGGAACUACGAAAUCAAAUGCUUGAAGUGAUGUGUAUUUGUAGUUUUAAUUUCUAUAUUAAAAAUAUGCAUGUUAGGUUUUCUUUAAAAAAAAAGCAAUAUAAUUUAUUAACUUGUAAAGAGUUACAAAAAAUUCGAAAUUAAAAUAAAAAUUUAGAGAUUAUUGGUUAGAUAGGAAAAAUAUGAAUUCGGUGAUUAUUUUAAUUAUUUUGUAUUUUCAAAUGAAUAUUUGAAUGGAUGUAUUAGUUGAGAGGUACAAAAUAAUUUAAAUACAAUUUAUAAACUUUGCCAAAAAAAAAAAAAAGGGUGUGGCAGUUCAUACCUUUUCAAUGAGGAAAAGUGGAUGUUGGAUUUGGGAUUCUUCAUGCCCAAAUAUCUUAAUCCUCCCACACCUAAAUAUCCUUAAUUGCUUUAGUGCAGUCCAUGUUGUUUUAUGCAUUCUUGGGUAGAAAUAUGUUAGGUAUGGUAGAUUCCAAAGUUCAAGGUAGAACAACUUAUUAAAUGCAAAACAAAUUUCCUGUUCGUCUGAUUCUUCAACGCUCUUUGAAACAAUCUCCUCUAACCCACACCUAUUAAUAGUAAGUGCUUCAAGUUGCUGAAGAUUUUUGGCAAUUGAAAAUGGAAACAAAGCUUUCAAGCUCCAACAUUCCUGAAUGCGCACUUGUUGUAGGCUUUCAAAAGAAAUAUUUCCUUUGUGAUUCUUGGUCCAAACAUGCUUCAACUUUGGUAGGCGAACGAGAUUCACUUUUUUUAAUUGACUGUCUAUCACAUAUGUUUCCUCAAUAUCUAAAUCUUGUACUUGGAGUUGGAACACUUGUUCUAGUGAAGCACAAUCAAUCACUAUUAAUUUCUCCAAUCUUUGGAAAAGCCCCAAAAGAAAAGGUGAAAAGAUGUUCAACAAUGCAUCGCAUUCCUUAACAGUCAACUCUUUUAGCAUAGAAAAGGAAUUCGUAUGAAGUUGGUCGAACCAUAUCCUCUUUGCAUUCCUCAAAUGGGAGAUUAUGAUUUUCUCCAAGUUGGGAAAAGCAACCUACAAUUCAUUAUUCAUGCCAAUGGAAACAAUGAUUAAAAGAGUUAAAUAUAACAACAAAAAGGAAAAAAGAGAAAUGAAAAAUUGUUGGUGCAAGAGGCAGCAACAAAAGAGAGAACAAGAGCACAGAACAUGAAGCAAGGUGCAAGAAACAUUUUUACUUGCUCACAAAUGUGCAGCAAGGGAGCUAAUGGCUGAUAGCUCAUUCAGCUCAUUCAUUCAACUAGAAAAAACAUACAUUUAUAGUCAAAUACAUCACCAAAUAGUCAACUAACCCCACUAAUCAGCAUUGAGACUAUUAAAACAUUGCUUGUACACAUAAACAAGCCACCUAAACUAGUCAUUCAACACCUAAUGCAUCAAGUUGUCAUCAACUUGUCCAUUUUAAACUAGAUUAAUUAGAAUGAAACUAAAGAGAAACCUUGCUGUUACAGCAAGCAUAUGUGCUGCAGCAUGUCAUCAAGCUGCAUGCACUUCAACCACAAAAUGUAACAGCAGCAUGGUUGGCCAAUUUCCAAUACUCCUCCUUGGACUCCAUGCUGCAAAUACCAGUCAUUCAUCAAGUUUUUUGAACUUGGCAGCUCUUAGAUGCUUUGAUUCAAGCUGACCAAUUCAUUUUCUUCUUGCACAAACAGUUCGUGAGUAUAGUUGCUUGCCUUCAUUCUGCCAUUUUGGCUUGCAAUUCGACAGGCUCACACUUUGCUUACUGUCUUCAAGAGGCUUGCAACUAUACAACACGCAUUGAGCUUCCACAUGUUGCUGAGCUCACACCUUUGACAGACUCACAUCUUUGCAUAUUGUCUUCAACAGGUGUCUUCAUCAGGCUCGCACUUUGCUAAGCUUGCAGCUUUGACAUCUUGCUAAGCUUGCACAUUUGGAAAGCUCACACCUUUCCUUUAAACUCCUCCUUCAGCUUAUUCAAGCUAGUUUGGGGAUCUUAUAAGUUUGAGCCGAUAUUAUCUUCUCUACAAGCAGUCCUUAAUGACUUGCUUGUGCUUUGACAGCUUCUUUCUUUUCAACAAGCAGGGGAAGCAAAAUCAAUGGUCCCGUAAGACAUAGGCUCAUGAUACCAAUUGUUGGUGCAAGAACAGAAUCAAGCAGACUCAGCAAGUAUCUUGUCGAGCAAGCCUUUUAACUUGCUGAGCAAACAAACAAUUUCGAGUUAAAGAAAGAAAGAAAAAGCUAAGAAAAUGGAGAGGAAUUUGAUGAACAAAAACUGAUUCUUUCAUAAGAUGAACAAUGGCAUAAUGCCAAUACAUAAACCAAGCAAUUUGCUUGUCAAAAUCUGCAUAAUGAUACCUAAUCAUCACCUACUACAACUAAUACAUUGAAACUUGAAAAACUAAGCUUGCACACUUAAACAAAGCUGACUUAACAGCUUAAUUGUCAUCAAAAUACAUCAAUCAUAAACCUAACAUAGUUCUAAAUGAACUAAAGUACAUUACAUUAACUUAAGAUUACAAGUUGAACAAAAUAGGUAUAGUUCAGCUCGUUCCAGCAGCUCCUGCAUGACUUGGUCUUGAUGGCCUGCAUGCUGUCGAGUUUGCUGCAUGCUGAACCAACUUCAUCAAAAAUGCACUGCACUAAAAAGAGCACCUUAUUAUUGAACAAAACUUCAUGGGUAGGGAUAUCUUUCCUCAUAGAAUUAUGGAUGAAUUCCUUCAACUCUGAACAAUUUUCUAUCUCAAGAAUCGUUAAGACUGGGAAUUCAACGGUAUAAUCUUCAUGGCAAAAUCCGAUGAGUUUCUGAAGAUCCUUCAAUUUGAGGGAGUUCAAUCGGGGGAAGCGGAUUAGAGCUCUAUUUUUGAAUGUUUGUUGGAUCAUCUUAUCCGUUGAUAUUAUCUCCUGUAUGCACUUGCAUUCACUAAUUUCCAAGCAUUUGAGCUGGUGCAAAUAUUCAGGCAUGGAGUCAGAUAAUACAUAUUUUAAGUUGGCGCAGCCCUCAAUGAUCAAACUUGUCAAAUUUUGAGUUGAACAAAACGCUUGGGAACUCCAUAUUCUUUCAAUGCCAAUUGAGGAUAGUUUCAACUUCUCCAGCUUAGGAAACAAUAUCUGCACACAAGCACUUGUUUACUUGCCAAAUCUAAUCUAAGGCAAAUUAAAAAAAAGCUCUUUAAUUUGAUAUUUCCACUGGCUUUAAUGCUACACAAAAUAUUAUAAAAAAAAUAUAAUUUAGUUUAUACAAAACAUUAAGUGAAUGUCUUGUGUAAUUGAAUAAUAUUUUGUGUAGUUUAUACAAAACUAUUGGAAAUUGGCCAACCAUGCUGCUGUUACAUUUUGUGGUUGAAGUGCAUGCAGCUUGAUGACAUGCUGCAGCACAUAUGCUUGCUGUAACAGCAAGGUUUCUCUUUAGUUUCAUUCUAAUUAAUCUAGUUUAAAAUGGACAAGUUGAUGACAACUUGAUGCAUUAGGUGUUGAAUGACUAGUUUAGGUGGCUUGUUUAUGUGUACAAGCAAUGUUUUAAUAGUCUCAAUGCUGAUUAGUGGGGUUAGUUGACUAUUUGGUGAUGUAUUUGACUAUAAAUGUAUGUUUUUUCUAGUUGAAUGAAUGAGCUGAAUGAGCUAUCAGCCAUUAGCUCCCUUGCUGCACAUUUGUGAGCAAGUAAAAAUGUUUCUUGCACCUUGCUUCAUGUUCUGUGCUCUUGUUCUCUCUUUUGUUGCUGCCUCUUGCACCAACAAUUGGUAUCAGAGCACAGAACAUGAAGCAAGGUGCAAGUAUCAAAUUCCUCUCCAUUUUCUUAGCUUUUUCUUUCUUUCUUUAACUCGAAAUUGUUUGUUUGCUCAGCAAGUUAAAAGGCUUGCUCGACAAGAUACUUGCUGAGUCUGCUUGAUUCUGUUCUUGCACCAACAAAAACAUUAUAAAAAUUGUAAAAAUAAGUGUAGUGGAUUAAAAUGCUUGCACUGGAUGAAGAAAAAAGUAUUUACAUACCUUUUGCUUGAAAAGGGCACUUUCUUGUGGAGAUAUGGAAGUUGAAAUUUCUUUUUUGGAGCAAAAGCUAAUGAGAUUCGGUAGACCCUGCAGUGUCAGUGACUCAAGUUGAAGAAAUUCAAUUUUCUGAACCGCAUCACUAUCUUUAAGGAUAUAUUGGACCAUCUCACCAUUUUGGAUAUGCAGAUUCCUCAGUUGCUGAAAAUAAUUCCCAACUUCUGAUUCAUGUAACAAAAUCUCCACACCUUUCACUUCAUCUAUAUAUAAAUUUUCAGCUUUCUUUAAUAAAACUUUAACUCCAUUAUUAAGAAAGCUAAUGUUUGUCCGCAGGUUAAGCUUUAGUGUUCUGGAGUAUUUAUAAACCCAAUCCCAAUUCCAAUCCCAAUGCGAUGCUUCUCCGAUGAAAAUAACGUACCUUUGCAACUUUUCAAAGGAGAAGCCUUUGGGAAUAAUCUUGGCAUUAGGGAUCUGAAUUUCUAAAGCAGUUAAACAUGACAAAGCAUUUAACUCAGCAAGACUUGAAUUGCUUUCGUUACUGGAGUGUCCCUCUGCACCCCAUUCAACAAGACUGUCAGGCAUAUACAGUUCUUCUAAUCUAGACAAUUUACACAAGACACCAGGUGAAAUUCUUUUGAGUUUGGAACAACGACGUAAAUUUAACCGCUUUAGCUUAGUCAGUUGUCCUAUUUCCUCCGGUAGCAUUUCAAUAUCAGACUCCAAAAUCGCAAAAAUUUCCAGAUUCUUGAGCUCUCCAAAAAGGGCUAUAUCUCCCAACACACAAUUAGUCAAGCAUAGUGCUCGAAGGUUUCCUAGCAAGGAAAUUGAAGGCAAGGACGAUAAAUUCAUGCCAGACAAAUAUAGGACUUUAAGAUUUUUCGUUUCCUUAAAAAAGUUUGCUGGUAUUUUCAUCCAAGGAUUCUUGCUACCCAUACUUAAAAAAGUAAGUUUGGGGCAUUUCAACUGAUCAGGAAGCUCGCUCAUACCAAAACAUGAUAUUUUAUCGCACUCUUUCACUGUUUCAUCAUCUGGCCAAUCAUUCGAAUCAUGUUUGUAUCUUAAAACAAACACAGAGUUGCCUCUAGAAGCGAUUGACAUGGCCACAUCAGAAAUAAGAUCAUGCAUAUCAAACUGCUUAUUGGUAUUACCAUCAAGUAACAAACAAGAGGCUUUGAGAUCAGUCACCACUGUCAAUAGUCUAUUCCGUGUUUCUUCAACUGUGUUGACACCAUGAAAUAACCCCAACCCCAUUGCAAACACAAGCAAAAGCUCAAGCGGAGCAUUAUGACCCAUUAGACUGCAAAGCAAGAAAGUCUGUUUAUGGUCCUCGCUUUGUAAACGAUCGAAACUCCACUCUAUAGUUGAAUAUACAGUUGCUGGUACUCCUUUGAAGUUGCUUGACGAUGGCUUGCUUAGUUGUCGCAAAGCAUCCUCCCAUACAAAUUGAGAUUUAUUUCUCAAAGACGUCGCAAGUGUUCUAAGGGCAAUUGGUAGACCACCACAUUUUUUAGCUACCUGAGUUGCUAUAGGCAACAAGUCAGAACUUUCAACACCAUCCCCUAUAAUCUUCUUGAAGAAAUGCCAUGCUUCUUCAUGUUCUAAAACGCCGAUUGGAAAACUCUUUUUAGCAUCCAUGUCCAACAAAACAUUAAGAUCUCUGGAUGUCAGCAGUAUGGUGCAUCCCUGAUCCUCGUCUCCCAAAGGAAUCCCCACUUCCAUCAGGUCUAAUUUUGCCCAAAUGUCAUCUAAAACAACAAGAAUCUUCUUCUCUUUCUUCAACCUUUCGCACAAACGACUUGCUCUUCCAGUCAUACUUUGCUCCUCAAAUUUCAAUCCCAACAUAUCUGCAAUUUGAUCUUGAAUUUUCUGGACGUCAGGAGUAUGAGUCACAACAGCCAUAACCACCGAGUCGAAUAACUUAUCUUCUUUGACUUGUCUGACAACUUCUUUCACAAGCGUAGUCUUGCCAACACCAGGCAUUCCGUGCACUCCUAUUAUGCUGACAUUAGGAUCUUUCACCGCCUCCAUGAUUUUGUUAAACAUCAGCCUUCUUGAAUCAAAGUCCUCAAAAUCUUUAGGAGAUACAAACAAUAUGGGCUGCGGGACAUCCCGAUAUGAUACUUUGUCAAACCCGCCUUGCUGGAGGAGUUCAUCAACGGCAGCAGCAUCUUCUUCUGCUUUCUUGCUAAGCUGAUAGCGAGCCUUGAAAUUAGGGCACAAGCCGAUGAAACACUUGUUCUUUGCUUCGUCUUCGAGACCCUUCACUUCCUUCAACUCUGAAUCAGUCAUUUGGUCGGCUUUCGCCAGCCAACUGUUGACUUCGGGGUAUAUAUUCUCACCGUUCUUUUCAGCAGCAUCAACAUCUAGCAGCACUCCGUCUCUUUUGUCUUUCAACGUCUCGACUUUCUCCUCGAAACCCGAAACCAUUCUUCUAUAGCUGCAAACAUGGCUGAAAUUACGUCUAACUUUUUGGAACACGUAUCCCGCAACUCCGGCAACAAGGUUGCUAACCGUGCCCGUAAUAACUUCCAUGUUUUUCUUGGGAAAGGGGUAUUCAAAACUCAAGCAAAAAGUGCAUGUGAUAGAAUAAGAGGGGAGCAGAUUCAAAUAAUAAUUAGGAAACAAGGAAACUGUUGUUACAAACAACAAGCUAAUGCGGAGCAGAAGAUGAUCAGAGGGGAGUAGGAGACAAAGAGUGAAGAAUUGGAAAAGGUUUAUUUUGUGGACUGAACGUAGCUAAGAUGGGAAAAUAGAGAAGGAAACUGUUGUGGGUUUUGGGUAGGCAGUAGCUGAGAUCUAAGUAACGGAGACGAGGAACCUGCAAUAUUCAAGCACAACAACCGAUGACUUUCAUGUGGAAAGUUAAAAAAGAUGUGGGACUCAGACAUCAAUUUCUAUAACUAUCAUCCUAAAUAGUAUUGAAAUGUAGAACUAUUGUUUUUCGAUAUAGAUAAAUGCAAGUUCGGAAAUAAUGGUAUGAAAUACUGACAUCAUAUUUAUAUACUUUUUAAAAAUUUAAUGUUAAUUUAUUCUAAAUUUCAAUAUUUUCAUUAAAAUUUUGAAAUUAAGUUAUUUUACUCGCUUGUCUUAGUUCUUUUCUCAUGUUCUUUUCACAAAAUCAUCUUUGCUUUUCUCCCUUUCUUUCACCAGCAUCGUCCCUUCUCUCAUCGGCGACAUUAAACAAAUCAAAACGCGUUGAGCUAUCUCGAUUUUGGUACAGUCUCUAUUUUCGCUAUUUCAGAAAUUAAACAUGUGACCUUAUUUAUUCUUGCUCUUCUAAUCUAAAUACCCAUAUCAUUUUGGACUAUUUUAUUUGUUCCUUUUUCAGAUAUCUAAUAAAUAUUAAGUUUUGGAUUUGGUUUAUUUCAAGGGUAAAUUACAACAAUAGUCACUCGAAUUUGAGGUAGCUGAUAAAAUAGUUACUCUAGUUUCAAUUCAGUCACCUAAUUUUCGAAAAAUAACAAAACAGUCACUAACAUUAUCGAAAAGUGACAAAUCAAUCAAUCAUUAACAUUUUCCAUACAGACCUAACGAGACAGGUGACGUGACUAGUUAACUAGCCACGUUGGAUGUCUACAGUGAAAACCCACCCAAUUUAAGAAGAAAUUGAAAAAAGAAACCUUAAUAACAAUGAAGAAGAAGAAGAUGAAGAAGAUGAAGAAGAAGAAGAAAAGGAGAAGAGACUGUAAAAUCCCUCUCAAAAUCUCCAACGGCCCUAAUACGACCGACCCCACAAACAAACCUAUAGCACUGACAAGUACUCCGACCACCACCACUUGCAUCGCCAUUAAACCGGGUUAGGGUUUUUUCCCCAGUAUUCUUCUUCUAUUGUGGAUAAAUUUCAAAGGUUAAACUUUGUCUCAUUGGAAACUUCUUCCUGAAAUACUAAAUCACCAAAAAAAAAAAAGCCUUCUCGCCUAAUUUUGGUCAAUAACCUUACAUAAGUAACCAGAACAAAAAACAAAGAUUGAAGGACAAUAAGAAGACUAAAAUAGGAGAAAGAGAGAAAGAUAUUUGUUUUUGGUAUUUUACCAGUUUCUAAAUCCUAAUUUUGGUUUCAAUUUCUUUUUAUUGUCCUUUCCUUUCUUUUCUUCCUAACAAGUUUGACAAAGUGAUUGUACAGAGUAAACAAACAAGAUGAAAAAGAAAAACACUCAACAUAGAGAAUAAGAAAAAAAGAGAGCAUAUAGAUCAAGGUUCUCCCCUUCCAUCUUUUGCUUCCUCACUGUUUUUUUUCUUUUUUGUUCUGGUCAAAUACUUCAAGUUAACAGGACGGUGUAGAGGUCGUCGUUUCCACGUGGGAUGCCAGCAUGGCAAGUUAACGGGCCACUUCAGUUUUUUGUUACAUCUGUAAUGGUAGUGACUGUUUUAUUAUUUUUCGAAAGUUGAGUGAUUGAAUUGAAACCAAGGUGAUUAUUUUAUUAGCUACCCCAAAGUUGAGUGACUGUUGGUGUAAUUUACCCUUAUUUCAAUUUUUUUAAUUUUCUUUAAAUAAUUUAUUUCAGAUUCGCUAUGUCUUGGUUAAAGCUUGUUUGUGACAUUGGCUGAAAGGCUGUGAAAAAUCUGUUGAAGUGUGAUAAGCAGUGCAAUUUUUUGUAUAGAGACAAUAAAGAUUUAAAUGAAACAGAUGGAGUGUGAUGAGAAGAUGGGACUAGUGGUGGUUUUUCUGGGAUUGAGAAGUCAUAUUCAUGGCCACGAGUUUUUUCUUAAGCUUGGUGUUAUGGUAGUUAUUGAUAUCAUUGUUAAUCCUUCUUAGUAACCAAGCAACUAUUGUUGGACAUAAAUAAUGUGGCAUCAAACUAUUAAGAGCCUAUAUUAGCUACAUAUUUGUGAAUUAUUUAAGUAUGUUUAUGAUAAAAUCAUAUUUAAAAGUUUUAUUAAUUUCUUAAAAGCAUAAUCAUUUAUUUGGGCUAAAUUUGAGGGAAAUGCCGAUUUUGAAAAAAAAAAAAGAAAUAUGUCAAUUUUUAGGAUAUUUGGAGAAAUAGAUCAAUUUUAGAGAAAAAAGACGGAAAUAUGUUUUGUUGGACGCUUUUUCAUCUUCUCCCCAAAAUCAGUCAUUUCCUUAAUUUUUUUCCCAAAAUUGGCAUUUUCCUCAAAUUUAACUAAUUUAUUUGGCUCUUUUAAUUUUAUAAAAGAAAAUCAUUUUAGUUAUUUAUUUAAUUUUUCAUCUCUUUUAGCUCUUAAACUCCAUGGAUUUAUUUGUUAAAUGGCAAUUGACACAUACAAUAAGUCUAGUUGCUUCUUGUGGAUUUCAUACCCUUGUUAUGCAAAAAUGGGAUAUGCAUUUGAAAUGGAGGCUAUUAUAUAAAGCAAAAGGGAUACAGAAAUGAAUUGAGUAAUCUCCUCCUUUGUUCAAGAAAAAAUCUUUCUAGUUUGCAUAGAUCAAUCAUUAAUCCCAAAAAUUUCUACAAUAAAAUUAGAUAGAUUACUAAUAUAGUUCCCUAGCAAUUUACUUUUACUAAAAAUUGGAAAAAGAAGAAGAUUGAAACAGGAGAAAUUGUGUUCUCUUGAUAGUAGAAAGAGUAAAGCAAGUACAACUUUGCAUAUCUCGAAAGUAAGAAAGAUUAUGACCGAACCUGUCAAUAAUUUUUAGUCAUUAAUUGAAUAAUAAAUAACUACAAAGGAUGGAGAUAUGCAAUUUAAAUAACAAAAAAAAUCAAAUAUUUAAAAAUUGUAUCUAGAAUUUUUUAAAAUAUAAAAAAUUAUAGAGUAUUAUUAUAAUUUUUAUUAUUAAAUAAUUUUGAUAAAUUUUACACUUUUUUAUUUUUUUUUAAAAAUUUCAAAAACUUUUAUAUAUAUUUAAAAUUAAUUAAUUGUUGCUGUGACAUACAGGUGGAUGUCAUUUUAACAAAAUUAACAAAUAUCAACUUUUCUAUUUAUUUUGAAAAAAAACAAAUUAAAAAUAAAAAAUAAAAAUAAUUUUUUUAUAUACAAAAUAAAAGUAGUAAAUAGAUGAGUACCCUUUUUAAAAGGACUAUGAAUUUAGUGUGGUACUUUAAAAGGGGAAUAAAUUGUUGUUUGUGGUGCAAGUGGUAAGAUAAAAUGAAUGCCACUUCUCUCCUCUUAAAGCAUGCUUUUUGUUUUCUUCUAUUAAGUUAUUUUGAUAAUUGUAGGUGGAAAUUAAUUAAAAUGACAACAUUUACAUACAAAUGAAAAAGAAAUAUUUGUAGCUGUCACCUUUUAAAUCAAGUAAAAAUGAGCUGGGAACACUAGUUUGAGAUUACUGAUGAGACAAAGUGGUGGACUAGUUUUAUUUAACACAAAUUAAAAACUUCAUAUAUUUGAUUUAAAUUUAACUAUUAUGACCUUCUCUUAUAUUUUGAUAUAAAAGGAAUAGUCAAAUACAAUAAAUUUAAAAUAUUAAUAGUAGCAAAAUAUUUAGAAAAUUAUACCAUAUUUUCUAUUAUUUAAAAAAUUUUAUUAAUAAAUUCAUCCUUAAAUUAUAUUUCAAUUACCAUAUUAUUCAUUAAAAAAGAAUUUGAUGAUAAAUUAUUAAUUUUAUCUCAUUUUGUCUAAAAAAUUAUACGACAUCUAAUAAAAAUAUUGCGGUCAUAUUCUUUUUAAUUGCAAUUGUUUUUUUAGGUUUAAAUAUUAUUUGUAAAACAAACUUUAAACAUAAAUAUACAACUUAAAAUAUGAUUCAAAAGUGAAUUUAGUAAUAAAUUUAUAUUAAAAAUAUAUCAAUAUUUUCUUUUUGUCAUAAAAAGGAAAUCCUAAAUUCACAUCAAAUUAAAUUGAGCAAAAGCACCAUUGACUUUGUCUUGUUGUACUAUCCCUAGAACUUCAUUAGGUGUGUCUUCAAAAAUUUGUAGACUUGACCUGCACACUAAACUUAAUUUAGCCAGACAAUCAGCAACAAUAUUACUUUCUCUUGGGAUGUCUCAGAUCCACCACUAUUAUUAAACCUUUAGAAUUUGUUGAAUCAUUCUAAGUACUGUAAUUCCUAAAUUUGUCGUCAUAUUUUUAAAAUAUAUCAUUAUUUUUAAACUAAAGGAAAAAAAAUCAUUUGAGAGGACCAAGACAUUUGUGCCACUUGAAAAGGAAAAGAAAAGAAAAGGAUGUAUGUUGGAGAGAAGUAAUCCCACUAAUUAGUAUUUCCUUUUCUCUCAUUCCAAUCUAAUUAUCUUCUAUUUGUAUAUUUUAUUAAAAAUUUGUUUUCAAAAUGACAGGAUUUAGUGUUGGAAGAUAUGGUAUCCUCUUAAUUCAUUAACUACAACUUUUUAUUAUAAUAUACAAAUAAAAUAACAGUAUCUGGAAGGAAAUGAGAGAAAGAAAAAAGGGUUAGUGGGAAAUUAGAUCAUCUUUUAUGUUCUAAAUUUAAGUGCUAUCACCUUCUUUCUGUCUUUUAUUUUUGUUUUUGAAAAGAAAUUAAAAGGAGUCGAUUGAGUGGGGAAUUCGCUUUUUAAAAUAUUCAACAAGGACGGUAAAAGGAGGGAAAAAUAAUUAGGAGCGAGCAAAAUUCGAAUCGAUUUAAAAAAAUGAUUUUUUUUUAAUUUUGAGUUAAUCGAAUCGUGUUGUUUAAAUUAUUAGAGUCAACUUGAAUUACUUAUUCGAGUUUCGAGUUAGAGUUGAGUUGAAUUUUACAAUUUGAAUAAUUUGAAUAACAAAUUGGUAUAAAUACCCUUUUUGAUCCCUGCCAAGUUUAAAAAUGAACAAAUAUGUCUCUCUUCGAACAAAAAUUAUAAAAUAAACAAAAUAAUUUUCAAGAAUUCAAGAAUUUAUAUUUUUAAAAAAUUUCAAAAAAAAUUAUAAAAAAUAUAUAAAGAAAUAUAAAAAAUUAAAAUUUUCUAAAAUAAUAAUUUUGAAGACCUAAAUAAGUUCAUUAAUGGUUCAAGUUUAUCAUACUAAAGGAUUCUUUUAUUAUUUUGCUUUGAAAAAGUUUUCAAAUAUAUAUGGUUUCAAUUUAUGUGCUUUAACAUAGAAUUAGUUAUACUGUAAUAAAAUUUUAAUUUUACAUAAUUAAUUUUUUUAAUUUAACUCGAUUCGAAAAAAAAUUUAAAUUAAGUUAAGAUAAAAAAAUAAGACUUAUCAACUCAAUUAACUCAAAAAUUUUUCACUCGAUUCGAUCAAAUGUUUCUCCCUAGUAACAAUCAAUUUGUCCAAAAUCUGUAUUAAAUCUAUAAAUAAUUAUGUAAAACUUGCUUUGAUACAUUGAACAACGUUAUUGAAGUGAUCACAAAAUUGGAAAUUUUAAUCAUCCAAUAUGGUUAGGGAAGAAAAAUAACAAGCGGUAUAAAAAAAUAUUUACUUUUACCAACAUUUAUAUGUAUCGGUGAAAUGCCCCUAUCAAGUGCAGGUCAAAAGUUUUCGGCGAGCCUGACAAUUAGUUUAUAUUUGUUGGAGUGACUUUUCCGGCGCUUUAAAAUACCGUUCUAUAUUGCAUUCAAGCAAUUUGGAGUUCAACACAUGUAAAAACCUCCAUCUAUGUCACAAGCUCCAAGCGUUAUGGAGUUUCAGUAUCAUGGUGUUGACACUAGUACUAGUUAGAAAUAGGGGUGAGUGUUCGAUCGAAUUGAAUGAAAAAAUUUAAAUUAUUCGAACUGACGAAUCAUAUUUUAUCAUCCUAACUUGAUUUAAAAUUUUCUCCAAUCGAGUCGAGUGAGAUGAAAUUCGAAUCAAAUAAUUAAAUUUGUUAUUAACUUUUAUCCCAUUAUAAUUUAUUUAUUAAUAUUUUAUAUAUGGGUUAACUUCUUUGCUUGCUUAGUUGUUUCAAUUAUCUUUUAAUUUUUUUUAUUAUGUAUUUCGAAAUUAAAAAUAUAUUAAAUGUAAAAAAUGUUAUUUUUUAAUAAAAAUUAUCUUAAAAAUAAAAUGUAAAAUUAAUAUCUAUAUAAAAUUUUAAUACAAAUAUUUUAUAGCAUCAUCAAUAAUUCAAUUGUUGAAUUUGAGCUACGAAAUUUUACUACAGUUAUCGGAGCAAAGCACGUAGAAUUCAUAGUAAUCAGUUCAUUCUAUUCUGAUUCUUGACAAAAUUGUAUAGAAAAUAUAAAGUUAAAUUGUAUAAGAACUAAUUAAAAUUUAGUAAAAGAGAGAAAAUGAUAGUGUGAGAAUAGAGAAAGAUAAGGGGUAAGUGGGGAUUAGCUUUACGAAACACAAACAACUUUUGUUUAUAAAAGAAGAAGACAAGAGGUGUUGAAACUUGAAAGGUGCUUUUGCUUUUAAAUGUUAUAUCUCAUUGAAAUCAUUAUAUAACGGAACUGUUUCAUGACAGAAUAUUUUUCACAUUAUUUGUUUUCUUACCAUCGAUGUUUCUCGAGGGACCAAUUCUAAAAAAUUCAAAAAAUUUAUUGAUAAUUAAAAUUAAAAUAUAAUUUUUAUAAUAGUAAAAAUAUAAUUUUAUCAUUUAAAUAAUUUAUAUUGUUAUAAUUUUUAAAAGAUUAAAUUAAUUUUUUUUAUCAUUUUAGAGAUUAGGAUCCUGCCCACCCUUAACUACGCUUAAUUUCUUUUAAAAUUAUUGAUAUAUUAUUCUAAAUAAUUAAAUUUACAUUUUUAACAAUUUUUUUUUGAUAUUAUUUGUUCCAAACUUAACUAUUACUAUAAAAUAAUUGAAGGGGCGUGGACGGUGGACUGCACCAAAUGGUCAUCAUCACCUUUAAAAAAAGUUGAAGGAGCCAUGAUUGCCUUGAAAGAACUAACAUCCAAAUGAGGGAUAAAAAUAAAAUAGAUAAUUAAAAAAUGGGGUCCGAAUUUAAAAAGAAGGAUUUGAAGGCACCCCAAACAAAGCAAGGCCCACAUUACAAGAUGAGCAAGAAAAGACACCACAUCAUACUACAGCAGAUGUAGCAAGCAGCACCAAAGUCCCACUCAGCAAAAGCAUUCAGAACCAUAAAAAAAAAAAAAAACAAGGCUCGAAUACAAUCCAAAACCAGUCAGGCCCCGUGAAUUUGCCAGGUUCCCUAUACUGACUAGCAAGCUGUUGGCUUAGAGCAAUAUGAAAGCCCUUAUUUUGUGGUAACUCUGAACCCCUUAAUUGCAUGUAAAGGCUCAGACUCUACUAAAUCACAUAUCUAUAAAUCCAAGAUUGGAAUUAAAGAUGAUGAACCAAUUCCACCAUGUUCAGAUCAAUGAUUCACUAUUUUAUGUGUUGCUUCAAGCAGCAUAAUGGAGACAAUGAUGAAACAUGCAAAGCAGAUUUAACAGGACAAGUUUAAUCAUCUUUCAAACAUAGUAAAAACAUGAAGUAGAGAAUAUAACCAUAUAUUGAGCAACACAAUACAAGCAUGUUAGAGAAAAAAGAGACUCUAUCUAAUUUGAAAUGUUUUGAGCUUGUUUUUGGUUUUGGAAUCAUUUAGAAACAGUUAGCUUGCUAACCACAGAUAUUGACUUUCCAAAUAGAAUUGUUUCAAGUAGGUUUAAUUAUAGCACUAGUCUCUAACUCUUCCAAGUUUUGAAAAUUACUCCCUCUAUUUUUAACUCUUAAGGACGUAGUCUCAUACUUGUUUGAUUUAAAAAUUAAAUUUCAGUUGAUGACUGAUAGUCACGAAACCAACUAAAAAUAUGACAAAAGCAAGUGCACCUAUCGAGAAGUAGUAUAGCUACGGUGAAUAAAUAUAUAGCUUCUACAAGGACUAAAAGUACUAGUAAUUACCGUUUUCCUAUUAUUUAAACGACAAAUUGGAAUAAUUGAUUUAAACUAAAAUUACUAAAUCAACUAACUAAAGAACUUAGGAAAGAAUAAAUUAGGAAAAUAAUCGAAUAAUUAAUAAUCAAGAGACGAAACAAUACCCAGGAAAUAAUCCACCUAAAUUUAAUCUGUCAUUAUGAAUCUGAAUUAAACAAUUUAUUCACUAGGUAUCUUGAUCCAUAGAAAUCCCUAAAUUAUGCUUAUACCUCUAUUCAAGCAUAAAAGCAACUGACUCUAGGUUGAUUAAUUGAAAUAAUUUUUUCUAAUUAAAACCCUUAUUGUCGAAUUAACUCGAUCUAUGGAUCCCCUUAUUAGAUUUGACUCUUAUCUAGUAUAUUUAUGUCGUUCUAUUUCUAGGAUUGCAUGCAACUCCACUCAAUUACGCUAAAUCUACUCUUAAACAAGGUCAAUUCCUCCUCUGAUUUAAGCAUAUCAAACAUAGAUUAAUAGCAUAUUAAACAUUUGCAACUUGUAAUCAACCACGAAUAUGAGCUUGCAUCAAUAAUAUGAGAUUGGGAAUGUAUAUUUAUAUGAGUCUCCUUAUAAUAUGUUUGAGCUAUUAAUUUGAGAUUUAAUUAUGACAUGAGUUGUCAAUUUUCCAAACAUUAGGAGGAGAGGAUAAAAAACUGGAUUAAUAAAUUACUUGAAAUGAAUUAUCAAUAUCUAAGAUCCUCGUACCAAGCAACGUGAACCAGAAGUUCAACAGAUUAUUCAUUUUACAAAUCAACUGACAGAUUCAUUAAAUCUCACAUACCACCUGAAAAUACUCCAAUACGAAUUGAUGUCCUAAUAGGGCAAACUGUUAGUGCAAAAGAGAGUAAUCCAUACCUGAAGCGUGGAAGACUGGUAGGUUCCAAAGAUAAAAAUCGCCGUAAAAGAAAAGGAGCAAACAUUCAAGAUCGUCAUAUUGUGGGUGUGAGGGAUCAUGAAGAGACCCAUGACAUAACUAAUUAUAAAACUCAAGAAGAGAUUCAGGUGCUUAAAAGUGGAAAUGAAAAUGAUGAAAAUAAAGAGAUCUCAAUAAGUUAUGUCAAUACGAGAAAAAGAUAGAAUUGAAAAAAAUGUAGUUGUCGACAAGAAUUUUGAUUAUAAUUUUGCUAUUGAAAUAAUAAAAGAAAAUGAGGAUCCUGAGUCUAAAUCUAUUGAGGAAUGUAAAAAUAGAAAAGGUUGGCCAAAAUGGAAAUAUGCAAUUCAAGCAGAAUUGAAUUCACUUUCUAAAUGUGAAGUUUUUGGACCUGUAGUCCAAACACCUAAAGGUGUAAAGCCGAGUAGGAUAUAAAUGGGUAUUUGUGCGAAAAAAAUAAAAUUGAUAAAGUUGUAAGAUAUAAAGCUCAACUUGUAGCAUAAGGGUUUUCGCAAAGGCUCGACAUUGAUUAUGAAGAGACAUAUUCUCUUAUGAUGGAUACAAUCAAGAUUAGAUUUCUUAUUAUUCUAGUAGUACGUGAAAAACUUGACAUGCAUCUAAUGGAUGUUAUUAUAUCCUAUUUAUAUGGUACACUUGAUAGUGAAACUUAUAUGAAAGUCCCUGAAGGAUUUAAAAUCCCAAAAAGAUAUAGAGUUUCUUGAGAAAAUUGGUCAAUCAGAUUAAAGAAAAGUUUAUAUGGAUUAAAACAAUAUGGACGUAUGUGGUACAAUCGUCUUAGUAAAUACUUGUUAAUAAAAAGGUUACAAAAAUGAUCCAAUUUGGCCAUGUGUCUUUUUAAAAAGGUUUGGGUCAGAUUUUGUGAUAAUUGCUGUUUAUGUUGAUGAUCUAAAUCUUAUUGAAACUCUUGAAGAGCUUCAAAAUACAAUAAAUUGUUUAAAGAAAGAAUUUGAGAUGAAAAAUCUUAGAAAAACAAAGUUUUACCUUAGAUUACAAAUCGAGCAUUUAAAAGAUGUAAUUCAUAUUCGUCAAUCAACUUAUACGGAAAAGAUAUUAAAGAAAUUUUACAUGGAUAAAACACACCCAUUAAGUACUUCGAUGGUUGUAUGAUCGUUAGAUGUAAAUAAAGAUCAAUUUCGUCCUUGCGAGAAUGAUGAAGAGUUUCUUGGUCUUGAAGUACCAUAUCUAAGUGCCAUAAGGACAUUGAUGUAUCUUGCAAGCAACAUAAGACCUGAUAUAGCUUUCUCUGUAAACUUGUGAGCAAGAUUUAGUUCUUCUCCAACAUGUAGACAUUGGAAUGGAAUAUUUUAGAUAUCUCAAAGGGACUAUUGAUAUGAGGUUAUUUUAUUCAAAUGAUUCAAAAUCUCUAUUAGUCAGCUAUGCUAAUGUUGGAUACUUAUCGAAUCCACAUAAAGGUAGAUCUCAAACAUGAUAUUUAUUUACAUGUGGGGUUUUGCCAUAUCAUGGCGUUCAACAAAGAAAACAUUAGCUGUUGCUUAUUCAAAUCAUGCAGAAAUAAUUACAAUGCAUGAGGCAAGUCGAAAGUGUGUUUGGCUAAGGUUAUUGACCCUACAUAUCCAGAAGAUAUGUAAUUUACCUUUACAAGAAAAGAUGUCGACUAUCUUAUAUAAAGAUAAUGCAGCAUGUAUAGCUCAAUUAAAUGGUGGUAUAUUAAAGGUGACAGAACGAAACAUAUUUCACUAAAAAUAUUUUUUACCCAUGAUCUUGAGAAAGAGGUGAUAUAAAUGUUUAACAAAUUCGUUCUAGUGAGAAUUUAGCAGAUCUUUUUACUGAGACAUUGCCAACUUCAACAUUUGAAAGACUACUACACAAGAUUGAAAUGCGUCGACUCAAAGAUGUAAAUGUAAUGUUGUCAUCAGGGGGAGUUUAAAAACAAGUUGUACUCUUUUCUUUUAACCAAGGUUUUGUCCCAUUGGGUUUCCCUGGUAAAGAUUUUUAACGAGGCAGCUUGUUAUAGAAGAUUGUGUAUUAUAUUUCCUUCAUUAGAUUUUUUUAUCCCACAGGGUUUUUCCUAAUAAGGUUUUAACGAGGCACAUUAUUUACCAAUGGACAUCCAAUGGGAAGUGUUAUAAAUAUCUUAUUAAGUGGAUGUCCAUCAUGAUAAAGAUAAAAUUUUGAUAUACUUUAAAUUCUAAUAGUUAUUAGAAUUAGAUCUCUACUUCUUUUAUACUUCUUAUGCCUAUAAAUAGAGACUCUAAUGAAGCAUUGUAAUCAUCCAUUUGAUUAAUAAAGUACAUUAUCUAUUGUUUUCAUUUUUUUCUUUGCUUUUUAUUCUUCCCAUCUCUCUUUAUUUUAUAACAAAAAGGAAUUAAAAAGACAAAAUGAGUGGCUAAAAUAAAAAUUUACUAAAAUUGUGUGACUAAACUGAGCGUACAACAAUAUUGAAUUAACAGUGGAUAACCAAAAUAAAGAUAAUAUCUCUAAUUAUAGUGCCUAAAAUACAAUUUUUUUAGUGACUGAAAUGGAAAUUUAUGAAAGUUGGGGACCAAUUAUGUAGUUUACCCAAAAUUUAAUAAAAGCAACAAACAAUUAACGCCAUGUUUAGAAAUCAUUGUACCAAACAUGGCCCCUUCAAACAAUUGCAGUAAGUGCAAUAGAAUUUUUUUCACCCUUUGUUUCAUGAGAUGAUAUGUCAUUCGUACAGUAAACCCUUCAUCAAAUUCUACUUUUUCAAAAAAUUAAUUUUACAAUUAAUUUAAAAGUUAAUUCUAAAAUAGAAAUUGAAAAGAUAAUGUUGUUUUUUUUAAUGUAAAAACUUAGUUUUGUUACACAUUUUCCUUAUAAAACCCAGGUUUCUCUUUUUUAUUGAAAAACUAAAGUUAAUUCUAAAAAAGAAAAAAAAGUAUUAAAAAAUAGUGAGCGACUAAAAUAAAAAGUUAUUAAAAUUGGGUGACUAAAAUAAAUGUAUAAUAUCAUUAAAUUAAUAGAGGAUGACCAAAAUGAAAACAAUUCAAAACAGCAGUGUCUAAAGUACAAUUUUUUAUUUUUAAUGACCAAAAUGAAAAUUAAUAAAAGCAAUAUGGGCAAUAAACAAUUAAUGCGAUGUUCGGAAAUGUUUGUAUCAAACAAUUAGAUUGCUUUGUAAUUUUGUAGCGGAAAAGAGUUUUUUUGUUUUUAACUUCGUUUCAUGAGAUGAAUUUUCUUAAUUCAAAUGUAUGUCACUAUAAAAAAAAAGAAUUUUAUAAAUAAUUUUAAAUUUUAAAAAAAAUGGAAAACCUAGAUUUUAAAAUGUUUUACUAUAAAAAUAAAAAAUAAAAUUAAUUUUAAAAGUAGAAAAAAAAGAAAUUGAAAAGAUAAAAUUAGUGACAAAAAUGAAAUACUAUUCAAGUUAGGUGACUAAAAUGAGUGUGCAUUGAAUUAAUAAUAAAUGAUGAAAAUAAAAAUUAUUCAUAAAAGCAAUUUCUAAAAUACAAUAUCUUUAUGACCAAAAUGACAUUUUAUAAAAAUUAAAAUGAUUAACUUAUAGUUUACCCAAAAUUUAAUAAAAGCAACUUAGGCAAUGGGCCAUAAACAAUUAACACGGUGUUUAAAAGUCUUUAAAAAUUAUUGUGGUAUUUAAAAGUGAUGACUAUAAACAGUUACCACAAAUAAUUGAAUUGCCUCAUAUUUUUGCAGCCGAUGAGAGAAAUAUCUUUUUAAAGUUUCCUUUCAUUAGAUGGAUUAUUAUUAUUUUUAAUUCAAAUAAAAAUUGAUAUCUCACUCCAUAAAUCUUUCAUCCGAGCUUUUUAGAAUAAUUUAUUUAAAUGUUAUAUUUUUAAGCAAUCUUAAAAAUAUUUACUGAUUUGAUACAUUCCUAUAAAAAAAUCUUAGUAUAAUUUUGACAUAUUCCCAAAGUCCCUAACGCCUUAAUAAUUAUAAUCUAUACAUUCCUAUAUUUAAAUGCUAUGAUUAAUGUUAUUUCUAUUUUUUAAAAUUAUUAAUAAUUAUACUAACCCUAAUGCCUUACAUGACAAUGGUUCAUUCAUUGCUUUUUUUUUUCUUUGGUACAAAGAGAAGAAUUAAACCAUAACUUAAACUAUACGUGACCAAGUCAUGCACUCUAGAAUAAUCAUCAUGUAGUGGUUGUAGGACUUCAUUCGGCGGUUGCAUGAAAAAGUAUCCACCCAUCGGUCUUGAGAACGUCAUUGAUGUUAACCCAUCAGCUACCUUAUUACCCUCUUUGAAGGUAUGGGUGACUUUAACCAUCCAAGAAAGUUGCAACAAAUUCUUAAUAGUACGUGUCACAACUGAGUUACUAUCCAACUCGAGAAUUAUUCAUUUUAGCAUAAGGUUCCAAGCGAGUUGGAGAACUUAUUCAUUGCUUUUUUUACAUGAGAAUAUAAUGGUCAAGUGGUUCUAAUCCCUUUACCUUUUUAAGAUUAUAUAAAAAUGAUUAAAUUUUAGUUUUGAUGUUUAUAUUUCAUUCAAAUUUGAUAUUUAAUUUAUGUACUUUAAUAUUUUAUAUAUUUAAAUUCUUACUUUAUAAUUUAACCAAAAAUAUAUAUGAAGAAUUGAGAGAAGGCAAAAGCAUGGGUGGAAAUCAUGUCGGUUGAUAAUGAUAAAAGAGGAAAAGUAAUUGAUGAGGGCGUGGACCGGUCAUCACCUUGAAAAGAAGUUAAAGGAGGCGUGUGAUUGGCUUCAGUAUGGAAAAUGAGGGAUAGAAACAAAAUAGAUAAAUAGCAAUGGGGAAGCCUAUAUCUACCCAUUUUUCCAACCUACAGUUUCAGAAUUAAAGCUAACAGAAAUAGAAAAAUUCAGAAUUCAUACUUGAUUUUCACUCUUUCAAACCUCCAAUUACCUUCUUCUAUAGUUAUUGUGCUCUAUCAUUGGUUGUGACUUAAAGGUAAUAGAACAACUGCUUAAAAUAUCAACCACCAAAUGAAAUUUCAAAGGAACAUGAUGUCCCUAAACUCUGUUUUCUAGAUUAGUAAAUCUUGAUUGCCUAUGGCACCUAAUUUAGUUCUCAUGUUAAAAUAUGUUAUAAAUCUCCAUAAUUUUUGUAUAACUGCAACUACACAAAGCUAAACCAACUAAACAAAUAAUAAUAAGGGCCUACAUAACAUAAGCUUACUUUUUAUUCUCAUCCAAAAUUAAUGCAUAAUAUUCUACACGUGAGGAAAAAAAUACAGAAAAAUGGCUCCUGUUAGCAUUUAGAAAACCCAGACAGAGAGAAUAACAGGACCAAAUUGUUUGAAAAUACAAAGAAUGCAAAAAUGUCUCUGAUUUUCGGGAUGUGACAUGGUUCCUUGAACAAAAGCUUGUAAGGCUUUGUAAACAGCAUUACAAUUCUCUAAGACUAAUUUCAUAUGAUAUUUCAUCCCCUCGCUUGCAAUUAUUUGUCUCAUCAUUUCACAUUCUCUUAUUCUCAUUGUAACAAUGCACACCAUACUUUGGGCUUUGGAGGAUGUAGUUGGCUCUAACGUCUCUUUGCAUUUCCAAACAUUUAAAGUUGUAAAACUUUCAAAAAAAAAAAAAGGAUUUAAUCUAACUGCCACAAUGUCAAAUUUCAAGACAUUCAAAACUUGCACAAAUAAAGUCCAGUAGGGAGUCUUGCUUCCAUAGAUGUCUUAUGUUAUUAACCACGUAUAUUUUCAACUUAAUUUUUGGGAGCAUGAUGACCAUGUAUUUAUCCUCGCAUGCAUCGCUUUCAAAGGAAUGACAACUCUUUGAAAUUGCAAGAACCUAGCUCAAAGCUUUCUAAAGGAAACGAAUAGGAAUAAUACUUGAUUCAUCAAAAUCGCUAGUAGUGCCAAGAAAUUUUAUAUUACAAAACAAGCCAACCUCAUCGCUUAUCAUCUCAAUAUCAUCACUGCUAAAAGAAGCUUCCUCCAAUUGGGGGACAACCUGAGAAGCAACAAGAAAGAAUGAUAGAAUAUUUGAUUUAGAAUUUCAUUGAGACACAAAAAAUAGCCAUAAUAUAAAAGAUAAUCCCAUUAACGAACCAUGAAAUCAAAUGUUUGAAGUGAUAUGUGUUUUGUUUUUUUUUUUAAAUUUUAUAUUAAGAAUGGGAUAAUAUUUGAUACAUUAUUAAUGUAUAAGUCUCAUAUAUUGUCUUUGAAUUACAUUAAGCCACUUAAUUAAUAAGUAAAAUAGAAUAAAUAACUAAAGAUUUAUAAAUAAAUAUUAAUAAGUUUAUUUAAGUAUAAUUAAAAUUUUUAUUUUCUCGUCCCCUUUCUUUUCCUAUAAAUCACCACAGUUGUUAAAACUUCGAUUGAAUUUUUUUGAAAUCUUGAAAAAGGUCAAUAGAAAUAGCUAAUAAAAAGUAUAUGUAAUUUAUAGUGAUAGAUCCUUAUAAGCAAGUUUAAAUCUAGAAAUUCUUGAUUACAUAAAACCCUGUUUGCUUAUUGAAAAUCUUUUUAUCAAAAAAACAACAAUCCUGACAUAUAUAAACUUGGUUUUGGGAAAGAGAUGCGAAAAAUCUUCUAAGAAAAAUAACUUCCUAUGAACAAACAACCUUUCAACAAUAACUUGAAUUGCAUUAAUUUAGUAUAAAUUUUCUUUUUAGGAUUUUACAGAAAUUUUCUAUGUCGAUUAAUUGAGAAGAAGAUGAAAAUCUAAUAAAUUUAAUUAAUUUUAACUAUAUUUAAAUAAUUUUUAGUAUUUAUUUCUAAAUCUUUAAAUAUUUAUUUUGUUUUGCUUAUUAAUGAAGUGAAUGUAAUUUAUUAAUGGUGUAUGGUUCUAUACACUAACGAUGCAUUAAAUAUUAUUCCAUUAAGGAUACGUUUAUUAGAUUUUUGUUUUAGUUAAGGUGGUAUGUUUCUAAUUCAACAAAGAAAAGAACUUUUCCAAAUUCAUUGUUCUUUCUUUUGGUAUGAAUGUAGUCGUAUGUUGCAUUUAUCAAUGUCAUAUCAUUGUAUUGCAUAGUGUCGAUUGUUUUUAUGGCUGCUGAAACAUGAUGUAUUUUCUAAUAAAUCCCUUAGCCUUUUUAAUUAAAAAACAAAAAUAUAAAAAAAUUAGAAGGUUAUAUAUAUAUAUGAAAGAAGGUAUAAUAUAGUUUUGUUGAAAUUAUAAGGGGUGUCAUUGAUUUGAACCAAAUUAAUCCAAUAACCCAUUAACAAUUACAAGCCAUACUGGGUUUGCAAGCCUGCUAUUUGAGACGAAAAGACGGUCCUUUUAAUCAAAACCCCAAUCUUGGAUGUACAAAACUCGUAACCCACUCAAAGGGUUUUGGGUUUUUAAGCUUUCCAUUCCUCCUAAUUUAUUACUCUUCUUGGUUGCCUUUCCUGCGCCUAGUUAUCAUCAUCUCUGAUUGGAUACGAUAUUUUUUACUCAUCAUAAUUAUACUAUUGCUUUAUAAGUGUGUUUGCUUUAGUCGUAUUUAUAAUUAGUUUAAUGACCAUUAAUGGCACUAGGUGGACUUCCAAUGCCUAAACAAUAAAUUAUUCUUAUAGAAUUAUGGAACUGUGAAUCACCGUAUACAUCUAAUCUACCUAUUAAAAGGGAAAUGUGUUUAUGAUGCAAAAAUUAAGCUGAAACAGAUGGGAUUCGACUGCCAUCCAGAUGCCCCAUCACACUCUUCACUCGGCAACAAGAAAGCAUAAGUUAAUGUUUUCAAAUCACCAUUUGUUGGGAGAAAGGUAAGGAUGCACUUAAACAGACAGGAGAAACAACUUUGAGUUUCAUUUUUUGUUCCGUAUCAUAAGGAUGAAUAUAUGAACUAGUAUUUCUCAAAUACGUAUGAUGAAGAUAGCCUCAGAACACCAUUUGGCAAGCUCAUCUCGUCAUAUAUCUACAUUGGAAAGCUCAAAGUUAAAAAGUGUUCUGAAUAAAUGGCCCAACCUUAAUAACAGUAAAAAGAGUAAAAACAUCAGAGAUAGACAUGGUCAUAAGGUGGCUUACAUAAAUCACGAAACUUUACUUAAAAAUGAUGAAAAAGGACGUGGAAGAAGAUACAUAAACAAGACAUCGGGACAUGCAUUACCAUAUAUUCCAUACACAUUCUUUAUUCAUCUUGAAUCAGCAUUGUGAUCUUUAUUCAUCUUGAAUCAGCAUUGUGAUAGAAUAUAUGCUUAUUUAGCAGCCUCUAUGCCACUACAACCUUUGAUUUCCCAAAGAUGUAAACUUGAAAUAAUAUUACAGAUAGAGCAAAACCUCUUCCAUCAUUAAAAGAAUAAGCUCAUGUGAGAAAUCCUUCUUAGUAAACAUGAACGUGGGUGUUGCAGGGUAACCUGUCAACAGGUAAAAGUCCAUAAUGUAGGAUUAACCAUUUACAUUUAAAAUGUCUAUCAAAGUCCCCCCCCCCUCCCCCUCAAAUGAAAAGGACUAGUUAGUACUAUUAAUUAGGGACUUGGACUGUAAUAAUUAUAAGAAUUGAAUAUUGUGAUCUGGAAAAAAUUUACUGCCAUUUAUCUUACAAUAAUUUUUUUCCGUUUGCUUUGGUUUUAUUAAUUAAUUUUUUUGGAAAGAUCAUUAAACAUUUUUUCUUCCUAAACAAAUAUCAUUUGAAUCUUUAAGGAUAAGGGUGGAAAUAGAGCACAUCGUAUGACGAAUUGUUUACAUUUUUGGAGAGUAGUUGCAACUAGGGAAUUGGUCAUUACCACCAAUAAUAGAUACCUUGAUUUUGACAACAAAAACUUUAUAUACUUGAUUUUCUAUUCAAAAUUUAUUUUAUGUACAAUUUCUUCGAUCAAACAUAGAAAUUAUUAAAUUUAUUAAGUUACUCAUAAAUUCACAUAUAUAUAUACAUUCCAUUUUAGUUGUUGGGGGUUAUAAAUACCUUGAAAAAAAUUAUUCAAACAUAGACAUAAAACUAUAACGCAUCAAAUAAGAUCUUUUUUUGCUGAUUUUUAGAUAAUAUUAUUGAAAAGAAUAACUGAGAGCCUUAAACAUGUUCACAGUUGGGAAGCACUAAAUUACACCGUUGAGCCAAGGGGGUGGGAAGUCCCUAUUGGUACCAACCAGUUGAGUUGGGCUAAAACACGAGUUGAACUUAAUAAAUUAUUUUUAUUUAUUUAAUUAAAUUUUUAAUUUUAAAAGUUUUAAAAAUUUAUUUAAUCAAAUUAAAUCAACGAUGGUAUAGAAAGUUAAUAAUUUGACUAAUCAAUUUGAUUAUAAAAAUAUUGAUUACUGCAAUAUUUUGAUAAUAAAAUUAAUAUUUUUAAUGUUAAAAUGCAUAAAUAUAAAUAUAUUUUAAUAUAUGAAUAAAAUUAUUCGCUUGAGUCUUUAGUUGUCUCUUUUUUUUCUUUUUUCUUAAAAAAAAUACGGGUAGGUCGAAAUACACACUUCUUAGCAACUAAUGGUUCCACAAAACGUUUUCAUUAGCAUUUCCCUUCCGUAAGUGUAAUUUCAUAAGUAGAGUUAAAAAUUUAUUAUGUGUUAUAUAUAUUAAACAUUUUACUAUAUUCUAUAAGAUAUUUGUCAUCAUUAAGAUUUCAUUUGUGGAUUCUAAAAACUUUAUUAGUAAUAUAUCAAAUAUUUUCUUUCACUUUUUUUAGAUAAUUUCUAUAAAAUGUACAUAUACCAUAGUUAGGGGUGUUUUUAAACUACACUCUACGUCACUAAAUUAUUAAUAAUAUAUUUUGAUCAUUUAAUUUAAUAAUAAAUUAUGUUAUUUAAAAAUUAAAAUUCAAUUGAUAAUAUAUAUUCAAAUUUAACAAAACUGAAUAAUUUUAAAUUUUAAACUAAAUAAAUAGGGGAAUUUUAAACGAAAUAUUAUUAGCUUCAAAUUAGAAUAGGAAAAGUGGAAAACCCGAUUUCAAAAGCAGUGCUUGCACUUUAUAUAAUAAGCAGUUACCUAAUGGAAGUAUUUUAUCAGUAUAGUACACCAUCCGAAAAUACAGAGCCACAAACUAAUCAGUCAACUUCGUUUAUCUCUUUAUUUAUUUGUAAUUUAGUGGUAUAUCUUGUGACUGCUAUUUAUAGUUGAGCUCCCCCAAAACCGAUGGCUACAAUUAAAAGUUGUAUUCAAUUAGGACUCUAACUUUACAGAAUUAGAAGCUGUGUACAAUUAGAACUUCUAAGACUACUUAGUCCUAUCUUCAUUAUCGGGCCCAUCAGGCUUCAAUGUGACAGGCCUGUCCAACAGCUCUUUGAAUCGGGCCAGUUCUCGUAGGCCAAAUGAUCCCCAUCUGAGCAACAGACCUCCAUUGGAUGCAUUUGGUGCGCUUGUCACGGGCUUUGAACUGCAGUCCGUGACAUUCUCCCCCACCCAUUCUCGCAACGCCCUCGUUGUGACUUCUGAAUGGCACUGACUUGAUUCGCCUCGGUCUCGUCUCGUCGCCUUAGCCUUUCCCUUUCUUUGGGAUUCUUGCCUCGGCUUCUGUCGCUUCUUAACUCGAGCUGUCCUGCUCAUCGCAUUUACUCUGGUCAACUGUCCCACAUGCAUCGCUUCUUUUCCUUUAAAGUCUGAUGCACCACCUACCUUUUCCAUAGGUGGAAGCCUUGUCGAUGACUCGGCUAACUCUGAUACUUCACUCAACUUGAGCCUCAUUGGUCCCAGCUUCUCUGUUUUCAUCGCAACUUUCUCCACUAAGUUAGAUAACAAACUCACCUCUUCCUUGGGUGGAAGCCCCUUCGACGACUCACCAAGCUCAGACGUUGCCUUUCUUUCGACUCCGGCUUGCUUUGGACAGUUCCGCAACUCAUGCGGACCACGGCACAAGAAGCACUUAACUUGCUUCUUUUUGCUCCUCUUUGCCCUCUUGGCUUCGGCUUUUCCCUUGCUCGAACAAAGCUUCUUGGGCUCAUUGUCUGCUCCAUCGUUCCCCUCGAUGACAGACUUCUUCGGACACUUCCGCAACCUAUGCGGACCAUGACACAAGAAGCACUCCACUUGCUUCUUCUCGCUUUCGGCCCCCUUGGCUUCGACACCCCUUGCGCUCGAACCAAGUACCAAGGCCUUACCCACCGGCUUCUCCUUAAGCGCGGAUUUCUUUGGGCAUUUCUUUAACAUGUGUGGACCGUCGCAGAGAAAGCAUUUCAGCUUGUCCCUUUUCCUCUUGGGUUUCUUCUUCCCAACGCGUGGUUUCCCAUUACCACCAUUGUUGCUAUUGCCAUUGCCAUCAACAAUGUCUUCCUUGUGAUCCAUUUCACAUACGCCCCUUUCCUCGGACUUGUAAGACCCAAGCUUGUUUUUCCCUAGACCAAGCUUCACCACGGACUCAACUACCGUCAUGGCUUCUGACAGUUUUUGGACACCUCUUUGUUCCACCUCCUGUCUGACCCACGGCUUCAAUCCCUUUUGAAAAGCAAGCAAUGCUUCUUCAUCGGUCAUAUCUGAAAUUUGGAGCAUGAGUUCCUUGAACUCUUGAACAUACUCCCCCACUGUGCCCCGUUGCAUUAUCUCUUGCAACUUUGCCCGAGCUUCUUCGUCGGCAAAUUCUGGGUAAAACUGUCCCUUCAACUCGCAUUGGAACUCUUGCCACGUCCCAAUCUCACCUCGCCUUUUAUUUGUGGUCCUACCUCGCCACCAUAAAAGCGCAACGUCAGUAAGAAACAUUGAAGCAGUGUUUACCUUAACCGCAUCCUCCAUGAUGCCUUUGGCACGGAAGUAAUUUUCCAUCCUCCACAAGAAAUUGUCCACAUCACAUGCAGACCUUGUCCCCACAAACUCUUUCGGCUUUGGGACAUCCUCAUUACUAAGUGCUGCAUUCGCCACUCCUUUUCCCACGGCUGCUUGACACAAGGCCAGCUCUCCCUCGAGCUCCUCUAUUCUUGUGCUCAAAGCCCUCGUCGUGGCCAUUGUUUCCUCCUUCAAAGCCAUCAUCAUGGCCUCGAGAGCAUCAUUCCUUUCCGACAGCUUAUCCCUGUGUGAAUUAAACAACUCGUUUACCUUAUCCAUGGUGGAAUCAAGAGACAUCUUUACAUAGUCUCUGGACUGCUCCUCCCAGUUUGCUAUGCGAUCCUCGACCCCAUCGAGUGCCUCCUUUACAUCCGCCAUGGAUCCCUCGAGUUUACCUACACGUUCCUCUACUGUCGAUAUUGUCUCCCUCAAAGACUUCCUCGCCCACCUUUGUUCGAACUCUUCUUUCGACAUCCCAACGGUGCCUUUGAACCAACUCGAAUGCUUGGCUCAAAACUUGGCUCGGAUACCACUUGUCACGGACUUGGAGUUUUCCCACACAUCCGUGCGGCCUUAGGCAGUUUCUUGGCUCAAAAACGCCUAAGUCAGCCUAACUUCCACCAAUAAUGGAUUCAACCGUAAAAACGCCUAAGUCAGCUCAACUCGCAACAAUAAAGGAUUCAACAGAAUUCCCUUAAAGUUUCCAUGAAGAACAGCGGAAGAACGAAUUAAGAACGAUCUUUGAAAGAUGAACAAAAGCAAGAACGCUUGAGAGAAAAGUUUGAGUAAAUGCUCUCAAUUCUUAUUCACAAAGAAUAAUGAAACAAUUACAGGAGUCAGUACAAAUGAGGGGGAGGCUCUCUAUUUAUAGUUGAGCUCCCCCAAAAUCGAUGGCUACAAUUAAAAGCUGUAUUCAAUUAGGACUCUAACUUUACAGAAUUAGAAGCUGUGUACAAUUAGAACUUCUAAGACUACUUAGUCCUAUCUUCAUUAUCGGGCCCAUCAGGCUUCAAUGUGACAGGCCUGUCCAACAGCUCUUUGAAUCGGGCCAGUUCUCGUAGGCCAAAUGAUCCCCAUCUGAGCAACAGACCUCCAUUGGAUGCAUUUGGUGCGCUUGUCACGGGCUUUGAACUGCGGUCCGUGACACUAGGAGGAACUGAUCAUAAUAUCUCACGUCUUGUUUGUGGCCAUGAAACAGAAGACAUACUCCAUGUGCUUCAAGAUUGUUCGACAACAAAGGAAGUUUGGUUACAGGUAAUAUCUUUUGAUAGACAACAAUGUUUCUUCUCUAGGUCUCUUCCAGAAUGGUUGACUUCAAAUAUUGCCUAUCACGUCCAAUUACCUAGUAAGGGGUAAUUUGGCCUUGUUUAUUCGGUUUAGUUGCAUGGCGCAUUUGAAAGAAUAGGGACCUAUUCAUCUUUCAAGACAUCACUUUGAUGACUUUUGAUACUAUCAAGGUCUAGUUCAGUUGGGUACAACAGUUUGAGUUAAGUCACAAAGGCCAUCAGGUGGACAUACUUGUCCACUAACGAAGCAGUAGGUAGUGGUGAUGGCAAUGCUUCCGUUAAAGGUGUUCUGCAGGACCAACAUGAGAAUUGGAUAUUGGGGUUCAAUCACUACUUAGAGAGAUGCUCAAUUUUUAAAGCUGAGUUACAGGGAAUUUUAGAUGACCUAUUAGUAUUGCUUAGCAAAGGAUUCAGAAAGGCCACAUUCAGUCUAAGGUGGUUAAGUUGGUUAACAAAUUCUGGUAUUACAAUGUUUAAAAGGAUCCCGAGAAUUUUAUGAGCUAAAGGAAAAUAGAGCAUUAGACACGUGCUUAGAGAACCCAAUCAUGCUGCUGAUUAUUUGACUAACAUGAAUUUACUCAAGCCUUCAUGUCUUUGAUGAUACCCCAAAUGAAAUUCUGAAGAUUAUACAAGACAAUAAAGUUUUUGUUAAUCUCGUGUUGAUGUAGUUCAGUUUUUUAUUACAAAUUUCGUUUAAGUGUACCCAUAUUUGUAACAUAUUUGUAAAUGGAUCAUUAAAUUAUUUUUAAGAGAGAGAUCCACUUACAUAUUAUUAUUUUUAAUAACACAUUUAAAUCCAAAGUUCUCAACACAACACUAUACUUUUAAUAACUCGGUACAAGCAUUUAAAAAAUUUCUUGACAUAAGUUGAAAGAGCAGAAUACAAUUUGGAUUUAGAUAAUGAUUUAUCAGUCUUGUUCCUACUCAAAAACUAAAAUACUGUUAAACUUGUCUGAAAGAAAUAAACAAUCAGCAAAUAGCUCAAAAUUGCAUAUAAAUUCAAGAGCUUCCUCGUCCAACUUAACGUGCAGGCUGCGCUUGUGCGGGUUCGAGAAGCUGGCCGACUAGCUUGUAGGUCCGCCCUUGAAGGGCCUUAGUGU
rnacentral:lncRNA from 1 species